CUAUUUAUCAAAUGUUUGAUGAAUGCUUAAUGCUCGAAAGACAUCGAGGUCCUAGCACAGUGUCGGUGCCACCACAGGCUCCAUCUUUCAUUUUCACGUUUACUUUUCAAAAGAGGAAAGCAGAUUAAAUUCAAGGAAACUUGGCCAAAGACUAUUAGAUCAAAGGAUUUGAAUACUCAAUUUUUCCAAAGAGAUUUUGACACAUGACAUUUAAGAAAUUCUAAGGUCAGAAUUUAAUUUAUUUACAAUUUUCCUUAUUUAACACAAAAAAUAUGAUGCUUUUAAGACUCAUAGAAAUUGCUAACUAACAGAAAUUAAUUUCAUGUCAGUUUCUUCUUUCUGGCCUUUUUCUUUCAUGCAAUAAUCUUUAAAAAGAAUGAUAAAAAAGGUUUUAGAAAAAAACAAGGAUAAUUUUUAUCUCUUUCUUUAGUGAUUUUUUUUUCUUUUUACAAUCAUCUUGGUAUCUUAAAUAAAUUAGAGUUAAAUCAAAUUUUAAAUUAUCUCUCUCCUCGUUUUUUAUAAAUAAACUUUGAGAAUUAGAAAACUAGAACACAGUAUGCAAAGUUUUCAAUUCAAAAUGGCUAUAUCCGUUUCUUUGAUAUUAAAGGUCCUAGCACAGUGUCGGUGCCACCACAGGCUCCAUCUUUCAUUUUCACGUUUACUUUUCAAAAGACGAAAGCCGAUUAAAUUCAAGGAAACUUGGCCAAAGACUAUUAGAUCAAAGGAUUUGAAUCCUCCCCUGACCUAAUUUUUCCAAAGAGAUUCUGACACAUGACAUUUAAGAAAUUCUAAGGUCAGAAUUUAAUUUAUUUACAAUUUUUUUUUAAUUUGACACUAAAAAUAUGAUGUUUUUAAAACUUAUAGAAAUUGCUAACUAAUAGAAAUUAAUUUCAUGUCAAUAUCUUCUUUCUCCUUUUUCUUUCAUGCAAUAAGCUUAAAAAAGAAUAACAAAAAAGGUUUUAGAAAAAAUUAGGAUAAUUUUUAUCUCUUUCUUUAGUGAUUUUUUUUUGAUUGAACUGGGGCUCUAAAAAGAGCUAAAGAAGAAUAAAACGGGGGUAAGAAACCCUGUAAAAGUCAUGAAGCAAAAGAGACCGAACACCCAAAGGGGGGGUAGGGUACACAAGAAAACCAAGAUGAAGAGAAAAAGCGAGGUUUGCCAUAUAAUCUGCAGCGAAAUUGUGGGCACCAUCCGUAUUCAAAGUACACCAUGGCCACUUAGGAGGAUGCCAAGAAAUCCACUUGUUAGCCCUAAUAUUCCUUGUGACCAAAGGGCUGUUAUGAAGCUUAUGCGUCUCUUUAGCUCUUGAAUGAACAUCCACUAACAAAGCCGCAGAGUCCAUCAUCGUUUGGUUAAAAAGAAACUGAUUCCUCUAAUACCAAAUCCUCCAUAAAGCAAAGCCAAAGAAAACAACCCAAUUUGAAACAUCUCCCAUCUUAAUAUCAUCAACCAAAUUCAAGCGCAGCCAAUGAUGAAACCGAGCGUUAAAAAAGCCUUGUCGUUUACUUAUAGGGAUGAUGUUGAGCCAAAACUGCUUAACCAAAGGACAAUCAGGUAGAGCAUGAAUGGCAUCUUCACACACAGCCCCACAACGAUCAUAACAAGUCGAGAUGGGUAAAUGCCGUCUAGCCAGCUCAGCCUUAGUCUUCAACCCAGCAUGAAAAGCUUGCCAUAAGAAAACUUGCACGCUUUGAGGGCCUUUCCACGUCCAGAUCAACCUCCAAAUUCGAUCUUCAGCAGCUGAGUUAUAAUCAGAGAGAGCCAAAUAAGCAGAGCUUGUAGUAAACUCACCAUGUUUCGAAUGAGCCCAAAAAAUGGUAUCCAUGCCCUUCACAUGAGAAGGGGGAUGGAGAGCCGCUAUUUGGAGGAUAAUAUUGUUAGGACGAUACUGCUCAAAACGGGACCAACACCAACUCCCAUUUACAUCAACGAAGUCAGCCACCUUGCAUUCCAAAAUUUCCACGGGAAUAGUAUCAGUUGCGUAGGCUAUUAAGGGAACAUUAUUAGUGACCCAAAGAUCCCACAAAAAAACGAACAAAUAGACCAUCGCCCGAACACUAACGCCUGCUCGCAAGAACCUCGCUCCAAACAUGCUCAAGAGACUUCCACAAGUGAGAGCCAUAACGGGUAGGAAGCUCAUGAGGCAAAUUGAGAGGAUCAAUUCUGUAUUUGGUAGUAAGGAUCUUGACCCAUAAACUAUUUGGAGAAGAAAUUAUACCCCAUGCGAGCUUCAUGUGUAAAGCUCGAUUCAUCAUUGUCAAAGACUUAAAGCCAAGGCUGCCAAUAGCUUUAGGUUUACACACAUUAUGCCAACUAACCAUGCUAAGCUUCUGCUGAGAAGAUGCACCGCCCCAAAUAAACCUCCUGCAAGCCCUAUCAAUUCUCCCGCGAACACCACUAGGAAGGGAAACAGUUUGCAUAAUAUAAACUGGAAUUGCCUGGAGGAUUGACUGAGCUAGAGUGAUACGACCAGCCAAAGACAAGUGUGAAGCAUUCCAGCCCGACAACCGCUUCUCCACCUUGUCGAUGAUCUCCUGAAACAUGUUGGUAGAGACUCGAGAAUGAUUCAGAGGAAGCCCGAGGUAUUCACCAAGAUCGGACGUAACCGAGAAGCCAAGAAGAUUCGAAAUUGAGGAAAUAUCUCUAGCACCCAUAUUCUUGGAAAAAUAAAGUAAAGUUUUGUUUGUAUUCACUUUAGCAUUAGAGCAAAAACAAAAAUCUGCUAACACUGCCGAAAUAACUCUAGCUUGCUCAACAAUAGCCUCUGCAAACAAAAGAAGGUCAUCAGGGAAAAAAAGAUGGGAUAAAGGAGUACCAUUACGAGAUAGCAUGAUCGGACGCCACUUCCCAACAUUAACGGCAUUGUGAAUCCCAUGACUAAGGCGUUCGAUGCCGAGAACAAAUAGGUAAGGAGAUAAAGGGCAGCCUUGACGAAUUCCUCUGGAAGGGGAAAAAAAAAAUCUUGAUACGUUCAUUCAAAUCCUGAGUUGAUACGUUCAAAAUCUUGUAUGAUCUAAUUGUUAUUACUUUUCAGUACUUAUUUUCCAUUUUGCAAAAACAGAUUACAAAAGAAACGUGUUUGGUAACAUCUUCAUUUUAUGAAGGGAGAAACUAUCAAUCUUCAUUUUAUGUACAAAUAAUAUAAUAUAUAAAAAUUAUUAUUGGGACUUUUUUUUUAAUUAUAUAAAUACAACUGUUUUUCUCCUUUACAUUAUUGUUUAUAUUUCUACCUUUUUUUAUUUUCAGAUACUCUUUUAAAAAUAAAACUAUUAAACGUAUUUCUAAGUUAACUUGAGUUGCCUCUUAGACUUUUGGAUGAAACAUGAUGGUAUGAUUGAAUGAUCUCAAUCACUUUAUUAGCGGUUUUGUGCAUUCACUGCAUCUCUUCAUCAUCUCAAAUUCUCUGAAGCGAUCAUCUGAGGUUAUCCUUGUUUUGUUUUCAGCUUUUUGAUCUCAAGAGCACCUUAAUUGUCCACCCUGUAAGUCGUGGCUGUUGUUUGAAAUUUGGUUUCUCUCCAUCCUUAAUUUCUUCCUCCCAAAUCACAUCUCAUUUUUCCAUCUGAUUCUAUCCACCCUUUUCUUUGUGGUCAUUGGUGUUUUGUUGAUCAUCUUUUUGUCCCUUUUCCCUCUCUCAUUUAUCUGUACUGUACCCACGUAUCUUCGUAGUUUCCCUCUGAUUUUCUCCACUCUUUUUAUUCAUAUUAGAUAAAACACCUCCACUUAUAUUCAACUUUUGAUCUCACGACCACUUUGCUUUUGUUGCUGUUAGCUGUUGUGACCUGGUGUUCUGUUCUGUAGAUUUGCUACUCUGUUUUAUUUCCCUUUGGUUUCCUUUGCAUCCGUUUCUGAAAACUUUUAAAGGAAAAAAAAAAAGGGUUGAAAAUGGCUGAUGCUGUUGUUACUGUUGCUUUAGAAGUUGCCAAGUGCUUGUUCCCUCAGAUCGGGCGCCGGUUAAGUUAUGUGCGCAAGUACAAAGCCAACCUAGAGAAUCUCAAGAAAGAAACUGGGAAGUUGACCGUUGAAAGAGAUAGUAUGCAGAAAAAGGUUUUUGAUGCUAGAAGAAAUGCGGAACAGAUUGAAGAAAGAGUUGAGAGUUGGCUGACUAGUGCGAACAAGAUCAUUGCUGAGGCGAAUACGUUAAUUGGAGAAGAAGAAGAUGGAAAUAAGAAAUGUGGGCUCUGUCCUAAUUUGAAGAAACGCUAUCAACUUAGCGAGAAAGCUGCCACAAAGAAGAAGAGCAUCGUAGAGCUCGAGAAAGAAGCUGGAGAAUUUGCUCAAAUUUCCUACCCUAUUGCUCCAGAAGAGCCUUGGCUUAGGUCUGGCAAUGGUUACGAGGCCUUUGAAUCAAGAAUGUCGACUUUAAGGAAUGUGCAAAACGCAUUACUUGAUCCUGAUGUCAGCAUCACUGGGGUGUAUGGGAUGGGUGGCCUUGGCAAGACGACUCUAGUGCAGGAAGUGGCUAGGCGAGCCAAAAAAGACAAGCUAUUUGACGAGGUAGUUUUUGCAGAAGUAUCUGAGACUCCAGAUAUCAGAAAGGUUCAAGGGGAACUUGCGGAUCAGCUACGUAUGAAAUUUGAUGAGGAGAGUGAUGUACCAGGAAGAGCUAGGAAGCUAUACGCAGGGUUGCAGAACGAGAACAGGAUCCUCGUAAUUUUGGACAACAUUUGGGAAGAUCUUUGUUUGGGGGAAAAUAAGAAAGAUAGCAGAACGCCACAUGUCGACGAAUGAAAUAACUUCAGUGCAAUCCGAGGUACCCGACAUGAUUAGAGGUACCCCGCACGAUUAGAGGUACCUGCCAUGAUUUGAGGAACCCAGCACGGUCAGAAGUACUCCGCAUAACUCCAGAGUAACUCGAGGUACCCCGCAUGAUUAGAGGUACCCGGCGUAAUUAGAGGUACCCUGCAUAAUUAGAGGUAACCGGCGUAAUUAGAGGUACCCGGCUUGAUUAGGGGUACCCCGCAUGAUUAAAGGUACCCUGCGUGAUUAGAGGUACCCGGCCUGAUUAGAGGUACCCCGUAUGAUUAGAGGUACCCGGCGUGAUUAGAGGUACCCCGUAUGAUUAGAGGUACCCGGCGUAAUUAGAGGUCACCGGCGUAAUUAGAAGUACCCUGCUUGAUUAGAGGUACCCCACACAAAUAGAGGUACCCCGCACAAUUAGGGGUACCCCACAUAAAUUGAGGUACCCCACGUAACUCGAGGUACCCGGCAGAUCAGAUGCAAGAGAAUCCUCCGAAAAUAUCCACCAUGAGAAACGUCUCCACUUAAAAUAUAUUAUUUGAUUUUGUCAGAAUAAGAAAUCAAGAACGUCGUACCAAAAGGGGGGGACAGCCGCCUGCUACCUCUGCCAAAAGUAAAGGACACUGUCCCAAGGACAGUGGUCCUCAGCCGCCUACCCGACAGUUACUGCAGAGGUACCCUGGACCACUCUCCAGCGCGCGCCACGUUUCCAAAGUAUGAGAUACGCCGCGAACAUGCACAUAACGGCCCAAAAAUCAUGAAAAGGUAAAAGGACGUUAGCCAAAAAGGGUACGCCACGUGGCAGCUGAGGUACUCCAUAUAUAAAGGUGCCUAGGUUUCAUUCUCCAUGAUGUUCUCACUCACCAUUAACACUCACACUCCAAAAAAUUAGGUUUUUCUUUAACCUUAAACCCUAAUUUACAGAGGGCUAGCCAACUCUCUUGACCACAAAAAGCUUGAGUUUGCUAACUUGAGCGUCGGAGUGUGAACGCCGGGGUAUCCCGGCUUCACCUCUAACCUCUAUUUUAUUGUUUUGCAGGCGUGUAGCUCAUUUUGAAUGACACCUCUCUUGGUUUUGACCUUUCACUAUUGUUACCACUCUUUCUCCCCUUCUCACAUCCUCGAAAUUUCAGAUACACCGCACCGCACACAACAAACCAGUGAGCUACCCCAUCUCCCCCAAAAAUAUAAAUUCAUUGUUCAAGAUAGAUUUUGGUUUUUUCUACCCCCAAAAUCAGUUGAAAACAAUCUUGAUCUGGAAAAAGUAGGACUUCCUUCGGGAAAUGAUUGUGGGGGAUGUAAAGUCUUGCUGACAGCAAGAGAUCGUCAUGUGUUGGAGUGCAUUGGGUCCAAGACUUUAGGGAUUGAUGUUUGAAUGGCGAGGAAGCGUGGACUCUAUUCAAGAAGAUGACAGGUGACUGUGCAGAGAAGGGGGAAUUAAAAUCUAUAGCAACUGAUGUGGCUAAAGAAUGUGGAGGUUUGCCUAUUGCCAUCGUUACACUGGCAAAAGCAUUAAGAAACAAGACUAGUGUCUCUACAUGGAAAGAUGCCUUGAGGCAAUUGAAAAGGCCUUCCAUCGGAACUUUGAAGGAGUGCUAGCGAAGACAUAUUUAGCUAUAGAAUUGAGUUACAAGUAUUUAAGAGAGGAGGAGCUCAAGAAACUGUUUUUGCAAUGUAGUCUAAUGGGAUCCUCACCAUUGUACCGAUGAAUCUAGGAUAUAAACAUAUCCAUGGUCAGUCCAAAAUGGGAAGCUGAAGACCUUUCUGCUGCGCCCUGCUGAAGAUCACUCCAUAUAAAAGCACGUCAAUGGACUUGUUAACAGCAUUUUUACAAAAGUUCCAGAAGGUUGCAAAAGACUCGGGAAAUUUUAGUGCACUCUUCACAGUGACACUGGGAAAACAUCGAGGAAAACUUUUUUUUUUUUUUUUUUCUGUAGCAUAGUUAACGUUCUUGUGCUUUCUUGUGCUAUUAAAAUUCUUUAUUUCUUGUAUUCUAGUAGAAUAGAACUGAAUAUGUCAAAUGGGUUUUAUGAAAAUUCCGAUGUUGCAAAAGCUGGAAGAGCAGGGAGGCUAUAUGAACCUGCUAAUUUUACAUGAUAUUAGGCUAUUAAACAAUCGAGGUGGUCGAGUGUAGGAAGAUGGAAGAAAUUUUUGCUAUUGAAGAGAUGGUGUAAACGAAUAUGAAACAAAUUUGAAUUGAUUGAUGCGAUUCUUUUUGUUCAAUUAGCCUCCUUAACUCUAAUCUACAAAGUUCGAAAGGAAUUUAUAACAGAUUCAAGAUUUUUUUUAUUUACGUUUUUUAUUCUUAUUUUAGAGAAGGGAAGUGAUGUUUUUGAUGUAAUGUUUUUUAAAAGUUAAAAUAUGUUUGGUAGUUUGUUUUACAAUAAUAUAUAAAAAAUGAAAAUAGCGAAGAUAUGUUUGGUUAUUUAUGUGAAAAAGUGAGUAUAACAAGAGAGAGUAAAUAAUUAUUUAUUAUUUAAUAAUUUUUAUUAGUUGCAUUAUAUUUUCUAUGUGAGUUAUUAUCAUUAAGUGUAAUUAUUUUAUUUAAAAAUGUCUUCUAUUAUUCUAAACAUUAUUUUAUAGAAUAAAAUACAAAAUUAAAUAGUCUAAAUAGCAUAAUCCAAUAUGGUAAAGCGAAAAAAAAUGUUGUGAUAUAAAAUUUUUAAUUAAAAUAUGAUGAUUAAUUGUAUUUUAUAAUCAAUUCUAAAUAUAUGUAAGUAAUUUUUUAUUUUAAGAAUUUUUUUUAUUUUAAAAAAUAGUUCCUAUUGUGUGUUUUAAAAUAAUACUGCAUUUUAAUUAUGUAAAUAAAUUUUAUUUAUACAUAACAAUAUUUGAAAGAAUAUAUAAUUAUUUUAUAAUUUUUAUAUAUUUAUUAAUAUUAGUUGGGAGGAUGUAAAUUUUUUAUUGAUAUAUCUUCAACAAUAUAUUUGUUGGACCCAUACCUUAAUUGGCAAAAGUUGUUAUAAAGUCAGAUUGUGAGACCUAUUCACGCUCUCGACAAAAAAAUAAAAAUUAAAGAACAGCAAUAUGUGUUCUCUGAUUUGCUUUGUAAAGUUUAAAGAACAAAAAUGAUUUAUUUUUCAUAUUUUCUAAAGAAAUGAGUCCACCACACAAAUCUAUAUAUUUAUAUAAAGUUGGGACUACAAGAGAUGAUGUGGCAUCACUAUUUCUCAUAUUUGUAUAUUCUCUAUUAUCUAAUAAAUAGAUUUUUUUUUUUAGAUUUAGCUUUUCAUUUACUCAUAAUUAAUUUGACUAUUAUUACACAAUCAAUAUGUAAUAAUUCAUCGAAAGACCCACUAUCUUCUCUAAUUGAAACCUUCUUGAUCAUAAAUUUAUAUCUAUAUAUAUAUAUAAAGCUAGGACUUGAGGAGGUGAUGUGGCAUCACCAUUUUGCUUCUUUGUAUAUUUUCUAUUAUCUAAUAAAUAAAGAAUUUUUUUUUUAUUUGGCUUUUGGCUUUUCAUCUUCUCAUAAUUAAUUUGAUUGUAUUUAACUCAUUUAAUAAAUAGUAACUUUAUUAAUAUAUAUCAUUCCUCAUCUUUUCAUAUUUUCUAUUAUCUAAAAUAUCUAAAAUAUUGGUGGAUAUCCUUUAUACUUUUUUUCUCUUUCUAUUUAAAUUCAACAAUAUGUAAUCAUAAAUAAUAAUUAAUUAUAAGUCUUUUGAAACAUUUAUUUAUUUUAUUAUGCUAGCAAUUAAACUUUAGUGGCUUAAAAUACAUGAAUUAAUUAACAUAGGAAGAUAGAUUCUUUCAUUUUCCCUCAGCAAUGCCACUAAGAACUAAUUUUAAUGCCAUGAUCACAUAUUUAAUUAUGCAACCUUUUGUUGAGUGUCUUUUGGUUUUUUCAAAAUUUAUUAUGCUAUCAAUUAAACUUUAGUGCCUUAAAAUACAUCACCUAAUUAACAUAGGAAGAGAGGUUCUUUCAUCUUCCCUCAACCUCAUCUUUUUAUAUUCUCUAUUAUCUAAAAUAUCUAAAAUAUUAGUGGAUAUUCUUUGUACAUAUUUCUUCCUCUUUCUAUUUAAAUCCAACAAUAUGUAACCAUUAAUAAUAAUUAAUUAUAAGUCUUUUGAAACAUUCAUUUAUUUUAUUAUGCUAGCAAUUAAAUUUUAGUGGCUUAAAAUACAUGAAUUAAUUAACAUAGGAAGAGAGGUUCUUUCAUCUUCCCUCAACAAUGCCAAUAGGGCCUAAUUUUAAUACCAUAAUAUCAUAUUUAAUUAUGCAACAUUUUGUUGAGUGCCUUUUGGCUUCUUCAAAUUUUAUUAUGCUAGCAAUUAAACUUUAGUGCCUUAAAAUACAUAAACUAAUCUAUAUAUCUAUAUAUAUCUAUAUAUAUAUAUAUAAAGUUGAGACUACAAGAGGUGAUGUGGCAUCACCAUUUCUCAUCAUUUCAUAACCAAUCUAUAUAUAUAUAUAAAGCUAGGACUUGAGCAGGUGAUGUGGCAUCAUCAUUUUGCUUCUUUGUAUAUUCUCUAUUAUCUAAUAAAUAAAGAAUUUUUUUUUUGAUUUGGCUUUUGGCUUUUCAUCUUCUCAUAAUUAAUUUGAUUGUAUUUAACUCAUUUAAUAAAUAGUAACUUUAUUAAUAUAUAUCAUUCCUCAUCUUUUUAUAUUUUCUAUUAUCUAAAAUAUCUAAAAUAUUGGUGGAUAUUCUUUGUACUUUUUUUCUCUUUCUAUUUAAAUUCAACAAUAUGUAAUCAUUAAUAAUAAUUAAUUAUAAGUCUUUUGAAACAUUUUUUUAUUUUAUUAUGCUAGCAAUUAAACUUUAGUGGCUUAAAAUACAUGAAUUAAUUAACAUAGGAAGAGAGGUUCUUUCAUUUAUAAAGCUAGGACUUGAGGAGGUGAUGUGGCAUCACCAUUUUGCUUCUUUAUAUAUUCUCUAUUAUCUAAUAAAUAGAUAUUUUUUUUUUAGAUUUGGCUUUUUAUCUUCUCAUAAUUAAUUUGAUUGUAUUUAACUCAUUCAAUAAAUAAUAACUUUAUUAAUAUAUAUCAUUCCUCAUCUUUUUAUAUUUUAUAUUAUCUAAAAUAUCUAAAAUAUUGGUGGAUAUUCUUUGUACUUUUUUUCUCUUUCUAUUUAAAUUCAACAAUAUGUAAUCAUUAAUAAUAAUUAAUUAUAAGUCUUUUGAAACAUUUAUUUAUUUUAUUAUGCUAGCAAUUAAACUUUAGUGGCUUAAAAUACAUGAAUUAAUUAACAUAGGAAGAUAGAUUCUUUCAUUUUCCCUCAGCAAUGCGACUAAGGCCUAAUUUUAAUGCCAUAAUCACAUAUUUAAUUAUGCAACCUUUUGUUGUGUGUCUUUUUGGUUUUUUCAAAAUUUAUUAUGCUAUCAAUUAAACUUUAGUGCCUUAAAAUACAUCACCUAAUUAACAUAGGAAGAGAGGUUCUUUCAUCUUCCCUCAACCUUCUUUUUAUAUUCUCUAUUAUCUAAAAUAUCUAAAAUAUUAGUGGAUAUUCUUUGUACAUAUUUCUUCCUCUUUCUAUUUAAAUCCAACAAUAUGUAACCAUUAAUAAUAAUUAAUUAUAAGUCUUUUGAAACAUUCAUUUAUUUUAUUAUGCUAGCAAUUAAACUUUAGUGGCUUAAAAUACAUGAAUUAAUUAACAUAGGAAGAGAGGUUCUUUCAUCUUCCCUCAACAAUGCCACUAGGGCCUAAUUUUAAUACCAUAAUCUCAUAUUUAAUUAUGCAACAUUUUGUUGAGUGCCUUUUGGCUUCUUCAAAUUUUAUUAUGCUAGCAAUUAAACUUUAGUGCCUUAAAAUACAUAAACUAAUCUAUAUAUCUAUAUAUAUAUAUAAAGUUGGGACUACAAGAGGUGAUGUGGCAUCACCAUUUCUCAUCAUUUCAUAUUCUCUAUUAUCUAAUAAAUUGGUUGAAAUUAAAAAAUAAUUACAUUAUAAAAUAUUAAAAUAGAAAAUAAUUAUUAGAUUAUAAAUGAUUACAUGUCUUUUCCUCUUUUUAUUUAAAUUCAACAAUAUGUAACCAUUAAUAAUAAUUAAUUAUAAGUCUUGAAACAUUCAUUUAUUUUAUUAUGCCAACAAUUAAAUUUUAGUGGCUUAAAAUACAUCAAUUAAUUAAUAUAGGAAGGAAGGUUCCUUCAUCUUCUCUCAACAAUACCAUUAGAGCCUAAUUUUAAUGUCAUAAUCCCAUAUUUAAUUAUUCAAUCUUUUGUUUAGUGCCUUUUGGCUUCUUCAAACUCCAUAAACAUUAAAUAUUUAAGAUUUGUGUCAUCAUUAUUUCUCAUCUUUUUUUAUUCUCUAUUAUCUAAUAUAUUGGUUGAGAUUAAAAAAUAAUUACAUUACAAAAUAUUAAAAAUCUAUAUCUAUAUAUAUAUAUAAAGUUGGGACUAGAGAAGGUGAUGUGGCAUCACUAUUUCUCAUCUUCUUGUAUUUUCUUUUAUCGAAUAAAUUGGUUGAUAUUAAAAAAAUAAUUACAUUACAAAGUAUUAAAAAUAAAAAAUAAUUAUUAGAUUAUAAAAGAUUACAUGUCUCUUCCUCUUUCUAUUUAAAUUCAAUAAUAUGUAACCAUUAAUAAUAAUUAAUUAUAAAUCUUGAAAUAUUUAUUUAUUUUAUUAUGCCAAUAAUUAAACUUUAGUGGCUUAAAUAUAUCAAUUAAUUAAUAUAGGAAGGAAUGUUCCUUCAUCAUCCCUCAACAAUAUCAUUAGGGUCUAAUUUUAAUGCUAUAAUCUCAUAUUUAAUUAUGCAACCUUUUGUUUAGUGCCUUUUGGCUUCUUCAAACUCUAUAAAUAUUAAGUAGUUAAGAUUUGUGGCAUUAUUAUUUCUCAUCUUUUUAUAUUUUCUAUUAUCUAAUCUAUUGGUUGAGAUUAAAAAAUAAUUAUAUUACAAAAUAUUAAAAAUAGAAAAUAAUUAGUAGAUUACAAAAAAUUACAUGUCUCUUCCUCUUUCUAUUUAAAUUCAACAAUAUGUAACCAUUAAUAAUAAAUUAAUUAUAGUUUUGAAACAUUCAUUUAUUUUAUUAAGCCAACAACUAAACUUUAGUGGUUUAAAAUACAUCAACUAAUUAAUAUAGGAAUGAAGGUUCCUUCAUCUUUCCUCACCAAUACCACUAGGACCUAAUUUUAAUGUCAUAAUUUCAUAUUUAAUUAUGCAACCUUUUAUUUAGUGUCUUUUGACUUCUUCAAACUAUAUAAAUAUUAAGCAUUUAAGAUUUGUUAUGUUUGGGAUUUUUUUUUUUUAUUAUUUAACCAACAUCCUCUUUAGAAAUGUUAUUGUGGUUUUAUUUUUUGACUUAUUUAAAUUUUUUGUAUUGUGUGCUUCAUGGAGUAUUCUUUUCUUCAUGAGUUAAACAAUGAUAAAGAUAGUUGGAUGAUAAGGGUUAGGCUUUGUAAAAUGUGGGAGUCUGUUAAUACCAAGAAGAGUAGAGAGUUGAUUAGUGUGAACAUAAUUUUUAUUGAUGAAAAUGUUGUGUACACUUAACUAUACACAUUAAUAUAUAUUUUUAAAGUUAACAAAAAAAUAAUUAACUUUCAUAAAUAACAUUAGUUUUGUAAGGAUGCGUCAUCUUUAAAAAAAACCAAUUUAUAUUUUUUUAUCAGUUUAUCAAGUGCAAAAUAAUAAAAAAAAUAAUACUAAAUUCUUUUUUUAAAGCCGCACGAAGUGCGGUUCUAUUUCCUAGUUAUAUAUAUAAAAAGAAGGAAAACAACAAAUAAAAAACGGUACCAUUCGCUCCCUAAAUAUAACAGAUAUAUCAUAUAUUUGGUUUUUUAAAAAAGAAUAAAUAAAGAUUCCCUCACAAAUUCAAAAACGUAGAAUGAGUGCUUUCUACUUUCACUGUUUCCCUCCACAAGUAAGAGCUUUGGAGCAAACCAUUAACGGCAAUGACAGCCACAAGCACCGCCAAUAUCUGCCCUCUUUCAAACCCGCCUUCCUCUGCAAACCCUAAACCGACCCAAAAAACCAAUCUCUCUCUUUUGUCUAAAACCCAGCAAAACAACCCUUUUUUUCCCUAAAAAACAACAAUCCUGAACCCACAAAAAAAAAAAAAAAAAAUCAGUGUUCUGUCAAAAAAAAAAAAAAAACCUAUCUCUGAGUUUUUCACCACAAAUAAAGAAUACCCAGAUGAUGGUUUUGGAAAUUUUGAUGACAUAGAUAAGCCACGUGAGGAGUGUGGUGUUGUGGGGAUAUACGGCGACCCUAGUAUUGAGCUUGCAUUUUCCCUGAAUUCAGACAUUAAUUGGAUGGUGCUGAGCUUGGUGAUUCUAUCAGCAUGAACCCACAUAAAUGGUGGUUCCUCACUAACAUGGAUUGCCGUUGCUUGAGGGUCAAGCAACUUUGUUAACUAGUUGAUUCCUUGUCCUCGAUCUGAAUCAGAAAUCAUGGGAUACACUAGUUCUGAUCCCAAUCAUGCAGUAAAUUAUAAGGAAUGGAGAAUCGCUCUGAGCAGGAGAUUCAGAUCCAUAAAGCUUUGGAUUGUUAUUUGCAGAUAUGGCUUGACAAGCCUCAUGGAUCACAUUCUUAGCGAUGUGGAAAUGGUUAAGCGAUUUGAGGCGCUGGUGAUCAAAGACAAAGAGGUUUGAGAUCGCCGUGCCAAGAAGGUUUGCAUUGGUUUGGUUCAGUGUUAUGCCGCUGGUGAACACACCGAACAGCAAGGUUUCCACACUUUUCAAGCAAGUGCAAGCUCCCAGAAUUUUAAAGAAACGAGUGAAUGGCAAGAGAGAGUAGAGAGGAAAAUUCAGAGAAGAAGAAGAAGCUAAGUCCAGAAUUUUUAUAUCCUAUCAAAUACAACCAUGGAAAUACUUAUAGCAGCAAGAAUAUGCUCACAACUGUCAAAACUAAAUAACAACCUCUCUCUAUAACAAAAAUUAUUCUCUAAAUAGCUAAGGCCGUUAGAAACCGAGUCCUCUGCUCAUAUAUGCUCAGUGUGUGUAAUCCUUGAACCAUUUGGGAGGCUUCCUUACGCGACUUGGCUUGAUGUUAUCUUGGGGUCGGUUUUGGAUAGCCUCACUUGAGUUUGCCUGGGCCUUUUCCUCGCUAUUGAUAGAGCUAGCUGAGUUGGGCUUGUCUAACUGUAAUAUUGGGGUUGUAUCACCCUCCACUCCUUGAGGAAUCACCUUGUCCUCAAGGUGAAAAUUCGGGUACUGCUUGGUGAAUUCGGAAAGAGCUUCCCAUAUUGCAUUCUCAGGAGCACAAUCCUGCCACUGCACUAAAAUUUGGGAUUGUGGGAUGCCAUGAACCAACACUUGACGUUGAGCACAAAUAGCAAUGGGAACAGACAUAGCCUGGUUAUUGUAAGACUCGCUAGGUAGUGAGUGAACUUGUGAGGCAUCCUGACCAUGAAACGGCUUGAGAAGUGAGAUGUGAAAGCCUGGAUGAAUCUUAGAAUCAGGAGAUAAAUCCAAGCGAUAGGCCACAGCGCCAAUACGCUCCAUUACUCGAAAAGGACCAUAGUAUCGCUUCGCUAGCUUGUUGGAUAAUCUGUUUGCAACUGAUAUUUGCCGAUAAGGCUGUAACUUAACCAAAACUUGAUCCCUGACCCGAAGCUCUAGCUCACGGCGAUGAGUAUUAGCCUUUUGCUACAUUCUAUGUUGAGCUGCUCGCAAGUUGGUUUUCAAGGCUGUUAGGAGGGCAUCACGUUCCAGCAGCAAUUCAUCAAGUGCUUGGAUUGAAGUAGAGUUCCCGGUAUAGGAAGGAAUUACAGGUGGCUCACGACCAUACAAGGCCUUAAAAGGAGACAUUUGGAUGCUUGUAUGAAAGCUAGUGUUGUAAGAAAACUCAGCCCAGCCUAAAUAAUCGAACCACGAUGUCGGUUUCGCUUGUGUGAAUACUCGCAAAUACUGCUUGAGUCCUCGAUUAACAACUUCUGACUGGCCAUCCGUUUGAGGAUGAUAUGUUGUACUAUGCUUCAAUGUGGUACCACUUAACUCAAAGAGUUUCUUCCAAAAGCUACUAAGAAAGAUAGAGUCACGAUCUGAAAUUAUUGUACGGGGAAAACCAUAGUGCUUAACAACCAUAUCAGUGAAUAAAACGGCUGUUUUGUUUGCUGUAAAGUGUGUGGGUAGAGCACCAAAAUGAGCUGAUUUUGUCAAUCGAUCAACAACGACUAAGAUAACAGUGAACCCAUGGGAAGAUGGUAAACCUGUAAUGAAGUCCAUGGUAACUUCCUCCCAAAUUAGUGAAGGUAUAGGCAAGGGUUGAAGGAGUCCAGCUGGUGCCUGAGUAGAGUAUUUUGUUUGCUGACACAAUAAACAAGAGGCAACAAAUAAUUCCACAUCCUUGCGCAUAUUUGGCCAAUAAAAGAGUGUGGAUAGACGAACUAAUGUCCGCUUGACUCCGGCAUGACCUGCAACUGGUGUGGCAUGAAAUUCUUGUAAUAAAGAAGGCUUCAAAACAGAGUGAGAGCUGAUGAAGAACUUGUUUUUGAACCGUAGGAUUCCAUCCCAGACCGAAUAUGGAUACAUUAAAGAACCAGAGGAAUACUUCUGAUGGAGAGCUAAGAGAUCCGGUAAGGACUAAUUUUCCGCACGAAGAAUAGAGAGGAAUUCAGGAAUAGGACAGCUAGCGAGUAACAGAGUAGCAGUAGAAUGGCCAUAUACUUUAGGGACAUCAACUUCAUGUACCCUGGAUAAGGCAUCAGCUUCACUAUUAGUUCGACCCGGCUUAUAUUCAACCCUGAAAUGAUACCCCAGUAAUUUACGAACAUAAAAUUGUUGCUCUAGAGUUUGGAUAACCUGCUGAAAGAGCUCUCGAAUACUUUUCUGGUCAGUUCGGAUAAUAAAAAAAUGGCCUAACAAGUAUUGUCUCCACUUAUGUACUGCUUCGGCAAUGGCAUGAAGUUAUUUGAUAUAAGUAGAAGCGACAAGCAUGCGAGGACCUAAUUUUCGGCUAAAAUAAGCAAUAGGAUGAUUAGCUUGCAUCAGUACGGCUCCAAUACCAACAUUCGAGGCAUCCGUUUCAAUAACAAAAUCCAAUUGAAAAUUUGGCAAGCGAAGGACUGGUGCUGCACUCAUGGCUUGUUUUAAGGCAGCGAAGGCCGUGUCACCUGCGGAGGACCAAUAGAAACAAUCCUUUCGUAAUAAAUCUGUGAGAGGGGCAGCAAUGGAAGCAUAUCCUUUAAUAAAGCGAUGAUAGUAGCCUGUGAGACCCAAGAAUCCUCGCAAUUAUUUUGUGGUAGACGACGUAGGCCAAUUAGACAUGACCACCAACUUGCGAGGAUCAGCCUUAACUCCAGAAGAGGAAACAAUAUGGCCGAGAUAUUCAAUGUUAUCUUGGCAAAAAAAAAAAACACUUUGAGAGCUUCACAAAAAAAUGAUUAGUAUGAAGACAAUCAAAUACUCUAUGUAAAUGCUCAAAAUGGUCUUAUAAAGAAGUGCUGUACACUAAGAUAUCGUCAAAGAAAACGAUCACAAACUUACAGAGAUAAGGAGCAAAUAGCCUAUUCAUUGUCGCUUGAAAGGUGGAAGGGGCAUUAGAGAGUCCAAAAGGCAUGACAAGGAACUCAAAAUGCCCAUCAUGAGUCCGAAAGGCUGUUUUAUAAAUAUCUCUAUCACAUACUCGUAUUUAAUGGUACCCCGCUCGCAAAUCCAGCUUAUUGAAAAUACAAGCACCACCAAGCUCGUCUAAUAACUCAUCAAUAGUUGGUAUCAAAAAUUUGUCUUUAAUUGUUACUACGUUCAAGGCUCGGUAAUCUACACAAAAACGAUAGGAGCCAUCUUUCUUUUUAACUAGCAACACAGGUGAAGAGAAUGGGCUCUGACUUGGGUGAAUAAUGCCUUGAUCAAGCAUUUCUUUAAUUAGUCUCUCCAUUUCGGCCUUUUGGAAGUGAGGAUAACGGUAUGGGCGAACAUUGACAGGUUUAGUAUUUGGGAGAAGAUGAAUGUGAUGGUCAAUAAGUCUAUGAGGAGGUAGGGAAGAUGGAGUGUGAAAUAAUUGCUCAUAUUGAUGAAGAAGGGCAAGUACAGGGGAAGGCAAAUCGGGUGGGAAGUCAAACUUAGCAGCAGUGGUUGGAACAGAGAGGGUAUCCUGCGCGUCUGUAGUAGUAUGCAACUGGAAAAAUUCAAAGAGGCCGUGGAUUUGAUCAUGGGACAUGAGGGCUUGUAAUUGAUGAAAAGAAAUCGGUCUUGGAGACAAUGAGAGAUCACCUCGCAGGAAGACAGGAGAGCCAUUAUAGAAAAAUUCCAUUGACAAUGCCGCAUAGUCAUGAGAGACUUUGCCAAGCAGCUGCAACCAUUGAAUUCCGAGGACAAUAUCCGGUCCCUCAAUAGGAAGAACAUAAAGGUCGAUGUAGAAAACAUGGCCUUGCAUAGAUAAGGCGACUUGGGAACAAACAUAUCGACAAACUAAAGAAUCACCAUGACCGAUAUAUACCCGGAAUGUGGUAGUGUCUUGUACUACUAACCCCAAAACUUCAGCCACAUCGGGUUUAAUAAAAUUAUGAGUGCUACCACUAUCGAUAAGUACUUGCACGGACUGUUGAUUAAUUUCACCAAUGAGUCGUAGAGAGCGAGGAGUAUUUUGGCCCGCUAAGGCAUUUAAACUGGAGAUAUCACCAGCUAUAAUAGUUUCCUCAACAACAUCUGAGAUCUCAGAAUUAAUUGGUGGACCUAUCGCCUCAUCAACAUCCUCUGUUCCUAAAAGAAGCAGAAACUUACUACGGCAUCUAUGAGAGUUGCUCCACUUCUGGUCGCAAUUGUAGCAGAGUCUUUUUUCCCUUUUUUCACGAAGUUUUUGAGGAGAAAGACGCUUAAUAGGGAGAGAUGGCGUUGGUAAAAGUAGAGGUAAAGUGGACGGGGCAGGUUGAGGUGGGUUGAUGGCAGGGGCACUUGCAGGACUGUGAUUGGUUAUAGUAGGGUGAAAUGAUGGUGUGGUGGUUUUGUGGGUCCACUUAGACCAAGGUCUGGACGUAACUUUACUCUCAUCUCCACGUGCUUCAAACAUACGAGCCAGUGCAAAUGCCUCCAUCAACGAGGAAGGCCGUGACAGCAACAGCUCGCGACGAAUAUCCACUUGCAACCCCAUGAUAAAAAAUGAGAUAAGGAGAGGCUCGGAAAUACCAGUGACUUUAUUCAUGAGGUCCUCAAACUCAGUUUGAAAUUCUGCCACACUUGAUUUCUGAGUAAGUUUGGAUAGAUUGCCUUGGUGGUCCUCGUACAGGGAAGCUCCGAAACGAAACUUCAGAUUUUGAAGAAAAUCCUUCCAACUGGUAAGAAGAUCAUUCGCCUUCAUCCAUUGGUACCAAGCCGAAGCGCGACCUUCCAAAUGAAAAGACACGAUGCGGAGAUAAAGAGCUUCGGAUGUGCCAUGGAAAUCAAAAUACUCAUUGAUGUGAAAAGCCCAACCGUUUGGGUCAGUUCCAUCCAAUUUUGGGACCUCGAGUUUCAUUGUUCGCAAGAGAGGAUUGGAGUCAUGGGUGCCUGAUGAACCAUCAGAUAUAUGUGGAAACGAGGGUGGAUUUGAAGGUCCAUUUGUUGGACCCGAAGGUAACCCCUUGAUCUGAGAACGCAAGUCCUCCAAGCGAGAAUCCACGGUAAGCAUGUAUUGUUGCAGCGUGUGAUGAACUGCGACCGUUUGGCUAUCAAGUUUUGUUUGUAAAGCUUUAAUGGCAUCUAGAAUCUCCGAAUCAGCCAUGAUGAGAAAAUAGCAAUGAAAGCACCAAUGUUAUGCCGCUGGUGAACACACCGAACAACAAGGUUUCCACACUUUUCAAGCAAGUGCAAGCUCCCAGAAUUUUAAAGAAACGAGUGAAUGGCAAGAGAGAAUAGAGAGGAAAAUUCAGAGAAGAAGAAGAAACUAAGUCCAGAAUUUUUAUAUCCUAUCAAAUACAACCAUGGAAAUACUUAUAGCAGCAAGAAUAUGCUCACAGCUGUCAAAACUAAAUAACAACCUCUCUCUAUAACAAAAAAUAUUCUCUAAAUAGCUAAGGUCGUUAGAAACUGAGUCCUCUGCUCAUAUAUGCUCAGUGUGUGUAAUCCUUGAACCAUUUGGGAGGCUUCCUUAUGCGACUUGGCUUGAUGUUAUCUUGGGGUCGGUUUUGGAUAGCCUCACUUGAGUUUGCCUGGGCCUUUUCCUCGCUAUUGAUAGAGCUAGCUGAGUUGGGCUUGUCUAACUGUAAUAUUGGGGUUGUAUCAUUCAGGCUCAAAACAAAGCUUUAAUUCCAGGGCUCAAAAUUGAACCGUAAGCUGCUUGAUGCUGUGAAUUCAAUUGUUGGCGCUUUCAUUUCUCACUCUGUAAUGAGUGGUGUGUAUUUCAUCCGCAGUUUCAACACUAACUGAAUAUCGUCAUGUAGAUAAUUUAUGGAAGCUCAUUCGAGAAAAAGGCACAACUGUCGUUCUUGCAGGAUGUCUCUAGCGUUGCUUAAGUAAACCAAUGUAGCAUUAUGAAGAACAAAUAGGGAAUAAAUCCAAGUUGUUCAUUUAAUAUUUUUCAAGGAAAUCUUCAUUCAACGAUUUUCCCUCCACUCCCCGAUCUUAUCAUAUAAUUCUUUCAUUUAGAAAGCCAGUUCAUUGAUCUCGUCAAGUAAAAGAUUAAUUUUGAGGAUUAGUUUUCAUUCCCUUUUUCUUUUGACAUCAUUUCCAUUGUGACAGUGGAAAUGGUGGUUGAUCGUGUGGUCAAACUUUUUUUUUCCCCUUUUUGAUGAAGAACUUGAAGAACAAUUAAAAAGGAACUCGCAUCUCUCUUUUUUAGAGCACUAUUGUGGUGGCUAAUCCUUGAUCCGAUGAAUUUAAGGAAUCUCAAACACAUUUCAAUAUCAUGAAAACUUAAAAAAAUAAUGGAAAGAAUAUAAAUUUUACUUUUAUUAAUUUAUGAGCACAAAAGUUCAAUUUAUAUAAGAAUUUGAAACAAAAAAAGAAAAAAAAAGAUACAAUUAACAUUAUUUAAGAAUAUUGAUUGAUUAGAAAAGAUUGAAUCAAUUAAUUUUUAUGUUGAUUUACAGUCCAUCUUCUCUUGAUCAAUAAUUAAGAUGAAGGCAAGCAUUCAAUUGAUUGAUUUUAUUAAUUGUUUUGUUUCUAUAAAUAUUGUUUGAUUCUUAUCAGUCCCGUAAUAGAUACCUUUGAAGUUGUUUUUGCUAUAUGGACUUAACUUUAUAAUUAUUUUUAAACACUUAAAUCAAAUUUAGAUUUCUAAAGUAAUUCCAGAGGAUAUUGGGAGAGGGCUAUAAAACUUAAAUAUCUAUAUUUUCUAUAUUUAUUUGGCAAAGAUUUAAGUGUUUUAAAAUAAAAUAUCUAAAACUUAAAUCAAAGCGUAAGGGGUCUUCGAAUCAUGAAUCUGUUGAAAACUGUGGCAGCGUUUGGCCAAGAAACAUGCAGGAAUCUUCGUGCUCGGCAAAUGCAGAAUGGUGCGCCUAUCUUUCAAAUUUAUUUUUUAAGAGAGGGAAGCAAUUGGGUUUUUAUAAAAAAAAAAAAUAAUAAUAAGCGAGUAAUUUCAAUAAAAAAAAUUGACGAUAUUUACUUUAUGCAUAAAUGAUAUAAUAUAUAAUAAUUUUUUCUUUAAAGAAUAAAUAAGUACAAUUAUUUUAAAAAUUAAACUAAUAAACAUAUUUGUAAAGUUACUAAUAAUUAGUUAUUUCUUUACCAUAAAACAAACACAAACACCAUUUUUUCUUUACGAUAAAACAGACACAAACACCAUUUUUUCUUUACUAUAAAACAGACACAAACACCAUUUUUUCUUUACUAUAAAACAGACACAAACACCAUUUUUUCUUUACCAUAAAACAAACACAAACACCAUUUUAAGAAACAAUUAAAAAAAAAGGCAUCCGAAAUUUUCGAGUGAAUCUCGACGUGGACUUGCAUUGUCUCUUAGACUUUUGGAUGAAACAUUAUGUAUGACUGAAUGAUCUCAAUCUUCAUCAUCUCAAGUUCUCUGAAGCCAUCAUCUUAGGUUACCCUUGUCUUGUUUUCAGCUUUUUGAUCCCAAGAGCACCUUAAGAACUGUUGUAACUGUUGUUUGAAAUUUGCUUUUUGUCCAUCCUGUGAGUUGCAACUGUUGUUUGAAAUUUGGUUUCUGUCCAUCCUUAAUUUCUUCCUCCCAAAUCACAUCUUAUUUUGCAAUCUGAUUCUAUCCACCCUUUUCUUUGUUGUCAUUGGUGCUUUGUUGCUCAUCUUCAUGUCCCUUUCCCUCUCUCAUUUCCCUCUGACUUUCUCCACUCUCUUUAUUCAUACUAGAUAAAACACCUCCACUUAUAUUCAACUUUUGAUCUUACGACCACUUUGCUUUUGUUGCUGCUAGCUGCUGUAACCUGGUGUUCUGUUCUGUAGAUUUGCUAUAUUUCCCUUUAGUUUCCUUUGCAUCCGUUUCUCAAAACUUUAAAAGAAAAAAAAAAAGUUGAAAAUGGUUGAUGCUGUUGUUACCGUUGCUUUAGAAGUUGCCAAGUGCUUGUUCCCUCCGAUCGGGCGCCAGUUAAGUUAUGUGCGUAAUUACAAAGCCAACCUUGAGAAUCUCAAGAAAGAAACUGAGAAGUUGACCGAUGCAAGAGAUAGUAUGCAGAAAAAGGUUGAUGAUGCUAGAAGGAAUGGGGAAGAGAUUAACAAAAGAGUUGAGAGUUGGCUGAUUAGUGUCGACAAGAUCGUUGCUGAGGCGGACACGUUAACUGGAGAAGAAGAAAAUGCAAAUAAGAAAUGUUUCAAGGGGCUCUGUCCUAAUUUGAAGAAACGCUAUCAACUCAGCGAGAAAGCGGCCAUAAAGGGGAAAAGCAUCGCCGAGAUCAAGAAAGAAGCUGGGGACAUUGCCCAAAUUUCCUACCGUACUGUUCCAGAAGAGCCAUGGCUUAGCUCUGGCAAAGGUUACGAGGCCUUCGAAUCAAGAAUGUCGGCUUUAGAGAAUGUGCAAAACGCAUUACUUGAUCCUGAUGUCGCCAUCACCGGGGUUUAUGGGAUGGGUGGCCUUGGGAAGACGACCCUAGUGAAAGAAGUAGCUAGACAAGUCAAAAAAGACAAGCAUUUUGACGAGGUAGUUUUUGCAGAGGUAUCUGAGACUCCAGAUAUCAAAAAGGUUCAAGGGGAACUUGCAGAUCAGCUAGGCAUGCAAUUUGAUGAGGAGAGUGAUGUACCUGGAAGAGCAAGGAAGCUAUAUGCACGGUUGCAGAAGGAGAACAAGAUCCUCGUAAUUUUAGACAACAUUUGGGAAGAUCUUGAUCUGGAAAAAGUUGGAGUUCCUUCUGGAAAUGAUUGUAGGGGAUGUACAGUCUUGCUGACAGCAAGAGAUCGUCAUGUGUUGGAGAGUAUUGGGUCCAAGACUUUAGGGAUUGAUGUUUUGAAUGACGAAGAAGCGUUGACUCUAUUCAAGAAGAUGGUGGGAGACUGUGCAGAGAAGGGCGAAUUAAAAUCUAUAGCAACUGAUGUGGCUAAAGAAUGUGGAGGUUUGCCUAUUGCCAUCGUUACAUUGGCGAAAGCAUUAAGAAACAAGUGUAGUGUCUCUACAUGGAAAGAUGCCUUGAGGCAAUUGAAAAGGCCUUCCCAUGGGAACUUUGAAGGAGUGCUAGCGAAGCCAUACUCAGCUAUAGAAUUGAGUUACAAGUAUUUAAGAGAGGAGGAGCUCAAGCAACUAUUUUUGCAGUGUAGUCUGAUGGGAUCCCGACGGGCUUCCGUGCUAACCUUGUUGAAAUAUGCAACAGGUUUGGGUAUAUUGAAAGGAGUCAGUACAAUGGAAGAAGCACAAGAUAAAGUAAAUACGUUGGUCGAUCAACUCAAAGAUGCUUGUUUGUUGCUUGACGGCACUAACAGCGGUAGGUUUUCCAUGCAUGACGUUGUUCGUGAUGUUGCCAUAUCAAUUGCAUCUAGAGACUAUCAUGUAUUUUCAAUGAGAAACGAAGUUGAUCCGAGGCAGUGGCCAGAUAAGAAGUGCUCAAGAAUAUCAUUAUAUGACAAUAACUUUAGUGAAAUUCCUCAAGGUUGGGAAUGCCCUCAGCUUGAGUUUUUCUACAUUUUAGCCCCCAAAGAUUCUCCUCUGAAAAUCCCGGACAACAUUUUCAUGGGGAUGCCAAAGCUCAAAGUUUUACAUUUUAUUAGAAUGAGGUUAUUAUCAUUGCCGUCAUCGAUUCAUCUCCUAACAGACCUUCGAACAUUGUGUCUGGAUGGUUGUGAAUUGGAAGACAUUAGAAUAAUUGGAAAGCUGAAGAAGCUAGAAAUUCUUAGCUUGCAAGGUUCUGAUAUUGAGCAAUUACCUCGGGAAAUAGGCCAAUUGACUCAGCUAAAGUUGUUAGAUUUGAGGAAUUGUUCCAAAUUAAAAGUGAUUGCACCAAAUGUUCUGUCGAACUUAUCUCAACUGGAAGAAUUGUACAUGGCUAAUUGCUUUAUUGAAUGGGAGCAUCUAGGACUCAGCAGUGAGAGAAGUAAUGCCAGCCUCGUUGAAUUGAAGAAUUUAUCUCGUUUGACCACUUUAGAGAUAAAUAUUCUUGAUGCAGGGAUUCUACCGAGUGGCUUCUUCUCAAGAAAGCUGGAGAGGUAUAGAAUUGUCUUGGGGAAUGAGUGGGACCGGUUUUACAAAUAUAAUACUCGGAGAACUUUGAAACUCAAUCUCAAAUCUCGCAUUUGCUUGGAGGAGUGGCGGGGCAUGAAGAACGUGGAAUACUUAUGUUUAGGAGAAUUGCAGGGUUUGACGAAUGUUCUUCAUGAUUUGGAUGGGGAGGGUUUUGCAGAGCUGAAACAUCUCAAUAUCCGAAAUAAUCCCAAUUUUUUAUGUAUAGUUGAUCCGGUACAAGUACGUGGCGGUGCCUUCCCAAUGUUAGAGUCCCUGGUUCUUCAGAAUUUGAUUAAUUUGGAGAGAAUAUGUCAUGGUCAGCCCCUAGCAGAAUCUUUCUGCAAUUUGAAAACAAUAGAAGUGGGAAGUUGUGAUAAAUUGAAAAAUUUGUUCUCAUUCUCCAUUGCCAAAUUCCUUCCCCAACUGGAGACAAUUAAAGUGAUUCAGUGCAAAAAUAUAGAAGAGAUAUUUGUUUCUACCAAUGAAGAGGCGAUCGGUGAGAUUGCAUCGGCGCAAGUACGCUUCUUGAUUCUUAGAACUCUUCCACUGUUCACAAGCUUCUCCACGUAUGUCAAGUCAACUUCUACUGUAGAAGUAAAGCACAAUGAAAUCAUUUUGGAAAACGAGAACCAGCUUUAUAAUCUUCCGUCACUGUUUAAUGAGAAGGUAGGUGAACAAAUCUUAUUUUCUUAUUUUAUUAGUACUAUUGCCAUCAUAAAAACUCAUAUUGAGACCACAACUCUGUGUGCAGUUUUUGCUCCCUAACUUGGAGGUCUUGGAACUGACGGGUAUUAAUGUCGCAAAGAUAUGGCACAACCAACUUUCAGAAAUGUCUUGUAACGUUCGAAAUUUAACACGCUUGGUCGUGUCGGGCUGCGACAAAUUAAAAUACGUGUUUUCACCUUCUACAGCUAAAAGACUUGGGCAGCUUCAAUACCUUGAGAUAUCCCGGUGCCCACUUUUAGAGGAAAUUGUUGGUAAGGAAGGUGGAGUGGAAGCGGAUCAUUCUUUUGUCUUUCCACGGUUAACAAUCCUGCAACUCAGCUUCCUAUCAGAACUUAGAGCCUUCUAUCCUGGAAUACACACUUUGGAAUGUCCCACUUUAACUAAGUUGAAAGUGUAUUCUUGUGGUAAACUAGAAUGUUUCUCUUCAGAACCCCCGUCAUUGUUUAAUGAAAAGGUAGGUGAACAAUCCUUAUUCUCUUAUUUUAUUAAUCCUACUGCUACCACAAGAACUCGUAUUGACACAACAACUCUGUGUGCAGCUUGUGCUUCCUGACUUGGAAGUAUUGGAAGUGCGGGAUAUUAAGGUUGCAAAGAUACAACACAACCAACUUUCAGCAGCAAUGUCCUGUAACGUUCAAAAUUUAACACGCUUGAUCUUGGAGGACUUCUGCAAAUUAAGAUACGUGUUUUCAUAUUCUCUGGCUAAAAGACUUGGGCAGCUUCAACACCUUGAGAUAUCCCGGUGCCCACUUUUGGAGGAAAUUGUUGGCAAGGAAGCUGGAGUGGAAGCGGAUCCUUCUUUUGUCUUUCCACGGUUAACAACCCUACAACUCAGCUUCCUACCAGAACUUAGAGCUUUCUAUCCGGGAAUCCACACUUUGGAAUAUCCCAUUUUAACUAAGUUGAAAGUAUCUUCUUGUGGCAAACUAGAAAGUUUCUCUUCAGAACCUCCGUCACUGUUUAAUGAAAAGGUAGGUGAACAAACCUUAUUCUCUUAUUUUAUUAAUCCUACGGCUACCACAAGAACUCGUAUUGACACAACAACUCUGUGUGCAGCUUGUGCUUCCUGACUUGGAAGUAUUGGAAGUGCGGGAUAUUAAGGUUGCAAAGAUACAACACAACCAACUUUCAGCAGCAAUGUCCUGUAAUGUUCAAACUUUAACACGCUUGAUCUUGGAGGACUUCUGCAAAUUAAGAUACGUGUUUUCAUAUUCUCUGGCUAAAAGACUUGGGCAGCUUCAACACCUUGAGAUAUCCCGGUGCCCACUUUUGGAGGAAAUUGUUGGCAAGGAAGGUGGAGUGGAAGCGGAUCCUUCUUUUGUCUUUCCACGGUUAACAACCCUGCAACUCAGCUUUCUACCAGAACUUAGAGCUUUCUAUCCUGGAAUGCACACUUUGGAAUUUCCAAUUUUAACUAAGUUGAAAGUGUCUUCUUGUGGCAAACUAGAAAGUUUCUCUUCAAAACCUCCGUCACUGUUUAAUGAAAAGGUAGGUGAACAUGCCAUAUUCUCUUAUUUUAUUAAUACUAUUUCUACCACAAGAACCUGAAUUGACACAAGAACUUUGUGUGCAGCUUGUGCUUCCUGACUUGGAGGUAUUGGAAGUGCGGGAUAUUAAUGUUGCAAAGAUAUGGCACAACCAACUUUCAGCACCAACGUCCUGUAACGUUCGAAAUUUAACACGCUUGGUCGUGUCGGGCUGCGUCAAAUUAAAAUACGUGUUUUCAUCUUCUACAGCUAAACGACUUGGGCAGCUUCAACACCUUGAGAUAUCCCGGUGCCCACUUUUAGAGGAAAUUGUUGGUAAGGAAGGUGGAGUGGAAGCGGAUCAUUCUUUUGUCUUUCCACGGUUAACAAUCCUGCAACUCAGCUUCCUAUCAGAACUUAGAGCUUUCUAUCCUGGAAUACACACUUUGGAAUGUCCCACUUUAACUAAGUUGAAAGUGUAUUCUUGUGGUAAACUGGAAUGUUUCUCUUCAGAACCCCCGUCAUUGUUUAAUGAAAAGGUAGGUGAACAAUCCUUAUUCUCUUAUUUUAUUAAUCCUACUGCUACCACAAGAACUCGUAUUGACACAACAACUCUGUGUGCAGCUUGUGCUUCCUGACUUGGAAGUAUUGGAAGUGCGGGAUAUUAAGGUUGCAAAGAUACAACACAACCAACUUUCAGCAGCAAUGUCCUGUAACGUUCAAACUUUAACACGCUUGAUCUUGGAGGACUUCUGCAAAUUAAGAUACGUGUUUUCAUAUUCUCUGGCUAAAAGACUUGGGCAGCUUCAACACCUUGAGAUAUCCCGGUGCCCACUUUUGGAGGAAAUUGUUGGCAAGGAAGGUGGAGUGGAAGCGGAUCCUUCUUUUGUCUUUCCACGGUUAACAAUCCUGCAACUCAGCUUCCUACCAGAACUUAGAGCCUUCUAUCCUGGAAUACACACUUUGGAAUGUCCCACUUUAACUAAGUUGAAAGUGUAUUCUUGUGGUAAACUAGAAUGUUUCUCUUCAGAACCCCCGUCAUUGUUUAAUGAAAAGGUAGGUGAACAAUCCUUAUUCUCUUAUUUUAUUAAUCCUACUGCUACCACAAGAACUCGUAUUGACACAACAACUCUGUGUGCAGCUUGUGCUUCCUGACUUGGAAGUAUUGGAAGUGCGGGAUAUUAAGGUUGCAAAGAUACAACACAACCAACUUUCAGCAGCAAUGUCCUGUAACGUUCAAAAUUUAACACGCUUGAUCUUGGAGGACUUCUGCAAAUUAAGAUACGUGUUUUCAUAUUCUCUGGCUAAAAGACUUGGGCAGCUUCAACACCUUGAGAUAUCCCGGUGCCCACUUUUGGAGGAAAUUGUUGGCAAGGAAGGUGGAGUGGAAGCGGAUCCUUCUUUUGUCUUUCCACGGUUAACAACCCUGCAACUCAGCUUCCUACCAGAACUUAGAGCUUUCUAUCCGGGAAUACACACUUUGGAAUAUCCCAUUUUAACUAAGUUGAAAGUAUCUUCUUGUGGCAAACUAGAAAGUUUCUCUUCAGAACCUCCGUCACUGUUUAAUGAAAAGGUAGGUGAACAAACCUUAUUCUCUUACUUUAUUAAUCCUACUGCUACCACAAGAACUCGUAUUGACACAACAACUCUGUGUGCAGCUUGUGCUUCCUGACUUGGAAGUAAUGGAAGUGCGGGAUAUUAAGGUUGCAAAGAUACAACACAACCAACUUUCAGCAGCAAUGUCCUGUAACGUUCAAAUUUAACACGCUUGAUCUUGGAGGACUUCUGCAAAUUAAGAUACAUGUUUUCAUAUUCUAUGGCUAAAAGACUUGGGCAGCUUCAACACCUUGAGAUAUCCCGGUGCCCACUUUUAGAGGAAAUUGUUGGUAAGGAAGGUGGAGUGGAAGCGGAUCAUUCUUUUGUCUUUCCACGGUUAACAAUCCUGCAACUCAGCUUCCUACCAGAACUUAGAGCUUUCUAUCCUGGAAUACACACUUUGGAAAUUCCAAUUUUAACUAAGUUGAAAGUGUCUUCUUGUGGCAAACUAGAAAUUUUCUCUUCAGAACCUCCGUCACUGUUUAAUGAAAAGGUAGGUGAACAUGCCAUAUUCUCUUAUUUUAUUAAUACUAUUGCUACCACAAGAACUCGUAUUGACACAACAACUCUGUGUGCAGCUUGUGCUUCCUAACUUGGAGGUCUUUGAAGUGCGGGAUAUUAAUGUUGCAAAGAUAUGGCACAACCAACUUUCAGCACCAACGUCCUGUAACGUUCGAAAUUUAACACGCUUGGUCGUGUCGGGCUGCGACAAAUUAAAAUACGUGUUUUCAUCUUCUACAGCUAAAAGACUUGGGCAGCUUCAACACCUUGAGAUAUCCCGGUGCCCACUUUUAGAGGAAAUUGUUGGUAAGGAAGGUGGAGUGGAAGCGGAUCCUUCUUUUGUCUUUCCACGGUUAACAAUCCUGCAACUCAGCUUCCUACCAGAACUUAGAGCUUUCUAUCCUGGAAUACACACUUUGGAAUGUCCCACUUUAACUAAGUUGAAAGUGUAUUCUUGUGGUAAACUGGAAUGUUUCUCUUCAGAACCCCCGUCACUGUUUAAUGAAAAGGUAGGUGAACAAACCUUAUUCUCUUACUUUGUUAAUCCUACUGCUACCACAAGAACUCGUAUUGACACAAGAAAUCUGUGUGCAGCUUGUGCUUCCUGACUUGGAAGUAUUGGAAGUGCGGGAUAUUAAGGUUGCAAAGAUACAACACAACCAACUUUCAGCAGCAAUGUCCUGUAACGUUCAAAAUUUAACACACUUGAUCUUGGAGGACUUCUGCAAAUUAAGAUACUUGUUUUCAUAUUCUACGGCUAAAAGACUUGUGCAGCUUCAACACCUUGAGAUAUCCCGGAGCCCACUUUUGGAGGAAAUUGUUGGCAAGGAAGGUGGAGUGGAAGCGAAUCCUUCUUUUAUCUUUCCACGGUUAACAGUCCUGCAACUCAGCUUCCUACCAGAACUUAGAGCUUUCUAUCCUGGAAUACACACUUUGGAAUUUCCAAUUUUAACUAAGUUGAAAGUGUCUUCUUGUGGCAAACUAGAAAUUUUCUCUUCAAAACCCCCGUCACUGUUUAAUGAAAAGGUAGGUGAACAAACCUUAUUCUCUUAUUUUAUUAAUCCUACUGCUACCACAAGAACUUGUAUUGACACAAGAACUCUGUGUGCAGCUUGUGCUUCCUGACUUGGAUGUCUUGGAAGUGCGAGAUAUUAAUAUUGGAAAUAUAUGGCACUACCAACUUCUAGAAAUUGCUUGUAACGUUCAAAAGUUAACACGCUUGAUCGUGGAGGAUUGCUGCAAAUUAGAUACAUGUUUUCAUAUUCUACGGCUAAAAGACUUGGACAGCUUCAACACCUUAAGAUAUCCCGGUGCCCACUUUUGGAGGAAAUUGUUGGCAAAGAAUGUGGAGCGGAAGCGGAUCCUUCUUUUGUUUUUCCCCGGUUAACAUUCCUGCAACUCAGCUUCCUACCAGAAUUUAGAGCUUUUUAUCCUGGAAUACACACUUUGGAAUGUCCUAUUUUAACUGAAUUUAAUGUGUUUUCUUGUGGCAAACUAGAAAGUUUCUCUUCAGAAUAUUAUAGCCUCCACGAAAAUAAUGAGGGCCAACUUAUUGAUGUGCCAGUGCCAGUGCGACUGCCCCUGUUCUUGGUUGAAAAGGUACGAGUCUCUUUUCUAUAAUAUAUGCUUUGUUUGUUUCAAAAUUUAUUUUAUUUUAUUUUAUUUUAGUUAUGACAAUCCAUAAAUAUAUUUUUCUUUGGAAUUUUUAGAGUGAACAUCAACUCCAACUUGUUUAUGUUUGAUUCGUCAUUAGGUCUUACCUAAUUUGGAGGUUUUGAGAUUAAGCAAGAAGGAUAUCGUAAAGAUAUGGCAGGGUCCGUUUCCAGACCAUCUUUCAAACAAACUCAAAGUCCUUGCUAUUUUGAAUGAUGAAUCGGAAGUUUUACCACCUGAUUUACUCGAGAGAUUUCACAAUCUGGUCAAUCUCCAACUAGUUGAUGGUUCUUACAAAGAGUUAUUCUCAAAUGAAGGGCAGGUUGAGAAACAUGUCGGAAAGCUCGCUCAGAUAAAACAUUUAAAGCUGAGGCGACUAAAUGAUCUAAAGCACCUGUGGCUGUGGGAACAAAACUCCAAACUGAACACGGUUUUUCAAAAUCUUGAAACUCUAUAUAUAUCCUUUUGUCUUAAUCUGACAAAUCUAAUGCCUUCCUCUACCUCUUUUCGGUGUCUGAGAGAAUUGGAAGUACGAACUUGCGAGCAUCUGAUAAACUUGGUAGCAUCCUCGACAGCAAAAAAUCUAGUGCAACUCGUAAGGAUGACGGUAAGGGAAUGCAAUAAAAUUACCGAGUUGGUGGUAGCAAGCGAGGGAGAUGCAGCAAACGACGAUAUUAUAUUCCCCAAAUUGAUGUUCUUGAAGCUUCAUCGUCUACAAAGUCUCACAACCUUCUGCUCUGCAAACUACACUUUCAAAUUCCCAUCUUUAUCGUGUUUAUUAGUGGACGAUUGCCCCAAGAUGAAGAUUUUCUGCGGAGGAGUCUUAAGCGCACCAAAAUUAAAACAAGUGCGGCUAAAUGGUCGAAAUUGUUGGGACGGUGACCUCAAUACAACCAUCCAACUGUCACAUUACAAAACGGUGCGUAUUCAUCAACCAAACCAUUUUUUGUUUUUUUCACUGGAGGAUUGUUUGUUUUGACACCAUAUUUGAGUGGACUACUUGAUUUAAAUUUUAUAAUUCAAUUUAAAUCAUUUUUUAAUCAAAUUGAAAUUACAUAUAUAAUUGCAUAUUAUUAUAAUUAGACAAUAUAAUAACAAAUACUACAAAAUUAUUUAUAUAUCGUAAAAAAUUUUUCAAAAAAAGUAACAUUGUGCAUUUAAAUAGUUAAAAGAGACUACUAAUUUUAAUUAAUUAUUAUUCCGAUUCUCUUGUUUUAACAGUAUAAAUAUUCUAUUUCAUUUGUUUACACAUUAAAUGACAACACAAUUUUAAAUUUACCAAUAUAAUUUUUUAUUAUUGCAAUAAAGAUAAAAUAGUUUGAAUUAAUAUCUAAACAUUUAGUACAAUCCUAUAUAAUAUUAUAAUGUGAGUUCGCUUCUAAAUGAGUUCAAAAGAUAUUUUAAACUAGUACCUCUAUACACUUCGGCCAUGUUUGGCACAAAGGAUUAGAUUGCACUAAGUAUUAGGAUUAGACUAAAUUAGACUGGAUUAUAUCUAACUUAUGUAUAGUACACUAUCGAAUUGGAUUAUGUUAAAUUAAACUUAAAUGAAGUUAAAUGGUAUUUAAGUUAAUAUUUGGAUUUAAAUAUCAACCAUAUAUAGAUAUUUAAUAAGAAAUAUUACAAUUAAUUAAAAUAAAAUAAUAAAAAAUUACACACACAGACACACAUACAUAUAUUCAAUUAGUUAUGGGUUAGUCGUACUUAGAAUGAAGAAGUAUAAAUUGUUUAAAUAUGAGAUAUAUCAUUUCAUUUAAUAAAACUAUUCAAAUAAUAAAUUAAUUAAUAAUUUUUAAGUAAAUCAUGAAUAAAAAUAAAUAAAUUACUUAAUUAACAACAAUAAAUAAAUAAAUUUUAAGUUAUAAAUAAAAAUAAUCAUAAUUAUAAUUUCUUUUUCUCAUUGCCUAAUCCUAUUUAAACCCAUAUGAAAAUUGGGAUUACUAAUCCAAUGAAUUUAUGAUUAAAAAUUGAAUUUAUGCUGCGUUUACAUUCCAGAUUGGGAAAUUUAGAAUCAGAAUGAUUGACGGCAUUUACUUUGUAAAAAUGGAGCAAGAAUUGGGGUCGGAAUCAUGAGGCCCACCACUAUUUGAGAAUGGGGAAUGAGAGAUUGAUUCCCAUGGGGGAGGUGGGAAUCAUUCUCUCAUUCCCUAGAGUUAUCAUUUUGCCCCCAUUGACAUUCAAAUAAUCCUAAAAUGCCCCUCUUUUAAUUCAAAAAUAUAAAUAUCAAAAAUAAGAAAGCCAAAUAUAUAAUUAAUUAAUAUAUUAUUAUAAUUAAUUAAUUAGUAUAUUAUAGUUAAUUAGUUUAUUGAUACAUUAUUAACAAGAAUUAUUAAUAAUUUUAAUUUUUGAAUAAAUAAUCACAAUAAUUAAUAUAUUAUUAUUAUAAUUAAUUAAUUACUAUAAUAUUAUAAUAAUUAUUAUAAUUAAUUCAUAUAUUAUCAUUAAUUAAUUGAAAUAAUUAUUACUAUUAAUUAAUAUAAAAACUAUUAAUUAUUAUUAAUAAUAAUUAAUAUAAUUGAUUCAUAUAUGAUUAUUAAUAAUUAAUAGAUAUAAUUAUUACUAUUAAUUAAUAUAUUAAUACAUUAUUAACAAUAAUAUAUUAAUAAUUAUAGUUUUUGAAUAAAUAAUCACAAUAAUUAAUAUUUUUUAUUAUUAUAAUUAAUUAAUAACUAUACUAUCAUAAUAACCGUUAAUAUAAUUAUUAUAAUUAAUUCAUAUGUUAUUACUAUUAAUUAGUUAAUAUACUAUAAUAAUAAUAAUAAUUAUUAUUAUUAUAAUUAAUUUAUAUAUAUUAUUAUUUAUUAAUAUAUUAUUAUAAUUAAAUAAGUAAUAUUGAUAUUAUUAAUUAAUAUAUUUUAUAAUAAUGAUUAAUAUAAUUAUUUUAAUUAAUUAAUUGAUAAUUUUUAUAAUUCAUUAAUAAAUCAAUAUAUUAUUGACAAUAAUUAAUAAUAAUAAUAAGUUUUGAAUAAAUAAUCACUAUAAUUAAAAUAUAAAAUAACAAUUAUGACAAUAAUUCAUUAAGUACUUUGUAGUAAUUUGUAACAAUCUAACUCAUUCCGAUUCCGAUUCUAAGACAAAGUAAACACAUUUAUGGCAAUCCAGCUCAUUCCGAUUUCGAUUCCUAUAGUUCAAGUAAAUAAUUUAUUCUGAUUCCCAUUUCCUAUUCACAUUCCAGUCCAUUCUGAUUCCAGCUCAUUCCGAUUACAGUUUAGUAAAUGCAGCAUUAGUCAAUUAGUCCAAUGCAAGUGAGCAUGACAAACAUAGGAUUAAUAGUUUGUCCCAAAAUUUAAUUCUAUACUCAAUCCUAACUCCCAAACAUAACCUUCAGGAGUAACUGGGGUAACCAAAUUAGUUGCCUAAGACCUUCAUUUGAACUCAACUGACUACAAAGAUACUACAUAGUUGGCAAAUAAAAUAAUCAACUCAAUUGUCGCAGAAGCUAGUUUAAGCAAUUUAUAUCAGAAGUGAACUAAUUGACAUGUCUUUAGGGUUCAUCCUUUCACCUUAAAUUAAAAAUGUUGCUUUUUUUUUUUUUUUUUAAUUUCAGAAUGCUCAGAGUUCAUAGACGAUUCAGGUCAAUCUUCAAUGCACCAUCAGGAAUAAGACCUUUUCCCUAUGAUGUUUAUUAGUCACGAGUUUUUCAUUGAAGAUAAUUUCCUUGUACUAAAGUCAGGUGCAGACAAGCCCUUCUGUUUCUGUCUUCAUUGUUCUGCUUUGGCUCUCUUCAACUUUUGUGUUGCUGAUUUGAAAGUAUUAUUAUAAAACUUACAUUCCGUGUAAUCGAUUGAGAUUCAAUGGUUAAAUGGUCCUUAAUAGUUUCCUGGUUGCUGUAUUAUGUGAGAUUCUCAGGCACCCAAAAUACAAUUUAAGUACCAAAAUUAAGGAUAUAUAGUUGAACUCUGCCUUUGCGUGCAACUUGUAUAUACUGUGUUCUAUGAGGAGUGUUAAGCAAAUAAAAGCACCAGGUCGGCCAUGCUACUAUUUUCACCCCGGCAUGAAUCACCUCAGUCAAAUGGUACGAGCAGAACAGGGGGUAACAUGAGCCGAUCAGAGACGAAUACUGACCAGAGCCAUAUACCGAGCCGGUACCCGUCCCCCAAAAAGUGGAAACACGAUCUCACAGAAUCACGGUAGUUGCGCUUUCCCAGAACCGUUGCGGGAGACGCGAGAUCCCACGUUUACCCACAGUGCAGCAGUUAGAAUCCCAUGAGAGGCUACCACUACCCGAGAAAGGUGGGAUGAAGGGCAAACGGGAACGUGGGGACAGUGGCUAUAAAAAGAAGAAGAAAUCAAUGAAGAAGGGGAUAGAAAAACUGAGAGAGGGAAAACGCUGCCAAAUUGAAACCAGGCAAUUUUAUUACAAACUUCGAGCAAAUUAGAACCACUCUUGAAUCAAAAUUUAAAUGUUUUCCCGUAAACACCUUGUGCUAACUUAGGCAUCAGAGGGUUUACGCCGGCAAAACCACCGGCGUCUCUGAUCUGUUUUUGGUGAACGCAGGUCUAGUAAGGAAAAGGAGAGUGAUUCCAACCUCAGUGGUUCGAGCAGCAGUGGAUAUUAUAAACGUUGGUGAAAGACUCUGGUCGGUCCAAGGGCGAGCAGAUUUCAGCAUCAACAUUUUGGCGCCGUCUGUGGGGUGGAUAAAAAGCUACCACCAAAUUAGAAAUUACCGGAGAAACAGCGAACGGUUAGACAUGGAUGUGACGAGGAAGGACGCUUUGAGGGAGGAUAACGAAGCUGGGGAGACAAUCACUCUUCGGGAAAUUACAAAUGAAGCCCGGGAGAGGGUGAUGCAAGAUCGAUUAGAACGGAUGGAAAGACAAAUGGAGACUCUCACGACCGUACUAUACGAGCUGAGGGAUGAACGGAGAAGAGAUUGUGAAACCCCCAUGGGGAGAGAUGUUGUUGGAGCGGAACCUAGCCUCCGGAGGCGUAGGGUCGAGGAAAUCCCUCCGCUGGCAGACCAACCUAACGGGGUGCAUCCCCACAGAAGUACUAGCCGGGUUCCAGGAGAACGAGUAGAUGAAGGAAGGGACCAACUUCUCCCCGGACGGGUAUUGGAAGUCAAUAGCCGAGGGUCAGUGCUGACGAAGGAGAGCUCAGACAGCGGUUGCAUAAUGCCGAGCUGGAACGAGACCAGAUAACUGCACGUGAUCCUGGCCGUGCCAUUGAAUUGGAGGGGAGGUGCGCAGAUUGGCGCAGGUGAUGGAGGAGAUACAGGGCAAGAGAAAGCCCCCGAGCUGGAGAAUAAUGCUAGAUGAAGAGUCUCAGUUAUCAACCGAGAUCAUGGGUACCGUAAUCCAAAAAGACUUCCGCUUCCCCGACCUCAAAUACUCCGGACGAAGUGACCCGCUGGUGCCCAUCGAGCGUUUCAAUGACAUGACGGGUGUGCAGGGGCUGACACCAGCUCAGAGGUGCAGGGUGUUCCCAUUGACACUGGAGGGACGAGCCCGAGAAUGGUAUCGCAAGUUGCCCCGAGGAAAUAUAAAGAGGUACGAGCAGAUGUGCCAGGAGUUGGCCGAGCAGUUCUGAGGAGUAGUAGCCCCAGAAGACGACAUGAUGGAAUUGAUGGGGAUAAAACAAGAGGAGCAUGAGUCCCUACGGGAUUUUGUAAAGCGAUACCACCGAGCCGUACUUGAUUUGGGAGCUUUCAAUCACCCGUAGGCGUUGAGGGGAUUAAAGGAGGGUGUGAGGAUAGGCCGGCUAUGGUAUAACCUGAGAAGCCCCCUAGUGCAGAGUUAUUCAGCAGGGUAUGAGCAGGCAAAGAGAGACAUCAAAAUCGAAGAAGAAAAAUCGGCAAGGAUAAAGAGUGAACAGCUGGAAGAGCUGAGACGAAAGGAAAGGAGAGCUCCAUGUGGGAGCGGGUCGGGAAAGCGAGUUGGGGAAUCCUCAGUAAGGGGCGGCACAUCAGCUCGGUCCCGCCCUUACCCCAUAGCUCCGAGAUCACAACAGUUCCAGCACAACCGGGCUCAACCUCUGCGUCCCCCAUUCCCGGAUCGGCAGCGAGAAUUCCGGCAGAUGGCUGCCGGCCCCUAUCACAACACUCCCAGAGCAUUACAUGCAACCAAUUCCAGGGUUAGACGACCAGAUCAGUCAGCGACUAUGCCAGCCCGAGGUGACGUUCAUGAUAGCCGAGCAGUUCAGCUGGUAGACCAGAGCUUGGCAUAUAGACAAUACACUCCAUUAAAGAUCUCCAUGGAGGAAUUGUAUGAGAGGAUCGAGGGACGAGGCCUGCUGUACCCUCCAGUCCCAAUAAUAAAACCGACUCACCGACGGGAUAAGAGCAGAUUCUGCAAGUUCCACGACACUCACGGUCACACUAUCAGCCAAUGUCGGGACCUGAAAAUUCAGGUGGAGGAUUUAGUAAGGAACCGUUACUUAGACGAGUAUGUAGAUGGAGUGUCCCCUAUCAUGGAAUCACAGUACAUACAGGAUGAAGGAGUUGAGAGGGAUCUGGAACGUGAACAGCCGACCAUCCGUGUGAUAGCAGGAGGGCCAACAUUGGCCGGGGACUCGAACAGAGCACGGAAGAACUAUGGGAGAUACGCCAUGACUGACAAAUAGGUGCUUUUAAAUUUGCCAGCGGCCAAGAAGGCAAGAGUGCGGCAAGUUCCCAUUAUGUGGAUGGAGGAUGACGAAGAGGGCAUUCUAUAUCCUCACGAGGAUGCACUGGUGAUUAAGGCAUUGGUGGCUGGUACAGAAUUGCGGCGAAUAUUGGUAGACACGGGCAGCUCAAUAGACAUUCUGUUUAAGUCGGCCCUAGAUGAUAUGGGGAUUUCAGACUUGAAGCUGGAGCGGACGAAUAUAUCCUUAAAGGGGUUUGGAGGGGUACGAUUAACUCCCAUGGGGGUCAUUGAACUCCCGAUUACUGUGGGGACAAAGCCAUUUGAAAGAACGAUGAUGCUGGACUUUGUCGUGGUAGAGGAAAGAAGUCCUUACCAAAUGAUAUUGGGCAGACCGUUCAUGAGAAUAAGCCAAUGCGUAAUGUCCACGCAUUAUCUGGCACUAAAUUACAGAAUAAAUGGAGUUGUGGGUGUAGUAAAGGGCGACCAGAGAAUGGCCAGGAGCUGCUAUGCUACAGCGGCCAAGGAAACACUGCAAGUUACCUCUCUAGAUAACCGAGGGGAUUCAAAAAACGGUCGCCAGGAACCUGUUGAGAAGCUGGAGGAAGUUGCUGUAAGCAGGAAUGACCCUAGCAGAGUGGUUAAGGUCGGAUCAGAAUUGGGCGAAGCAAUAAAAGGCGAGCUGGUGAAGUGUCUAUAGUCCCAUGCAGACAUAUUUACCUGGUCUCAUGAAGAUAUGCCAUGUAUUAAUCGCGGGGUAGCUUGUCACAAGCUGGCAGUCAAGAAAGGGGCAAGGCCGGUGAGGCAGAAAAGGAGGUGCUUCAACCAGGAAAGAUACGAGGCCAUAAAUGCCGAGGUGGAAAAGCUGCUGAAAGCAGGAUUUAUAAGGGAAGCCAAAUACCCGGAAUGGAUUUCAAACGUAGUACUGGUAAAGAAUGCCAAUGGGAAGUGGAGAAUGUGUGUAGACUUCACGGACCUCAACAAGGCAUGCCCGAAGGACAGCUUUCCCCUACCCAAAAUAGAUCAGUUGGUGGACUCAACCGCGGGUCAUAGUCUGCUCAGUUUCAUGGAUGCCUUUUCCGGAUACAACCAGAUACCCAUGGACGAGCAGGAUGAGGAAAGCACUACAUUUAUAACUAACAUGGGUCUGUUUUGUUACAGGGUGAUGCCCUUUGGCCUGAAAAAUGCAGGAGCUACCUAUCAAAGGCUAGUGAACAAAGUCUUCAAACCAUUGAUCGGUCACACCAUGGAAGUAUACGUGGACGAUCUGAACACCAAGUCAAGAGAACCGAAAGAGCAUGUGAAGCACUUGGAAGAGACCUUUGAAUUGCUGAGAAGGUAUGAAAUGAAGCUGAACCCGGAGAAAUGUGCAUUUGGGGUCAGCUCGGGCAAAUUUUUGGGAUACCUGGUGAGCCAUCGAGGGAUUGAGGCCAACCCGGAAAAGAUACGGGCGGUGAUAGAAAUGAGGUCCCCACGAACAGUUAAGGAGGUGCAGAGCCUUACGGGGAAAUUAGCAGUAUUGAACCGAUUCAUUUCGCGAGCCACUGAUAAGUGCCACCAUUUCUUCCAAAUCAUAAAGAAAGGGAAGAAGAUGGAAUGGACACCGGAAUGCGAUGAGGCAUUUAGACAGCUGAAUGAAUACUUGACCCUCGCCCCGUUACUCUCAACUCCAAGAGAGGGUGAUCAGCUGCUUUUGUACUUGGCAAUCUCCAAGCGGGCUACCAGCUCGGUCCUGGUCAGGGAAGAAGAAGGGAAGCAACACCCGGUAUACUACACAAGCAAGGCUCUGGUAGACGCAGAAACCAGAUAUCCACUAAUGGAGAAGUGGGCGCUGGCUCUGAUAACGGCAGCACGCAAGCUGCAACCAUAUUUCCAAGCCCAUCAGAUCGUUGUGAUGACUGACCAGCCCCUUCGGCAAGUGCUUAAAAAACCAGAUGCGUCAGGUCGGUUAGUAAAAUGGUCUGUGGAGCCGAGCGAAUUCGACUUAUCAUACAGGCCCCGAGGAGCAAUCAAGGCCCAAGCCCUGGCUGAUUUUAUGGUUGACCGUACUGGACCAGGGGAAGAGGUCCAAGAGGAACAACCAGCAGAACAGAAGGAUCCAAAGGGGGUGUGGCUGGUAAUGGUGGAUGGGUCACGUAGUGAACAGGGAUCCGGGGCAGGAGUUAUAAUACGAAGCCCAGAAGGUGUCGAGGUGUCUUAUGCUGUAAAGUUCGAGUUCCAGCUUACGAAUAACCAAGCUGAAUAUGAGGCCUUCAUUACUGGGCUCGGUCUGGCACAUGCACUACGAGCAGAAAGGGUAGAAAUCCGAGCCGAUUCCCAGCUAGUAUGUAACCAGCUCAGCGAUCAAUUCCAAGCAAGGGGGAGAAGAUGGGUCUUUAUCUGAAGAAAGCAAAACAGAUGGUUGGACUUUUCCAAGAGGUGGAGGUAAAGCAUAUAUCCCGGAAUGAGAAUUACCGAGCGGAUAUGUUGGCUCGGAUGGCUGCAAUUGCAGACCCGAAAUUACCUAAGUCAGUUCCACUAGAGGUAAGGACCUCGCCGAGCAUAGGUGAGGAAGUGGAGGUGAUGAGAAUAACCACUGGAGAAUCCUGGAUGGACCCGAUUCGCGCGUAUGUCCGCGAUGGAGUUUUGCCUGAGGAUAGAAGGCAAGCAAGAAAGUUAAAAUGCCGAGCAGCGAGGUACACGCUACUAGAUGAAGUGCUGUACCGCCGAGGGUUCACCUUGCCCCUUUUGCGAUGUGUGGAUGAUGAGGAGGCAGAUUAUGUACUAAGGGAAAUUCAUGAAGGAAUUUGCGGCAAUCACUCGGGAGCAAGAACUUUAGCCUUCAUGGCACUCCGGCAAUGAUACUUCGGGCCGACCAUGCACCAGGAUGCAAAAAAGAUCGCAAAAAACUGUAAAACAUGCCAAAGCUUCUCUGAGGUUCAUGUACAACCCCCAGAAAAGCUGACCACAAUGACAUCCCCAUGGCCUUUUGCCCAAUGGGGAAUCGACUUGAUUGGUCCGUUACCGAAAGGCCGAGGAGCGGCGACACAUGCAAUUGUGGCAAUAAAUUACUUCACCAAGUGGGUAGAAGUGGGAGUCCUCAGCCAAAUCACGGAGAGAAAGACAACGGAUUUUAUUUGGAAGAACAUCAUCUGUCGAUAUGGGAUCCCCUAUGCCAUCAUUACAGACAAUGGAAGACAGUUUGACAACAGCAACUUCAGAGAGUUUUGCAGAAAUUUGGGGGUGGACCUGAAGUUCUGCACCCCCGCACACCCCCAGGCAAACGGACAAGUGGAAGCAGCCAACAAAGUGAUAAAGAAGCUCUUGAAAACCAGAUUGGGAGAGAAGAAGGGAGCUUGGGUUGACGAGCUACCAGGGGUAUUGUGGGCUUACCGGACAACUCACAAAACUGCUACAGGGGAAACCACGUUCGCUUUAGCUUUUGGUCAUGAGGCAGUAGUCCCAGCAGAGAUUGGAGUGGGGACACAUCGGACGGAAUACUUCAAUGAGGAGCAAAAUGGCGAGCAGAUCUGCUUGAGCCUGGACUUGCUGGAGGAGAAAAGGGAAGGGGCCUCGCAGAAAGUGGCCCAGUGUCAGCAAAGGGUCACGCGUUAUUACAACAAGAAUGUACGCGUGAGGCAGUUCCGAGCAGGAGAUUGGGUACUUAGGAAGGUGAAUCAAAAUACUAGGGAUCCCAACCAUGGUGCUCUUGGCCCAAAAUGGGAAGGCCCGUAUAGAGUAAUACGAGCCACGGGACCAGGAGCUUAUAAGUUAGCAUACCCAGAUGAGCGAGACGUGAAGAGGUCGUGGAACGCCGAGCACUUAAAGAAGUAUUUCCAGUAAGCAAAAUACUCCACUAAAUCUUAAAUUUGAUAAGUUAUAUUUGUCAAAUGCAUGGUGGCUUGGUGCACAUGCAUAUAUUUUGUAUUUUUGUAACGCAUUCAAAUUUCAAUAAAGAUGAAUUCAGUAUGAAAGAUGAAUUCAGUAUGAAAUCCCCCGGCUAAUAAGCCCACAAAAAUCUUACUAAGGCAAGUAAGUGCCUACUUCUGCACGGUCAACGAAAGACCAGCAGCUAAAUUUACGAAGAUUCUACUAAGGCAAGUAAGUGCCUGCUUCUGCUCGGUCAACGAAAGACCAGCAGCUAAAUUUACGAAGAUUCUACUAAGGCAAGUAAGUGCCUGCUUCUGCUCGGUCAACGAAAGACCAGCAGCUAAAUCUACGAAGAUUCUACUAAGGCAAGUAAGUGCCUACUUCUGCUCGGUCAACGAAAGACCAGCGGCUAAUUCUACAAAAAAUCUUACUAAGGCAACAAAGUGCCUGUUUCUGCUCGGUCAACGAAAGACCAGCAGCUAAAGCUUCGAAAAUUUUACUAAGGCAAACGGAUGCCUAUUCCUGUUCGAUGCACCAAAGAACCAACAGGCAAAACCAGACAAGAAAGCCAAUAGAGAGCAUUCAAAAAAUUUUAUAAACGUUCAAAUGUUUACAAAGUAAAUGAAAGACUAGAGUCUUUACAAAAAUAGACCUAAGGAUUAGGAGGAUUAACAGCCUCAGCAGGUGAAGGGUCAGCUAUCUCGGGAGGUGGAAGGUAAGCAAUAUCGGGAGGAGGAGGCACGGACCCCUGUCCCACUUCAAAAACACACCGCCCAGCUUCUCCCUCCUGCACCCCAUCCAAAGGAGCCUCCACCUGCUCCUGCUCACCCUGCUCCUUAUCUGCUUGGUCGACCUCCGCCAUAUACCGCUGCACUUCGGCCUCCAAUUUUUCAUGUCUAUCUCGGGAUAUUCUGUCUUAAGCACAGACAUGAUGCACUUGUAGGAGAAGGCAACCCCAGAAUCAUACUCGGCAUCCAGCCGAUCAUCCACAUCAGCGGAUUUACCUCUCUCCUCAGCCAGCUGCUCGCCCAAGGAUUUGAUUUCCCCCUCAAGGGCGGCCCUCAAAGUAUCCCUUUCAGCUUGAGUAGCCUGAAGAUCAGAUCUCAGGUCACCCAACUCGCCCUCGAGUUUGGAGGAAGUGGAUUCAGCAACCGCAACUUUCUCCUCUAGCUCCAUAAUCCGCUUGCUCAGCUCAGCCUGCUUCUCCUUGGAGCGAUCAGCAGAGUCGGCUUUCUUCUUCAAUUCCUGAAUGUCAGCUUGGAGCUUCUUCUCAUGGCGCACGGACCCAAGCUUGUAGCACGAAACCAUGGUAGCCAGCCGGAAUGACACUCUCGAUGUCCUUCACCAUCUUGGGCCCCACCGAUCUCUUGUAAUCCUUCUGAUACGGGCUCAGGUAGUCCGCUUGAUCCCGAGAGGACAGAGGAGAAGGUCGGUCCCCAGACUGGUAGCUGACCUCAGGACUCUUAUCAGAAGUUUUCUCCCCACUACUCUUGCGGGGUGGAGGAGGGGUUGCUGGACUUCUUUGGAGGAGGAGGGGGGUUGCUGGAGCUGCUUGGAGCCCGACCACGUUUUCUGGUCAUCGCACUUAGGAUCUUGUUAUCCAUUCCAGCUGCUAUGUCCACUAAACCCGAACCGACCAGGCUUGUUGGUGACAGAAGGUCUUGACAGGUAGACGCGUUUACCAGAGCAGUUUCCACCUGGAGCAGAGGUCGGUCUUCAAGCCCAUUUAUCAAAUCCCACGACUCUGAAAGAACAAACAAGGUUAAAGAACCCAAUAAGUAACGAGUCGAGAAAGAGUAUAGGCAAAAAAUGAACGACCUGGGGUGACAAAAUUUGUUGGAAGGUAAAUAUCACCACCCAACGAAUGAGCUGCUGGACACCAAGCUCCCCCAGCAAAGAAGAAUUUGUUCUUCCAAUUUUUGCACGAGGAGGGGAAGCCGGUGAUUGGUUUCCUCUUCGCAGAGCUCGACAUGAAGUAAUACCAGCCUGCUUCCUUCGGGCUACUCCUCAGCUGGUAAAGAUGCUUCACUUCAACGAGGGAGGGCUCCUCUGAUCCACACCUCUUCCACAACACAUACAUAGCCGAGAGAACCCUCCACCCAUUGGGAUGUAGCUGACCUGGGGCCAAGUGCAUACCACCCAAUAUCUUAGCAAAAUAACGUUGAAGGGGCAGCCGAGCUCCCAAUUUGAAGCUCUCCAAGUGCAUCGUCACAUACCCCUACGGAGGCCGACUAGGGACGUCACCUUUUCCUGGAACUACCAGGAGAAUCUCCGCAGGAAUGUCGUAAAGGUUCCUCAGCUUGAACAGAUCAGUUUGGGUGGUGGCACAAGCUGUGUAGUCAAUAGGGUAAGAAUCCGCCUCUACCCUAUGACCAAGGUGCCUUCUCUGAGGAGGUCCCCUCGGUCCUGAACUGCUCCCCUCACCAUCACCAACUCCUUCAGGGAUCCCAACCCCAUCAAAGCUGUGGUUCUCACCAAAGCCCGAUGCAGGUCCACCUCUAUUCCCUAUAAACUCUAGUUCGGGGGAAGGAGGGACAACCAAAGGGCAUGGGUACUCAAGAGUAUCCCUGCCAUGGGAAAGACCUACACUGCUGGAAGGACCUAGGAAAUCGGUGGGUAUUGGCACGUUGAGGCCUGAAUCCCCUGAUUCUUCAUCGCCCUCAUCAAUAAUUAACUUUCUUUUCCGGUUUGACAUAUCGGAGUCCCGAAAGAAAACAAAGAAAACUCGAAUAAACUGAUACAAAAGGGGGCAACACAAAACCCAAUCAACAACAACCAAAGCAGGAGUUAAAGGCUGUACCUGGAAUACACUGGCACUGAUAAUGUUGCUGUGAUGAAGGUAAAAUCCCGCAAACGGAAGUCCUAGACACAGAGAGUGUGAACAAAGUUCGUAGGAAUUGACUCGUGACAGAAGAACGAAUAGAACGAAACAACGAGGAUUUGGGUCUAAGGAUUCGAAGCGAAAAGGGAAAUGAAAGCAUUUAAGUGAUAGAGACGCCAGCUCAUUCACCGUACAUCAAGGACAGAUAGCCCGUCGUUUCAAAUUUCAAAUACGAAGAGUCGGGAGAUGCCACGUCACCAAUCGUUAUAAGAGGCUAGGCUAGAUGCAAGCCCAGAUACGCAAUGGACAUACUCAUUUAGGCCCAUGCGCAGGUCAAAAUCUCCCCUGAAGAAAAAUGAUACCUCAGGUCCAUCUCAGUAGACGGAAGACCAGAGGAGAAGCCCCCGGAUUGGUAAGAUUUGACUAUCAGUUUCUACUCUUGACUCAUUUCACUCACAAGACCAGAAACUGGGGGACUGGUGUUAAGCAAAUAAAAGCACCAGGUCGGCCAUGCUACUAUUUCCACCCCGGCAUGAAUCACCUCAGUCAAAUGGUACGAGCAGAACAGGGGGUAACAUGAGCCGAUCAGAGACGAAUACUGACCAGAGCCAUAUACCGAGCCGGUACCCGUCCCCCAAAAAGCGGAAACACGAUCUCACAGAAUCACGGUAGUUGCGCUUUCCCAGAACCGUUGCGGGAGACGCGAGAUCCCACGUUUGCCCACAGUGCAGCAGUUAGAAUCCCAUGAGAGGCUACCACUACCCGAGAAAGGUGGGAUGAAGGGCAAACGGGAACGUGGGGACAGCUGCUAUAAAAAGAAGAAGAAAUCAAUGAAGAAGGGGAUAGAAAAGCUGAGAGAGGGAAAACGCUGCCAAAUUGAAACCAUGCAAUUUUAUUACAAACUUCGAGCAAAUUAGAACCACUCUUGAAUCAAAAUUUAACUGUUUUCCCGUAAACACCUUGUGCUAACUUAGGCAUCGGAGGGUUUACGCCGGCAAAACCACCGGCGUCUCUGAUCUAUUUUUGGUGAACGCAAGUUUAGUAAGGAAAAUGAGAGUGAUUCCAACCCCAGUGGUUCGAGCAGCAGUGGAUAUUAUAAAUGUUGGUGAAAGACUCUGGUCGGUCCAAGGGCGAGCAGAUUUCAGCAUCAACAAGGAGGAAUCCUCAUUAACAUGGAUUGCUGCUGCUUGUGGCUCAAGAAACCUUGUUACUAGUUGAUUCCUUUUCUUCUUAAUCAGAAAUCAUCGGAUACACUGGUUCUAAUUCCAAUCAUGCAGUAAACUGUAAGUAUUGGCAAAUCCUGUUGAGCAGGAGAUUCAGAGCCAUAAAGUUUUGGAUUGUUAUUUGCAGAUAUGGCUUGGCUAACCUUAUGGAUCACAUUUGUAGCAAUGUGGAAAUGGCUAAGCGAUUUGAGGCAGUGGUUGCCAAAGACAAGAGGUUUCAGAUCGUGGUGCCAGAACGGUUUGCAUUGGUUUACUUUGGGCUCAGAACAAAGCAGCUUUGAUCCUAGGGCCCAGAACUGAGCCAUAAUCUGCUUGAUGCUGCGAAUUCAAAUAUUGGGGGAUUUCAUUUCUCACUCCGUAGACUGUGGCCUGUGGGGGUGUGGUCUGUCAUCUGCGCGUGUGUAUUUUCAGCCAUUGUGCUGUCGGUUCAACACUAACUGAAGAUCGUCAUGUGGAAAAUUUAUGGAAGCUCAUUCAAGAAACGGCUCGAGUGUUGUACAUUUUACUUGAUCAAGAAACCCUUUUCUGAUCUUUAACAAUGUGUUUCUUCCUAGACCUAUUGUACCAUUGUUCUCUUAGUUUUAUUUCGCUCUGGUUUGCUUCGCUUCUGUUGUACCAUUGUUCUCUUAGUUAAAGUUUUUUUCUAAUUUUUUUAGUCAUUUUUCAGAUUUUUAAUUUUUUUUUAGACAUCCAGUUUACAAGCACCAUUUCAUAUCCUUUUAAAUUAUUAUAUUUGAUUAGGUUAGUUGUAAUUGAGCUCUAUAUGGUGAAAUUUAUAUGUACAAGCAAAAAUAAUAUCAUGAGUUAGUUGUUUAAGGGUGCAUAAAAUUUUUUUAAUUAUCAUCACUCUAUCUUUAUCUGAAAACGUAGAAUUUUAUUUGGGAGAUAUUUUAAUAUAAUACAAAAGUUCAUGUAUAGUGUCAAAGACUUCUUACCAUGAUCAAGGCCGUUAUGUUUUCCCUUGUCAACUUAAUUUCUAAGCUUUCAUCUUCUGAAACUGUUAGUAGAAUGUCAAGUAAAUUAUUUGGUACAUCAAACAUUAAUACCGUUAAAUAAUUGCCGAAGUCUCAAGAGUAUUUGAGCAUUUUCAAAUGGAAGUUAUUUUCUUAGUUCUUUCGUAGAUUUUUAUCUUUUUUUAGACAUUUAAUUAGCAAGCUUUUUUUAUUUCAGUUAUUAUAUUAAAUUGACAACCGUUGAAAUAUUAAGUGGCAAAAUAUGGUUGUCAAAAAACUUGGUGGUCUAACAUUUAGUCCAUUUAUUUAUUUAUAAUUUAUUUAAUGUUAAAAUUACAUGCACACAAUGCAUGUGACAUUAGUGGGAAUCCGGUCCAAUCCUAGUACCACAACAAAACGGGUCCUUAAAUCUCAUUAGAAAAGUUAGUCUGAGAGAUUUAAAGCAGAAAUGAACACAUCUACAGAGUUUGUACAUUCACUAUUAAUUUGAUGCUCUUCAUGAUUACGGAAUGUUCAAAGUUUCGAAGAAGAUUCAGGUCAACCUUCAAUUCAGAAUCCGGAAUAAGGCCAUUUAUCUAUGACAGUUUAUGAGUUUAGCAUUGAAGAUUCUUCAGUUUCUGUGUUGCUCUUCUAGAAGUGUCAUUACAUUUCCUUCAUGUAAUAGCUUGAGAUUCAAUGGUCGAAAGGCCAUUAAUUAGCAUUAAUAAUUUUCUGGUUGCAGCAGUACGCUGUAUUCUGUGCCAAACUGCAUGCGUGUGCAAUUUGUAUUUUUUUUGUGAUUGAAUUUCUGGAGUUCUACUCUUUUAGAAUUGAUAAAUUCAAAGGGGAUGCUAGUCUAGUGGUCAUGGUGCUAUUGCUAAAAAUACAAGUGGGGACACUAUGCAGUAAAGACCUAUAAAUUUUUGGGAUAACGAAUUCUCAGAGGCAGAGGCUCUUAGUCUUAGAUUUGGAUUUUGGGAUUUAAGUAAGCUUGGAUCUGAUAUGUAUGUUUCUUUAGGGAUUUUGAAGGACGGUUCUAAACUGUUCGAUGAAAUGCCGGAGAGAAAUUUGGUUACGUGGAAUAUUAUGAUCACUGGUUUAACAAUCUGGAUGGAUGGUCCUUAUUCCUUUACUUAUAUAAAGUUUGUAAAACAAUUUAUCACUGAGCUGAGAUUGCUUUCCUUUUCAAGGCCUACUUCGGCAGAGCACUUGAGAUGUUGCUAUUGCCGAAGUUCUUUCAGCUUGUGAAAAGCAGCCUCUUUUUUAACUUCAUUGAAGAAGGUAGGCCAUUCCCGUUCUGUACAUUUAGUUUUUGUUUCCUAUUUAACAUUUGGAAGAUUGAUUUUGUUGGUUUUAUUAGUAUUCACGUUCAAACAGCAAAAGAGAGUUGAUCCUUUUGUUUUUUAUUCAAUUUUAUGAUUCUGACAGAGUUGCAAAGUUUUUUUAGUAGUACCCAUUCUGAUGGAGUUACAAUGUUUUUUGUCCUCCUUAAUGUUCAGAUGGAUGGAUUUUUGGUAAAAUCAAUAAUCUGUUCUUAUUUUUUCUUUGGCUUUUGCUCUUUUAGCUUUGUUGAAAACGGCAUAGAGAAAUGAUUCAUAGGAUAGCUCUUCAGUUUGUCCCUAAGCUAGGAUUUCAGAAUUCAAAAGCCAAUACAUAUUUAUUUGCUUUUUAUCAUUGUUUAUCUUAUUUUAUCUUAGUGUUUUGGUAUGUUUGAUUUUUUAUGUGAAAGUCAAUAGCUUACUAGUUAGUUACUACCAAGAAUUUAGGUCCCUGUAGUGGAGGCGUUUCAAAGUUCAAAGCAUUUUACAUAUUUCAAUUUGACUCCUUUUUCAUACUUUAUCAUUCAGCUAGAUAAAUUUACAGAUAGAAUUUUGAAACUGCGAAGAACAGCUAAAUCAUUCCUUUUUGGUUCAUUUCUGGCGGGUAAAGGACUUUUCCAAGUUUCAAAGAUGAAUAAUGAAAAAAAAAAAAAUUUUACCAGCUAUGUCGACCUUAAAAUAUGUUAGGAAAUUGGUGGGUGAAGCAAACACGCAGCUAAAGUAAAAUUGGAAGAAAAUAAAGAACAAGCACAAUAGAGGACACUAGAAAUUACGUGGUUCGGCUUUUAGCCUACGUCCACGGGCGAAGACAGAAGGAAAUAUUUUACUAGUGAAAAGGAGUUACAAGUAUUGUAGUAUUUUAACUCACUUCCCAAAACCUCAAUACACCCAAACUCUCUAACUCACUAGACACUCAAGAGUUUAUUAAACUCUUAAAACUCUCAACACUCAAGAAAGCAAUGCUUCUCUCUCGAUGGAAAUUGAAUGCAAAUGAAUGAGUGAGCACUUCCUUUUAUAGCCAAAAAAUGGCUAUUAAAUUAAUAUAUAUAUGUAUAUAUUUCAAAUGUAGUUACCAACUUCUUUUUUUUCUCCAUUUGGAUGGCACCAUUUUCUUUGGCCGGCUGCACCAUUUUCUUUUUUUCAAAUGUCAAACCCUUCUAGAUGCAGCCAUGCCAAACACUUCUAGAUGCAGCCAUGCCAAACACUUCUAGAUGCAGCCAACUUUGACAUUCUCCCACUUGGAGAUUAAAUUGAAAAACAAUCAAUCUCCACACAAUCCUUUCUGCUUCGCCAUAAUCAUGUUGCCUACGUUUCUGCUAGGCCACAAGAGGAUCUACUCCAGACAAACUUAUCAGUAUUUAUCGCCUUGGUCAAAACAUCUGCUAGGUUCUCUUUGGUAUGGAUUUUCUGUAAAUCCACACUUUCAUCUUCCACUACUUCACGAACGAAGUGAUACUGGACUCCUAUGUGCUUUGUCCUGGAAUGAAAGGCUGGAUUCCUUGCAAUGUGCAAGGCACUCUGACUGUCACAAAACACAUGAAUUUUCUGUUGUUUGUGCCCGAGCUCCUCCAAUAACCUUUGUAUCCAAAUAGCUUCCUUGCAAGCUUGUGUAGCUGCCAUGUAUUCUGCUUCUGUUGUAGAUAAAGCCACAACAGUCUGCAGUUUCAAAACCCAGCUUACAGCUGCUCCCGUAAGUGUAAACACAUAACCAGUAGUGGAUUUCCUUUUAUCAAGAUCUCCAGCAAAAUCUGAAUCCACAUAACCCCUGACAGUAAACUCUGAUCCUCCAUAACAUAAUGCAACAUCUGAGGUUCCUCUGAUGUAUCUCAGAAUCCUCUUCACAACUAUCCAAUGCUCUCUACCAGGAUUCGCCAUGUAUCGACUGACUGCUCCCACUGCUUGUGCAAUGUCCGGUCUAGUACAUAUCAUAGCGAACAUCAAACUUCCCACUGCUGAUGCAUACGGUACUCGAGACAUCUCCUUCCUAUCUGCUUCAUUGCUAGGACACAUACUUAAGGAUAAUUUGAAAUUAACAGGAAGUGGGGUAGAAAUUGACUUACAAUCUUGCAUGUUGAAGCGCCGCAAGAUUUUCUUCAAGUAAUUCUUCUGUGAAAGCCAAAUCUUCCUGUUAUUUCUGUCUCGGUGAAUUUGCAUCCCCAGAAUCUUGUUUGCUGGUCCCAAGUCCUUCAUUUCAAACUCCCUAGCCAACUGUGCCUUUAAUUCUUGGAUUCGAUUUUUGUUGGGGCCUGCUACCAACAUGUCAUCCACGUACAACAGUAAAAUGAUGAAAUCAUUAUCUUCAAACCUCUUGUAAUAUGCACAAUGGUCUGAACUGAGUCUGUUGUAUCCAAGGCUCAUGAUGAAAGAAUCAAAUCUCUUAUACCAACACCUCGGCGCCUGUUUGAGACCGUAUAGAGAUUUGUUCAACCUGCAAACCAAGUUCUCCUUUCCUGUUUCUGCAAAACCUUCUGGUUGAAGCAUAUAUAUUUCUUCUUCAAGUUCUCCAUGAAAAAAUGCAGUUUUCACAUCUAACUGCUCAAGAUGUAGGUCAAAUGUAGCACACAUCGCCAAGACUAUUCUGACUGUUGUGAGUCGAACCACUGGAGAAAAUAUCUCGUUGAAGUCAAUACCUUCUUUCUGAGCAUAUCCUUUCACCACCAAUCUUGCACGAUACCGCUCUACUUGGUCAUUGCCAUCACGUUUGAUCUUGUAGACCCAUUUGUUUCCAAUGGCUUUUCUUCCGUGUGGUAGUGGUACAAGUUCCCAUGUCUUGUUCUUGUGUAGAGCUUCAAUUUCUUCCUGCAUUGCUGUCAUCCACAAAGCAACAUUUGAGCUUUCUAAAGCUUCAUGGAAAGUUGAUGGCUCUCCAUCCUCUGUUAGAAGACAGUACGCAACGUUGAUCUCUGUGACAUACUCCGAGUGCCACGUUGGUGGUCGUCUCUCACGAGUUGACCGACGAACUUCUGGAGCCUCGGACUCGACUGGUUCUUGUUCCUCGUGCUCUGGUGCUGCUUCAGAAGAAUCUAAAUCUUCUAGAUUAUUUUCGACAUAUACCGGCACAGUCUCUGACUUUUCUUUUGUAGUGCCAUCAUCCUCAUCUCUCCUUUGCAGUUGAUCUUCUACAAAAAUAACAUCUCUGCUGAUGACGAUCUUGUGGGCAGUGGGGUCCCACAGACGAUACCCCUUUACUCCAUCAGCAUAUCCCAAGAAGAUACAUCUUCUAGAUUUUGCAUCCAGCUUUGUUCUUUCUUGGGCAUUGUACAUCACGUACACAGGACAUCCAAAUGCAUGUAGGUAGGAAUAAUCAGCUGGCUUUCCAGUCCACAUCUCCAUCACCGUCUUCAACCCAAUUGAUGUAGAUGGCGACCGAUUUACUAUAUAACAGGCAGUUUUGGCUGCUUCUGCCCAGAAUGAAUUGGGUAGACCAGCAGUUUUCAACAUAACUCUUAUUCUUUCUGUAAGAGUUCUGUUCAUUCGCUCCGCCACUCCAUUUUGUUGAGGAGUGUAUGCCACCGUGAACUGCCUCUGAAUACCUUCUUGCUUACAGAAAGCAAGAAACUCGCCGUCUAUAUAUUCUCCACCAUUAUCUGUCCUCAAGCACUUGAUCUUUUUACCAGAUUCAAGUUCCACCCGCGCUUUGUAUUCUUUAAACACAGGAAAUACAUCUGACUUUUUCUUAAUUGGAUACACCCAACAUCUUCUGGAAUAAUCAUCAAUGAAAGUCACCAUGUACUUUGCACCUCCCAUGAAUAUAUCCGGUGAUUCCCAAACAUCAGAAUGAAUCAAGUCUAGCAUGCAUUUACUUCUAGCAAUAGAUCUACUGAAUUUUAAUCUAUGCUGCUUACUUGUAACACAAUGCUCGUAAAAUGGUAAACUUACCGAUUUGAGCCCCGGAAGCAAUUUUCGCUCAGAGAGAAUCUUCAAGCCUUGUUCUGACAUGUGGCCAAGUUUGAGAUGCCACAUCAUCGUUGAUUCUUCUCCAUUUGAUGCGACACACGCAUCAGCCUCCUGUAGUGUUUCUCCUUUAAGCAUGAAUAAAUUAUCACCGAUCUUUUCUGCCCUCAUCAAUACAAGCGCACCUUUAACGAUCUUCAUUAUUCCAUUCUCCACAUGAGUUUUGUACCCAUGACUAUCUAUUUGUCCCAAAGACAAUAGAUUUUUCUUCAGGCCGUUGACAUGUCGUACCUCCCCAAUUGUGCGAAUUGUACCAUCAAACAUUUUUAUUUUGAUAGUACCAAUACCAGCGAUCUCCAAGGCAUGAUCAUUUCCCAUAUAUACAGAUCUUCCUGAGAUAGGUUCAUAUGUGUGGAACCAUUCUCUCCUAGAGGUCAUGUGCCAGGUAGCUCCUGAGUCUAUAAGCCAGACAUCAGACAAUCGUUUUCUGCCUUCUGAAAUAGUUGUUGCCUCGCUGUAAAGAAUUUCGCCAUCAUCUGAGGUACUUGCUACACAACCCUGAGCAUUUGAUGACUCAGGUUCUUUGCCCUCUUUUCUCUUCUGGUUACUCCAACAUUCUUUCUUGACGUGCCCUUUCUUGCCACAUUUGUAGCAUUUAACAUUCUUCUUACUUCUGGAUUUUGAUCUACCCUGAUAUUGACUCCCACUGGGGUCACGUUCCGUUGAUCUCCCUCUCGUCACCGAUAGCGCUUCUGCUUGCUGCGAACUUGCUUGUCUGUUUUCCUUAUUUUUCCUCCUGCUCUCCUCAUUUAAUACGGAGGCUGCAACAUCGUCGAAAACUAGACUCUCCACUGGAUUGUUGUUCGUCAGGUUGAUGAUGAGUUGAUCAUACGAAUCUGGUAGACUUUGAAGUAGAAGCUCUGCACGUUCAUUUUCCUCUAUAUUAUGACCCAACGUUGUGAGUUGUGAAAAUAGAGUCUUCAAUGUGUUGAUGUGGUCGGUCACCAUUGUAGAUUCCGCCAUUCGAAGAGUAUAGAGUUUUCUCUUCAAGAAAAUUUUGUUGUGUAGUGACUUGGCCUCAUACAAUUUUAUGAGAGUAUCUCAUAUUUCCUUCGCCGUAUUUUUCUCUGCCACACUAGAUAAUACUCCAUCCGCAAGUGCCAAGUGUAGAUCAGAAAUGGCGUUACCGUCUACCUCGUUCCACUUGUCAUCAGUUAUCUCCAUGGGCCUUUCUCCAAUUGCUGCCAAACAAUUAUUUUUUCUCAAUACAGCUUUCGUCUUCAUUUUCCACAACGAAAAAUUAUUUCCGUUAAACUUCUCAAUUUCAUACUUUGCCGCCAUUUUGUUGAUAAAUACUGCACACAAGCUAGUAUACCACCUUGAAUAGUUGUGAGUAUGUGUGAGAAUGCACACCAGGAAAGUUCCCAGGAAAGACUGGAGGGGUCACAAUGGUCCCACUUAAAACCCAGACUCCUUAAGCUCUUAUCGCCUUUGUGACAGAACUUUCCUAGACAUGUACAAAAACCACACAGUUGUUUUACUCACACCACUAUUCCCUGCUUUGCACCGUAAAAUUUUUGGAUCGUUCCCACCGUUUCACGUGAAUAGUACCGUAUACGUGAACCGUACCGUAUACUUGAAUAGUGCCGUAUACGUGAACAGUACCGUACUCCAAAAAAUACAACCAAUAGCUCUGAUACCACUGUUAGGAAAUUGGUGGGUGAAGCAGACACGCAGCUAAAGUAAAAUUGGAAGAAAAUAAAGAACAAGCACAAUAGAGGACACCAGAAAUUACGUGGUUCGGCUUUUAGCCUACGUCCACGGGCGAAGACAGAAGGAAAUAUUUUACUAGUGAAAAGGAGUUACAAGUAUUGUAGUAUUUUUGCUCACUUCCCAAAACCCCAAUACACCCAAACUCUCUAACUCACUAGACACUCAAGAGUUUAUUAAACUCUUAAAACUCUCAACACUCAAGAAAGCAAUGCUUCUCUCUCGAUGGAAAUUGAAUGCAAAUGAAUGAGUGAGCACUUCCUUUUAUAGCCAAAAAAUGGCUAUUAAAUUAAUAUAUAUAUGUAUAUAUUUCAAAUGUAGUUACCAACUUCUUCUUUUUCUCCAUUUGGAUGGCACCAUUUUCUUUGGCCGGCUGCACCAUUUUCUUUUUUUCAAAUGUCAAACCCUUCUAGAUGCAGCCAUGCCAAACACUUCUAGAUGCAGCCAUGCCAAACACUUCUAGAUGCAGCCAACUUUGACAAAAUAUAGGCCAAGAAAGAUCUCAAAGCUGUCCUGACACUUAUUUCGAAAUAACAAACUCAGAAAACACCAUGGACCAAAACCUCAACCUAUUCCUAGAAGCUGAGAAUGUGAAGAAAUGGAGAAAUCUGCUAGAGCUUAGGCAGCUUCCGAGAAGCCAAUGACUGAAAAAUAUUUCGCUGCACUCAAGACGGUCAGGACUAUUAGGUCUCAGCUGAAGAAAGGGACCGCACCAAUGCAGUAUGUAAGCACCUCACUCUCUCAGGAUGCAGAGAAGGAACCCCAAUUUACAGGACUCCAUUUUCUGUUACUAAUGGCUUGGGGGGAAAAAAAUUAAAGAAGCUUCCGAUGGAGUUCCAAGGACUGAGGCCGAAAAUGACGGCCAAGUAUAUCUGCUGAGAAAAGGUUAUUUAAUCUGACUGGAGAGAUCUCAAAUGAGGAUAAAAUUGAGAAAACCAUCCGUUAUGGUGGAGAUUCCGGAUAGGCGUGACACGGACAUAGAGAUUAAGAAAAGCUUGUUGGAGUUGUAUCAAAUUUUCCUGGACAUGACUGUAAUGGUGGAGGUCAAGACUUUGAAGCACAACCGGUGAAGUAGCAGGAAGUAGUUUGCUUGGGGACCAUACUUCUGGUGUUGAUCAUUCUUUUGAUUGUUAUCAGUUUUUGAAUUUUAUCCGAAAUGAUGCCCGAUGAUCCUUGUAGUUUUCUCCGCUUUGAAAGUCCUUGUAUCAGGACUGGGUUGUGACUUGUGACUAUUCUUGGUUCUUUUAUGCUUUUCUCCAAUGCAUUUGAAAUUGUUGUGAAAAUUUUAAUAUACUCGCAAGCGCACGAAUCUAGAAAUAGAAUAGUGGUAACGAGGUCGAUCCCACAAGGAUUGUUAUAAUUUGAAAAGUCUAAUUUAAAUCUAAAAUUAAUAUUAAUUCUAACCUAGUUGAGCAAAUUGAGUUUUAAGAGAAAUUAAACUAAUUAAACUAAGAAAACAAUUAAAGUAAAGGAGAAUUCAAUAGGAUAGAAAUUACCAAGGUUUCAGAAUCCACCACUAUUCAACUCGUAAUUAUCUAAUUAUUAAUUAAUCCCCAAUUUUAAAGUGACAACUCGAAAUCAAUCUAUGUCAUCUCAUGGAUAUAACAAUUAAGCCCAAAUAAAAUUAAUCUUAUGUAGGUUCUUUUUCUGCUUAAUAAUAUGACAUCUAAGCAUCCCAUGUAAACAUAUUGAAAAACAAAGAGUCAAAAUUUCCCUAAGCACUCUAUGUAAACAAUUUAAUGAAAGACAUAAAAUCAAAGACAAUCAUGUAUAAACUUUAUAAAUCCAAGCAUAUGAUUAAUCGAAUAUUAAUCCUAACAAUCAAUAAUGCAUGACAGAAUUAAUGAAACGAUUUUAUUAACAUCCAAUUAAUCAUGUGAAAUAAAAAUCAUAAUCAUCAAAGAACAUAUAUAGGAAAUUAAUUAAAUAAAAAGAUAAUUAUUUCAUUGAAUAAGGUUUCAUCCUUAACCUCAGCAUAAGAAAAUUAGCUAGACAUACUUGAAUUAAGAGCAAUAAAAGAGAUAAAACCAGCCAUGAGAAAUAUUGAACUGUUGCUGCCGAUUGCUCUCUUCCAGCCUUGCAUCUGCUCUCCUCUGGCGGCCCCCCUCUUGCAAAAGCCAAAGUUCGGCUUUUAUAUUGUAACACCCUCCAAAAUCCUCAAAUCAAAAGGAUUUAAAACAAGCCAAGCACAACCGACUUUGAGCCCAUGCACGUGGAGUCCACUUGAAAUUUUCAUUCUUUUUGUAAUGCCAUGCAAUUGCUUCUCACGUGCAGGCCACUUUAGCUUUAAAUUUCUUCUUUGUUUGCACUAGCAUGGAGAAUUCAAUUUAUUGGCCUCGGCUUCUUCGGAUUGAAUUUCAUACAUAUUUGCUUAACUACUUCCACAAAUUGACUUGAUCUUCAAUGUUGUUAUUCUUUAUGCACUUUUCAUCCAUAAUCUCUAAUUAAUUCCCUAUUCAAUAAAACAAUUCAACUAAUUAAAAAUAACAAAUAAACAUAACUAGUAAUUAUUUAAUUAAGGAUAAAAUAUGUAUAUAUUAUAUGCUCAUCAGAAAUACACUGUCCUGAUUAAAUAGAAAGGAUGAAAAUCAAUUUAGCAUAGUGAAUGAGUAAUAAAUUUAGCAUUCAAGUAAUAAUGAAUGAAAGAAACAAUGAAUCAAGACUAUGUUGACUGUGAAUGUAAAUGCUGAAAAUUAGCAGAUCUGCCAUUGAACAAACGUGGUUUGUCAUCCUCUUAGUUUUAUCAUUUCAUCACAGCUCAAUAAUCCCAUCAAAAUUCUUUACACCAAUUUUGCUCCUAAAUCUUAAAAGUUGAAUAGAAAUACCAACAAAUUCACCGUAUCAGAAUUCAAAAAUUGGUCUAAAGAAUAUUAUAAUAUUGUAUGCAGUUCGCAGGUCACAAUUGUAGUUAAACAAUUCAGAUAUAGCAUUUUGACAGGGAAAACAGAAAGCUAUACCCAAUUGCUCAUCCUGCAGAAAAAUUAAAAAGAAUUUUUUUAGAAAAUGCGAAAUUUAAGAUCGCAUUUACCAAUUAAAAUAUAUAGUGACUUCAACUUGUAUCAAACAAAUAUUAGCAAACAACUUGUAGAUUGAAAAAAAAAAAAAUGAUAUCACAUGGGGUCACUCCUUAGAACUUUGAAUAGAGACGAGAAGAGAGAGCUCUGAAGAAAGAUUGAUAAAGUAAGCUCCAUUGGACGGAUUGUUAAUUUUCUUCUAUACAUGAAAAAUGUCAACAUUAAUUGCUUUAUGCAUUGCAGAUGACACCAUCUAGCAUCUAAUGCCGAAUCCCCAAUAUUACGGAAAUGCCAAAAAGAAGCAAAAGUGCACCAUUUAAUUUCCUCCAGGCAGGAUGGAUGAUGACCUGCAGAAUCCAAACAUGCAAUCGAUUAUAAAUUUAUAAUCAAGAAAAGAUAGACAUGGAGAAACUACGACCAUUCAAUUAAGUUUGCAUAUAUAUAUUAUUUAAUAUUAUUUACAUACGAUGAUAUUAAUAUGUAAUAUUAUUUACAUAUAAAUAAUUAAAACUUCAAAAGUGGUAAUAUUUAAUAUUUUGGGCUAUCUGUGUGUAUGUAUAAAGCAUUUGUUAGAUUAUUAAUAAUUCGUUUAUAUUUUGUGUUGGAUUUGUGUCUCAAUAUCUUAAUAUGAAUCUCAAUAUUUUUUUUGUUGGGUUUGUGUCUUCUUAUCAUGAAUCUGUUGACAAGUGCGGCAGCGUUUGACGAAGAACACGCAGGACUCCUCGUGCUUUCUACCUAUUUAUCAAAUGUUUGAUGAAUGAUUAAUGCUCGAAAGACAUCGAGAUCCUACCACAGUGUCGGUGCCACCACACUCUCCAUCUUUCAUUUUCACGUUUACUUUUCAAAAGAGGAAAGCCGAUUAAAUUCAAGGAAACUUGGCCAAAGACUAUUAGAUCAAAGGAUUUGAAUACUCAAUUUUUCCAAAGAGAUUUUGACAUAUGACAUUUAAGAAAUUCUAAGGUGAGAAUUUAAUUUAUUUACAAUCUUCCUUAUUUAACACCAAAAAUAUGAUGUUUUUAAGACUCGUAGAAAUUGCUAACUAACAGAAAUUAAUUUCAUGUCAGUAUCUUCUUUCUCCUCUUUCUUUCAUGCAAUAAUCUUAAAAAAGAAUAACAAAAAAGGUUUUAGAAAAAACUAGGAUAAUUUUUAUCUCUUUCAUGCAAUUUAAUUUUAGCCUUGCGAUUUUUUAAAUGCUACGUGUUCAAAUCUUCUAUAAAGAUUAGGAAAAAUUAGAUUAGGAGAGAUUCUAAAUCCUAGAUUAAAAGAUGUAAUUUUUUUUCUUUUUUAAACUAAAGGUAAGCAUAUAAAAUUAUGGCAGUCAGUCAUUCAUACAUUUUGCAAAUUAAUUAUGAUUGUCUCUCAAUUCUCUUAAUUUUUUAAAGGAAUAACAUGAGAUAAUGUAAUAUCUAAAUCUCAAUUUGAAUCCUAACUAAUGUAACAUUUAUUUAUUAGAUGAUAACUAAAUAAUUUUAUAAGUUAUGAAAUUUAUUAUAUUAGGACUCAACUAUUAGAAUCCUUUUAAAGAUCAUGUGCUACUUGUCUUUUAAUGUUAGUAUAUAAUUAAGAUUUAAUUAUUUAUAAUUUUUUAAGUUAAGCCUAGUGACAUAUAUUAUUUAUUUUAGUUUGAAAAAAAUGAUACACGUACAAAAUUAGAGAUAUGAAUUAAUUGUUUUCAAAUUUUCUUGUCUUUUAUCACUUUCGUCUCUAUUUUUGCCCUCCAUGUUUUACAUGUACGUAUCAUUCAUUAAUCCUAAGUUUAUACGUUCAAAUUCUUGUAUAGUCUAAUUGUUAUUACCUUUGAGUACUUAUUUUCCAUUUUGCAAAAAACAGAUAACAAAAGAAACGUGUUUGGAAGACGUCGGCAUUAUACAAAUGCUGUUCACUUUACAUUACUUGCGGACCAGUUAGUCUUUACAUUUUUCUAUAAUAUUCAAUAAUUUAUUGAUAUUAUAAUUUUACAGUAUUAUUUUUAUUUUUAAAUAUAUUUAUAUUUAUUAUAAAUUAAAUUAAUUAUGUAAAUUGAAAUUAAAAUAAAAAAUUAAAUAGUAAAAAUAACAUAUUUUAUAUUAAUAAUAAAAUAUUUUUGUUGUUUUUAUAAACUUUUUUUCUCUUGAUAAAUGUUUACUUUAUAUUCCUAACGUCUAAUAUCAAAUAAAUGACUCAUUUCUCCUUUUUUUUUUCAAAAUUUUUGCAUUGAGGGAGUUAUUAGAUAUUAUAAAAACAACAAAAAAGUAAGUAGUAUAUAUUUAUUUGAGUAGGAAGAAACUAUCAAUCUUCAUUUUACGUACAAAUAAUAUAACAUAUAAUAAUUAUUACUGGGACAAUGAGACUCUAUUCUUUUAUUAAAAUUAUAUAAAUACAACAGUUUUUCUCCGACACAUUAUCUUUUAUAUUUCUACCUUUUUAUUUUCAUAUACUCUUUUAAAAAUAAAACUAUUAAACAUAUUUCUUAAUUUACAAAAAAUUAAUUACUUCUUUCCAAUAAAACAAACACAAAAGCACCAUUUUAAAAAACAAUAGAAAAGGCAUCCGAAAUUUUUGAGUGAAACUUUACGUUGACUUGAGUCGUCUCCUAGACUUGUGGAUGAAAUGAAACAUGAUGAUCUCAGUGACUUCAUUAGUGGUUUUGUGCAUUCACUGCAUCUCUUCAUCAUCUCAAGUUCUCUGAAGCCAUCAUCUCAGGUUACCUUCGUCUUGUUUUCAGCUUUUUUAUCUCAAGUGCACCCUGGUGGUCCAUCCUGUGAGUCGCAACUGUUGUUUGAAAUUUGGUUUCUGUCCAUCCUUAAUUUCUUCCUCCCAAAUCACAUCUUUUUUGCCAUCUGAUUCUAUCCACCCUUUCCUUUGUUGUCGUUGGUGUUUUGCUGUUCAUCUUCAUGCCCCUUUCCCUCUCUUAUUUCUCUGUAGGCCCCCAAAAGACAAUUUAAGUACCUAAGUACCUAAAUUAAGGAGAUAUAGUUGAACUCUGCCUUUGCGUGCAACUUGUAUAUAUUGUGUUCUAUGAGCAGGAACCCACAUAAAUGGUUUCUCAUUAACAUGGAUUGUCGUUGCUUGUGGUUCAAGCAACCUUGUUUACUAGUUGAUUCCUUGUCCUCUGAGUCAGAAAUCAUGGGGAUACACUGGUUCUGAUUCCAAUCAUGUGGUAAACUAUAAGUAUUGGCAAAUCACAUUGAGCAGGAUAUUCAAAGCCAUAAAGCUUUGGAUAUUUGUUAUUCGCAAACCUGGCUUGGCUAAGCGAUGUGGAAAUGGCUAAGUGAUUUGAGGCACCGGUGGCCAAAGGCAAGAGGUUUGAGAUUGAAGUACCAAAACGGUUUGCAUUGGUUUGGUUCGGGCUCAAAACAAAACUUUGAACAACAUAUUUAAUACGCCAUCAUAUAUUUAUGUCUGACAAUAAUUUCAUAAUCUUUGGGAUUUUUUUUAAGUAUAAAUAAAGAACUAAAAUUCUCUCCUCUUUCUUACCAAAUUCCUAGAGGUGACAAUACGUACCAAACUCUGCACAAUUUCCUCAGCCGCCACCACCAUAUAGCAAACUAACCAUUUAGGCUACUUAAGGGAAGUCUGAACUUAAGUUCCGGAAACACAUAGAGUAAGAUUAUGAAUCGAAGGAUUCUUUAGAGUCUAGACUAAGCAUGCGUUUGGGGCAGUUGCGCUGCCACAGCGCAGCUGUUCCCCACAUUUAAUUCUAGGGGAAUAUUCCCUAGUAUAUAGGGUAGGGAGCGGCUGUGCUGCGGCAGUGCAACUGCCCCAAAUGCACCCUAAGCAUUAGUUCCUUGACGUCGACAAUGUUGAAAAGCUAGCAACCAAAGCCAACUUUUCAACAAACACACAGCUAGCAUGCAAGCUUUGGAGAAAUGACAAAACGUGUUGAAAAAUUGGCCAAAGUUGGCACUGACCCUUAACAAUUUGAAAGCAGCUCAAGACUUUUGCUUUGAAAAUGGCAAGCAUGAAUGGCAAGACUCAUCUAUAAAUAGACGAGCGAUCAUUCAUUCUAAGCAUCCCUAAAAUUUGUUAAGCUUAUAAGUUUCUAAACUUUUGAGAGUUCUGAGAGUGUGAGCAAUUGGAGAGUGUGUGUGAGAGUACUUGUGUAUUUGGGUUCUGGGAAAGUGAGGUUUUUUUACUCAAAUUUGUACUAAAAUAAUUGUUAAUAAAACAAUUAUUUUUCUCUUGCUCCCGUGGACGUAGGCAUAUUACCGAACCACAUAAUUCUUGUGUCCUUUAUUUUUCUGUGAUUAUUCGGUGUGCUUGAUUCCGCAUUUCACGCACAACAAGUGGUAUCAGAGCCGAGGGUUCGUAUUUGGGGGAUACGGUAUUGUUCACGUAUAUGGUACUAUACACGUACGGUACUAUUUACGAAUACGGUGGAGACGGUCAUUUAUACUUGGAAGACAGUCUAUUUUAAGUAGUGUGCAUUUUUGCAUGUGUAGGAAAGUUCUGUCAACAAAGCGAUAAGAGUCUAAGGAUUCUGAUUUUUAAUUGAGACCGAGUUCCCAUCCAGUCUCUUGGAAACUUUCCUGGUGCAUUUAUUAAUGUGAAAUUAACAUCAUAGAGGUUGUUUUUUAAGUGAAAAUAGUUCGUUGAGAAAAUAGUAGAAGGUGAAACUUUCAGAAUUGGGGAGACAUCUACCGAAACUAUUUCAAGAGACACUUCAGGCGAGAGGCAAGAUUUGUCAAAUCGUUAUUCAGCACCUGUUAUAGGAGGCUAGAAGAUCAAUGUUGAAAAGUUCGAUGGGAAAAUCAACUUCGGCAUUUGGAGGCGCAAAGUUACGGAUGCUCUUAUUCAAAUCGAUCUCGAUGUUGUUUAUAAAAAUAAAAGACACUUGUAUGAUGAAGAAUAUUGGGAUCGUAUGAACGAGAAAGCAUGUAGUCAGAUCAUAUCUUGUUUGACCAAUGAGGUGAAAUACUUGGUUAAAGGUGCGAUGACUUUGUGGCGUACAUUGGAGGAGAAAUACCUGCUGAAAAGUUCUGAAAAUCAUCUUCAUGCAAUGAACCAAGUAUAUGGCUUUCGAAUGAAGUCAGGGGUGUCAAUGCACAAUCAUGUCCCAAGAUUUGAAGAAUCUUGAUGAAGAUAUUAAUGAUGAAGUCAAGAUUAUAAUUCUGUUACACUUACUACCAGAGGAAUAUAACCAUUUUGUGACUACCUUGAUAUAUGGGAAGAGUGUGAUCGUCUUCAAAAAUGUUUGCACAACAUUGAAUAACUUGGAGAUUCGGAAUAAUGAUAAAAAUUCUAAACGAGCAUCGUCUGAAGUUUUGGUGAGUAGAGAUUGGGCGAUGGAGAAAAAGAAGAAGCGUAGUGGAAAGAAUUCUCGAUCCAAAUCGAGAAGCAGAAAUAUAGCUCGAAAUGAGUGUGUCUUUUGUCAUGAAAAUGCCCAUUGGCGGAAAAAUUGUCCAAAGGCUCAAAAGAGAAAUGGGAAGAAACCAGCAACAACAAACAUGGUACGAAAAGAUGAGAACUCUGAUUAUUCACUAAGUAUUACUCUUGCAGCAUACGUGGCUAGUUCGAGCGAGUGGAUACUUGAUACUGGAGCAACCUAUCAUUUAUGUCCUAUUAAGGAAUGGUUUACGGAUUUUAGUAAUCUGGAAUCUGAUGUAGUUGUGAUAGAGAAUUAUCAACCUUGUCGCACAAUGGGGAUGGAAUAAUUCGGCUCAAAAUGUUUGAUGGAAUGGUCAGAGAACUCAAAGAGGUUAGAUAUGUUCCAGCUUUGAAGAAAAAUCUAAUUUCUGUGGGUGCUCUAGAAGCUAAAGGCUAUAAGGUUACUAUUGAAAAUGGCAUAAUAAAGUUCACGUAUGGGACUAUGGUGAUUCUGUAAAGGGUUCGGCAUCACCAUCUGUAUUAUUUGAAGGGAGGUACAAUUGAUGAAGCAAAUAUUGUUGAGGCGCACAGUGACACCACCAAGCUAUGACAUGUACGACUGGGACAUGCUGGAGAGAAGUCUUUGCAAACUCUGAUGAAGCACGGACUCUUAAAAGAUACAAAAACCUGUAAAUUAAAUUUAUGUGAGCAUUGUGUAGUAGGCAAGAAAACAAUGGUCAAAUUUGGUACAGCUAAUCACGAUCCUCGUAAGAUCCUUGAAUAUGUUCACAGUGAUGUAUGGGGACCAACCAAGACUGCAUCAAUUAGUGGAAGCCAUUAUUUUGUUACAUUUAUUGAUGAUUUCUCUAGACGUGUGUGGGUGUACACCAUGCGAGCAAAUGAUGAGGUUCUAGAGAUUUUCAUGAAAUGGAAGAAAUUGGUGGAGACUCAAACUGGCAGAAAGAUCAAAGUAUUACGAUAUGAUAAUGGGGGUGAAUAUACUUCUGAUUCAUUCUUCCAAGUAUGCCAGAACGAAGGUAUUAAAAGACAUUUCACAGUAAGACAUACUGCGCUACAGAACGGUGUAGCUGAGCGUAUAAAUCGUACUUUGCUGAAAAAAGUACGAUGUAUGUUAUCUAAUGCUAGUUUAGAUAAAAAAAAGUUUUGGGAUGAGGUUGUGAGUUACGUAAGUUGUUGUGCAAAUUUUAAUGUACUCGCAAGCGCACGAAUCUAUUGUAGUAUAGACUAAUGGUGACGAGUGUCGAUCCCACGAGGAGGUGGAUUUUUAAUUAUAUAUAGAAUUAAUUUUGUAAAUGGGUGGUUGGAAUUGUGGUGGAAAUGAUUUAAAAUAUGCUAAAAUUGGAAUUGCAAUGGCGAGAAUAAAUUGUAGAGAAAAUCGAUUAAAUUGACGUACUUGGGUAUCUGGAUCCGUAUCAACAUGCAUCAUGGGCUAAAUAAUCCGUAUUAAUGCCAAUUAAAUCAUGAGGGGGGAAUCCACACCUCAUGAACCACGCUCUAAUCAAUAUGGUGCUAAGGGCUUAUCGUGCCAAAUAAUAAUAACCUUAUACUAGAGAGCCGGUGUAACCAAGGCGGUAUCUAGACAAGAUCAGUAUUAUUUGUCGACGAUAAGUCAAAUCAUCCACAAAAACUAGAGGGGAAAAGAAAAUAAAUUUACCAAAUAAAGCCCAUGACACAUGUUGAGACUUCACCUUCAACCCAAGCUUGAAAGGAAAUUAGCUACUCAUAAUUGAACUAGGGGCAAAAUGGGAAUUUAUUAAAAUACAAAGAAAAUACAAGAUGGAGAGGGAAUUACAGAAAAUGGAUCCCAAAAAUGGAUUCAGAGAUAUCAAAUUAGGGGGGGGAGGUCCCCUUUUUAUAGAUACAUGGAGUAAAUCAUGGCCAUCGGAUUAAAAACAGUUUGGACGCUCAGGAUUGCGCCACGUCAUCAGUCAACAGUCCACGGUUUGACCACGCGGAUGAACAGUAACACGGUUUGACCCGGAUGAACAGUAACGCGGUUUGGUUGAAAAUAAUCCUGUGUGAUGCAUGCACCGUACGCGAGAUUUUUCGUCCACUGAUAUGCUGCCACGUCACCGUCAACAGUACAUAAGAAUUUUAGUCCAACAGGAUCGUGACACCUCAUCAGUCAAUGCCACAUCAUCGGUCAAUGCCACGUCAUCGAUCCGUCUAUGUGAACAGUGUCGUGAACAGUAACGUAGACAGUACCGUAUACGUGAAUAGUACCGUACAUAUGAAUAGUGCCAUUUUUCCUUUUAUGCCCCUCCUAAGGUUUUCGACCGUCCUGAGUUCAAAAGUGAUGUCCGUUUUGCCAUCUGAUCUCUCCUUUAUUGUGAAAUGACUAUAAUGCCCCUAAAAUACAUAAAAUACUUAAUUAAAAUAACACACACGUAAUUACAUCACAAGAAGGUUAAAUACAUAAAAGUAAGGGUUGUUAGUAAGACUUGAAAUGUAAAAUGACGGUUUUCUCCUUUAUAAAUAUGCAUUUUCUAACACUCAACAUAAGUCACUUAAUAAAAUGGUUGCCUUCUGCUGCAAUUGGAGGUAAAACUCCUAUGGAAAUGUGGUCUGGAAAGCAUGCACAAGACUAUGAUUUUCUUCGUAUAUUCGGGUGUUUAACUUAUUAUCAUGUCAAAGAUGGUAAAUUGGAUCCUCGUGUUAGAAAAACUAUGUUUAUAGGAUUCAAAGGUAGAGUAAAGGGCUUCAAGCUUUGGGAUCUCGAAAAUAAAAAGUUUGUGUGUAGUAGAGAUGUCACGUUUGAUGAACCUUCAAUGAUGAAAGCUUCAAGUUCUCAACAGGUGGAGAACAAGACCACAUAGGUAUUGCAGCGGGUGGAGUUUAAUGCAACUCCAUAUGUACCAGUUAGUUUUACAUCAAAGAAGGGUUUAAUUAUGAAGGUAACACCCAGAGUUGAAGAAUAUAUUAUUUCUUCUGAUAUCCCACAAAAUGAAUAAACAGCUGAUGAUGUAGAUAAUGAUGAUUUUAUAGCAAUAAGGAGGCCAAAAAGAGAGAUAAAGAAACUUGAAUGACUUACUAAAGAUAUAGUGGUAGUCUAUGCACUUCCAGUUAUUAAUGAUGACAUCUCCAACACUUUCAGUGAAAUAUUACGCAGUAGUGAAAGUGAUUAGUGAAAGUUAGCCAUGGAAAAAGAGAUGAAAUCUCUCUAUCAAAACCAGACUUGGGAACUUGUGGAGUUACCAAAGGGAAAAAUGGAUAUUGGCAAUAAAUGGGUCUAGACCAAGAAGCAAGGAUCUCCAAAUCAAUUAACUCCUUGAUACAAGAUAAGGCUCGUAACAAAAGGCUUUACUUAGAAGGAAGGUAUUGAUUAUAAUGAAGUAUUCUUUCCAGUUGUGAAACAUACUUCCAUUCGUAUCCUACUUGCCUUGGUAGCUGAAUAUGAGUUAGAGUUGGCUCAAUUAGAUGUUAAGACGACGUUUUUACAUGGAGAUUUGGAGGAAGAAAUCUAUAUGACUCAGCCUUAUGGUUUCAAAGUUGCUGGAAAGGAGAAUCGUGUGUACAGAUGAUUAAAUUUUUGUACGGAUUAAAACUAAUUCAAAUUCUUCGAAGGCGUUAAGUUUGAAGAGUUAUGAACUACGGUUGGCUUGAUCCCAAAUUUUGGAAACGUAAGCAGUCACAGAGAUACAGCCACUUUGGGGAUGAUGGUUUAUUGGAAGUCAGCUCAGAUUUGGACAAAUCUUCGCUGAGGUGGAGAAUUGUUGAAAAGUCAGCAACCAAAGCCAACUUUUCAACAAACACACAGCUAGCAUGCAAGCUUUGGAGAAAUGACAAAACAUGUUGAAAAAUUGGCCAAAGUUGGCACCAACCCUUGACAAUUUGAAAGGAGCUCAAGACUUUUACUUUGAAAAUGGCAAGCAUGAAUGGUAAGGCUCAUCUAUAAAUAGAGGAGCGAUCAUUCAUUCUAAGCAUCCCUAAAAUUUGUUAAGUUUAUAAGUUUCUAAGCUUUUGAGAGUUCUGAGAGUUUGAGCAAUUGGAGAGUGUGUGUGAGAAUACUGGGUGUAUUUGUGUUCUGGGAAAGUGAGGUUUCUUUACUCAAAUUUAUACUCAAAUAAUUGUUAAUAAUACAAUUAUUUUUCUCUUGCUCCCGUGGACGUAGGCAUAUUGUCAAACCACAUAAUUCUUGUAUCCUUUAUUUUUCUGUGAUUAUUCGGUGCGCUUGAUUCCGCAUUCCGCGCACAACAAACAAAUACAAGCGUGUUCUUGUAUUUAGUACCUCGCUCAGGUUUCAGAGAGGCUUUUAGAAAUCUUACAAAACAAAGUGAGCCCUACUCCUAAACUCAUUCGGAUUUGUUGUGUGCAUCCACAGACACAAACAUUAUAUACCCCUUUACCACCGAUGUCAACCUGAAAAAAGAGGCCACGGAGGAUCUUGAAUCUGGUCCUGAUGACUUCAUUAUAUAGAAAUGACAAGUCAGCAAACACUUUGUACCAAACCCUCAACCACUAGUCAAAGUUGUCAUUGGGCAAGUAAACAUUGAAUAUUGAUAGAAACCAUUUAGUUGUUGGAUUAUUUUCAGUAUCCAAAGAGAUGAUAUCGUGUUUAGCUACUAAGUUUCACUGAUACUUUAAGCUCUAACGCAUAAAUUUUUAUCAAGCAUUACUGAAAUACUAUAUAUGCCAUUUUAACAGCGUUAACAAAAAAACUGUACCAAAUUGCUUACCCUGCAGGAAAAAUUAUAGGAAAAUUCAUUGGAAACGGGAAUGCAGAUUCAAGAAGGAUCAGUACUUCACAUUAACUUUGAUCGUCAUAUUUCAACGACCAUAUAUAAGCUGUAGUUUUGUUAUUUAGCUUUCCUCCCUUUUUUCCGACCAGCUCUUUGCAAUUUUACUUGAUCAAAAAUCCCAGUUCUCAUUUCAAUCUUCUGUUAAUCUUCUUAAUCUCAAGAUAAAAGUCGAGGAGUUGAAGGGUGAAAUUAAGCGAGAGAAUUCAGCACGGGGUUGAUGAAUGAUGAGGCUAAAACAGACACCAUUUGCCCUUUACCAAUGCAUGCAUCUUUUGUUUCUUGAACAUGUGUGACAGCUCCAUCCUUGUGAAAGAUUGAAAAUUGACUAAAUAAUAACCACUCAGAUAGAAUGUAAGUAGGAAAGAAAGAAAGUAAUAAAAUUAAAUAAGUUCUUCCAGAAAAGCACACUUUUUGUUAAGAUUCAAAUCAUGAAUUCUAGUUUAUUGACUAUGCUACUUCAUAGCAUUUUGUUGAGUUAGGAUCUAAUUAAAUUAACUGAUCUUUGCUUAACUCCUGCUUUCUUUACUGUUUUUACCGCUGUUGUAAGUUUGCAAACAGUUCUUAACAAACUCUUCAAGAAACUUUUAAAAACAAGAUAAAGAAUAUAAAUUUUAAUUUCAUUAAUUCAUGAGCUCAAAGGCUCAAUUUAUACAAGUAUUUGAAACAUGAAAAAGGAGAUGAUACAAUUAACAUAAUUUAGGAAUAAUGAUUUAUUAGUAAAUAUUGAGUCAAUAAAUAUUUUAUUUAUUUAUAAUCAAUCUUUCUUAAUCAAUAAUUUAGAUGAGACAAUCAAUAUUGAUUGUUUUGUUUCCAUCAAUGUUGCGUGAUUCUUAUCAUCCUCCCCCGAGCUGUCAAAAACAUUUUUUUCAACUCUUAGCUUGCUUUAAAAAUUGUAAAUUCUUGAUUUUUAUUUACAGUUCUCAUCCUAUUGUCAUGCAACAAAUCAUGAAGCAUUCCUUUAAAGCUUGAUUAGGAAAUUUUCUAAUUGAUUUCAUGUGCACAUUUCUUUUAAGAUCAUAAGCAAUAGAUUCCUUUGAUCAAGAAAUUCUUUUAGUAUGAAAGUUGUUCCUUUGAUUUUUUUCGAAGAAAUCUUCACUCCUUUGAUCUUACCGUAGAAUUCUUUCAUUUACAAAGCUAUUCCAUUAAUCUUGUCAAGGAAAAUAUCAAUUUCAAUAAUUCCUUUUCUUUCUCUUUUUCUUUCUCAAUUUCAAUCAUGAAUCUGUUGAAAACUGUGGCAGCGUUUGGCCAAGUAACAUGCAGGAAUGUUCGUGCUCUGCAAAUGCAAGAGGUGCGGCUACCUAUCAAAUAUUUGAAAUUUGAUGAUUUAAGGUCCCACAACAAUGUCGGUGCCCCAACGGGAUUUAACAGCGUUGGCCGUUGGUGCUAUCUUUCAUUUUCAACUUUUUUUUUCUUUUAAAGGAAAAGGACUAAAGGAGUGAUUGGGUUUUUGUUAAAAAAUAAUAAUAAUUAUGAUAAGAGAGUAAUUAAUAAAACAAUUGUCGAUAUUUAUUUUAUGUAUAAACAAUAUAAUAUAUAAUAAUUAUUACUGGGAUUAUAUUUUUUUAUUAAAGAAUAAAUAACUAUAAUUAUUCUAAAAAUAAAACUAUUAAACAUAUUUCUAAAUUUACCAAAAAUUAAUUAUUUCUUUACUAUAAAACAAACACAAAAACACGAUUUUAAAAAACAACAGAGAAAAGGCAUCCGACAUUUUUGAGGGAAUCUUGACGUUGACUUCAGUCGUCUCUUAGACUUUUGGAUGAAACACGAUGUAUGAUUGAAUGAUCUCAAUCUUCAUCAUCUCAAGUUCUCUCAAGCCACCAUCUCAGGUUACCCAUGUCUUGUUUUCAGCUUUUUGAUCUCAAGGGCACCUUAGUAGUCCAUCCCGUGAGUCGUAACUGUUGUUUGAAAUUUGGUUUCUGUCCAUCCUUAAUUUCUUCCUCCCAGAUCACCUCUUGUUUUGCCAUCUGAUUCUAUCCACCCUUUCCUUUGUUGUCGUUGGUGUUUUGUUGUUCAUCUUCACGUCCCUUUCCCUCUCUCAUGUCUCUGUACCGUAUCCACUUAUCUUUGUAGUUUCCCUCUGAUUUUCUCCACUCUCUUUGUUCAUAUUGGAUAAAACACCUCCACUUAUAUUCAACUUUUGAUCUCACAACCACUUUGCUUUUGUUGCUGUUAGCUGUUUUGACCUGGUGUUCUGUUCUGUACAUUUGCUACUCUGUUUUAUUUCCCUUCGGUUUCCUUUGCAUCCGUUUCUCAAAACUUUAAAAGGAAAAAAAAAGUUGAAAAUGGUUGAUGCUGUUGUUACCGUUGCUUUGGAAGUUGCCAAGUGCUUGUUCCCUCCGAUCGGGGGCCAGUUAAGUUAUGUGCGUAAGUACAAAGCCAACCUUGAGAAUCUCAAGAAAGAAACUGAGAAGUUGACCGAUGCAAGAGAUAGUAUGCAGAAAAAGGUUGAUGAUGCGAGAAGGAACGGGGAUUUGAUUGACAAAAGAGUUGAGAGUUGGCUGAUAGGUGUCGACAAGAUCGUUGCUGAGGCGGACAUGUUAACUGGAGAAGAAGAAAAUGCAAAUGAGAGAUGUUUCAAGGGGCUCUGUCCUAAUCUUAAGAAACGCUAUCAACUUAGCCAGAAAGCGGCCACAAAGGGGAAGAGCAUCGCGGAGCUCAGGGAAGAAGCUGAGAAAUUUGCUCAAAUUUCCUGCCCUACUGUUCCAGAAGAGCCUUGGUUGAGGUCUGGCAAAGGUUACGAGGCCUUUGAAUCAAGAAUAUCGACUUUACAGAAUGUGCAAAAAGCAUUGCUUGAUCCUGAUAUCAGCAUCAUUGGGGUGUAUGGGAUGGGGGGCGUUGGGAAGACGACCCUAGUGAAGGAAACGGCUAGGCGAGCCAAAAAAGACAAGCUAUUUGACAAGGUAGUUUUUGCAGAAGUAUCUGAGACUCCAGAUAUCAGAAAGGUUCAAGAGGAACUUGCGGAUCAGCUAGGUAUGAAAUUUGAUGAGGAGAGUGAUGUACCCGGAAGAGCUAGGAGGCUAUAUGCAAGGUUGCAGAACGAGAACAAGAUCCUCGCAAUUUUAGACAACAUUUGGGAAGAACUUGAUCUGGAAAAAGUAGGAGUUCCUUCUGGAAAUGAUUGUAGGGGAUGUAAAGUCUUGCUGACAGCAAGAGAUCGUCAUGUGUUGGAGAGUAUUGGGUCCAAGACUUUAGGGAUUGAUGUUUUGAGUGACGAAGAAGCGUGGACUCUAUUCAAGAAGAUGGUGGGAGACUGUGCUGAAAAUGGCGAAUUAAAAUCUAUAGCAACUGAUGUGGCUAAAGAAUGUGGAGGUUUGCCCAUUGCCAUCGUUACACUGGCAAAAUCAUUAAGAAACAAGAGUAGUGUCUCUACAUGGAAAGAUGCCUUAAGGCAAUUGAAAAGUCCUUCCCCUUGGAACUUUAAAGGAGUGCUAGCGAAGCCAUAUUCAGCUAUAGAAUUGAGUUACAACUAUUUAAGAGAGGAGGAGCUCAAGCAACUAUUUUUGCAGUGUAGUCUGAUGGGAUCCCCGCAGGUUUCCAUGCAAGACUUGUUGAAAUAUGCAAUAGGUUUGGGUAUAUUGAAAGGCGUCAGUACAGUGGAAGAAGCACGAGAUAAAGUAAAUACGUUGGUCGAUCAAAUCAAAGAUGCGUGUUUGUUGCUUGACGGCACUAACAGCUACUGGUUUUCCAUGCAUGACGUUGUUCGUGAUGUUGCCAUAUCAAUUGCAUCUAGAGACUAUCAUGUAUUUACAAUGAGAAACGAAGGUGAUCCGAGGCAGUGGCCAGAUAAGAAGUGCUCAAGAAUAUCAUUAUAUGACAAUAAUAUUAGUGAAAUUCCUCAAGGGUGGGAAUGCCCCCAGCUUGAGUUUUUCCACAUUUUUGCCCCCAAUAAUUCUCCUCUCCAAAUCCCCGACAACAUUUUCAUCGGGAUGCCGAAGCUCAAAGUUUUAGAUUUUACUAGAAUGAGGUUACUGUCACUACCGUCGUCGAUUCAUCUCCUAGCAGACCUUCGAACAUUGUGUCUGGAUAGUUGCCAAUUGGAAGACAUUAGAGUUAUUGGAGAGCUGAGGAAGCUAGAAAUUCUUAGCUUGCAGGCUUCUGUAAUUGAGCAAUUGCCUAUGGAGAUAGGCCAAUUAACUCAGCUAAAGUUGUUAGAUUUGAGCUAUUGUUCCAAUUUAAAAGUGAUUGCACCAAAUGUUCUAUCAAACUUAUCUCAACUGGAAGAAUUGUAUAUGGCUCGUUGCUAUAUCAAAUGGGAGCAUCUAGGACUCAGCAUUGAGAGAAGUAAUGCCAGCCUCGUUGAAUUGAAGAAUUUAUCUCGUUUGACCACUUUAGAGAUAAAUAUUCUUGAUGCAGGGAUUCUACCGAGUGGCUUCUUCUCAAGAAAGCUGGAGAGGUACAGAAUUGUCGUGGGGAGUGAGUGGGACCGGUUUGAUAAAUAUAAGACUCGGAGAACUUUGAAACUCAAGCUCAACUCUCGCACUUGCUUGGAGGAGUGGCGGGGCAUGAAGAACGUGGAAUACUUAUGUUUAGAGGAAUUGCCGGGUUUGACGAAUGUUCUUCAUGAUUUGGAUGGGGAGGGUUUUGCAGAGCUGAAACAUCUCAAUAUCCGAAAUAAUCCCAAUUUUUUACGUAUCGUUGAUCCGCUACAGGUACGUUGCGGUGCCUUCCCAAUGUUAGAGUCUCUGGUUCUUAAGAAUUUGAUUAAUUUGGAGAGAAUAUGUCAUGGUCACCUCCAAGCAGAAUCUUUCUGCAAUUUGAAAACCAUAAAAGUGGAAAGUUGUCAUAAAUUGAAAAAAUUGUUCUCAUUCUCCACUGCCAAAUUCCUUCCCCAACUUGGAACAAUUGAAGUGACUGGGUGCAAUAAUGUAGAGGAGAUUUUUGUUUCUAGCAAUGAAGAGGCAAUCGGUGAGAUUGCAUUGGCGCAAGUACGCUUCUUGAUUCUUAGAACUCUUCCACUGUUCACAAGCUUCUCCGCCUUUGUCAAGACAACUUCAACUGUGGAAGCGAAGCACAAUGAAGUCAUUUUGGAGAACGAGAACCAUACUUACACUCAUCCGUCACUUUUCAAUGAAAAGGUAGGUGAACAAACCUUAUUAUCUUAUUUUAUUAGUACUACUGCUAUCACAAGAACUCAUAUUGAGACAACUGUGUGUGCAGCUUGUGCUUCCUAACUUGGAGGUCUUGGAAGUCCGGGAUAUUAAUGUUGCAAAGAUAUGGCACAACCAACUUUCAGCAGUAAUGUCUUGUAACGUUCAAAAUUUAACACGCUUGGUCGUGGAGGACUGCUGCAAAUUAAGAUACGUGUUUUCAUAUUCUACAGCUAAAAGACUUGGGCAGCUUCAACGCCUAGUGAUAUCCAGGUGCCCACUUCUGGAGGAAAUUGUUGGCAUGGAAGGUGGAGUGGAAGCGGAUCCUUCUUUUGUCUUUCCACAGUUAACAAUCCUGAAACUCAGCUCACUACCAAAGCUUAGAGCUUUCUAUCCUGGAAUACACACUUUGGAAUGUCCCAUUUUAACUAGGUUGGAAGUGUCUCUUUGUGACAAACUAGAAAGUCUCUUCAGAAUCGUAUAGCCUCCACGAAAAUAAUGAGGAGGGCCAACUUAUUGAAGUGCCAGUGCCAGCGCAACAGCCCCUGUUCUUGGUUGAAAAGGUACGAGUCUCUUUUCUAUAAUAUAUGCUUUGUUUAUUUCAACAUUUAUUUUAUUUUAGUGAUAAAAAUCCAUAAUUAUAUUCUUCUUUGGAAUUUUUUGAGUGAACAUCAACUCCAACUUGUUUAUGUUUGAUUGGUCAUCAGGUCCUACCCAAUUUGGAGGAAUUGAGAUUAAGCAAGAACAAGGAUAUCGCAAAGAUAUGGCAGGGUCCGUUUCCAGACCAUCUUUUAAACAAACUCGAAGUUCUAGCGAUUGAGAAUGAUGAAUCGGAAGUUUUAUCACCUGACUUACUCGAGAGAUUUCACAAUCUGGUCAGUCUCCAACUAGAACGUAGUUCUUACAAAGAGUUAUUCUCAAAUGAAGGGCAGGUUGAGAAACAUGUCGGAAAGCUCGCUCAGAUAAAACAUUUAAAGCUGAGGCGACUAAAUGAUCUAAAGCACCUGUGGCUGUGGGAACAAAACUCCAAAUUGAACACGGUUUUUCAAAAUCUUGAAACUCUAUCUGUACACUUUUGUCUUAAUCUGACAAAUCUAAUGCCUUCCUCUGCCUCUUUUCGGUGUCUGAGAGAACUGAGGGUAUGCGCUUGCGAGCAUCUGAUAAACUUGGUAGCAUCCUCGGCAGCAAAAAAUCUAGUGCAACUCGUACAUGUGUCGGUAAGUGAAUGCAGUAAAAUUACCGAGUUGGUGGUAGCAAGUGAGGGAGAUGCAGCAAAAGACGAGAUUAUCUUCCCCAAACUGGAGUACUUGAAUCUUCAUCGUCUACAAAGUCUCAUAACCUUCUGCUCUGCAAACUACACUUUUAAAUUCCUGUCUUUAUGGCGGUUAUCAGUGUCUGCUUGCCCCAAGAUGAAGAUUUUCUGCGGAGGAGUCUUUAGCGCACCAAGAUUAAAAGAAGUGUGGCUAAAUGGUCAAAAUUGUUGCGACGGUGACCUCAAUAAACCCAAACAACUGUCGUAUUACAAAACGGUGCGUAUUCAUCAUAUUUGAGCGGACUACUUGAUUUAAAUUUUAUGAUUCAAUUUAAAUCAUUUUUUUAUCAAAAUUGAAAUUACAUAUAUAAUUGCAUAUUGUUAUAAUUAGAUAAUAUAAUAAAAAAUAGUACAAAAUUAUUUAUAUAUCGUAAAAAAAAUUUCAAAAAAAGUUACAUUGUGCAAUUAAAUAGUUAAAAGACACUACUAAUUUUAAUUAAUUAUUAAUCCGAUUUUCUUGUUUUAACAGUAUAAAUAUUAUAUUUCAUUUGUUUGCACGUUAAACUACAAUACAAUUUUAAAUUUACCAAUACAAUUUUUUAUUAUUGCAAUAAAGAUAAAAUAUUUUGAAUUAAUAUCUAAACAUUUAGUACAAUCCUAUAUAAUAUUAUAAUGUGAGUAGGCUUCUCAAAUCUUACCUAGCAAACUAGAAAGCCACUGCUAUAGAACCUCUAAAAAUGUAGAUGCAUAUGAUGAAUGAGUUCAUAAGAUUUUUUAAACUAGUACCUCUAUACAAUUCGACUAUGUUUGACACGCAAGAUUAUAUUGGACUAAGUAUUAGGAUUAGACUAAAUUAAAUUGGAUUAUAUCUAACUUAUGUAUAGUACACUAACAAACUUGAUUAUAUUAAAUUAAAUUUAAAUGGUAUUUACGUUAAUAUUUGAAUUUAAAUAUAAACUAUAUAUAGAUAUUUAAUAAGAAAUAUUAUAAUUAAUUAAAAUAAUAAUAAUAUUAUUAUUAUAUUUAUAUAUAUUAUUCAAUUAGUUAUGUGAUAGUCACAAUUAGAAUGAAGAAAUAUAAAUUAUUUAAAUUAUAGGUUGUUUCAUAUGAGAUAUAUCAUUUCAUUAAAUAAAACAAUUCAAAUAAUAAAUUAAUUAAUAAUUUUUAAGUAAAUCAUGAAUAACGAAAAAUAAAUUACUUAAUUACUAACAAUAAAUAAAUAAAUAAAUUUUAAGUUAUAAAUAAAAAUAAUGUAAUGAAUUACAGAAGACAUCAUAAAUAGAUUUUUUUUUUCUCACUGCCUAAUCCUAUUUAAACUCACAUGAAAAUUGAGAUUACUAAUCCCAUGAAUUUAGGAUACAAAUUUGAAUUUAAUCCACUAGUCCAAUGCAAGUGACAAACAUAGGAUUAAUAGUUUAUCCCAAAACUUUAUUCCAAUCCUAUACUUAGAUGGCAUUUGUUUUUUGGUCUGAAAUAUGAAUAGAGCUUAAUGUUUGAAUCUGAAUCAUACGUUUGUUUUUCUAUCUGAAUAGCUAAAAAUAAAUAUUAAGUUGUUUUUUAACUUUAAAAAAUCUGAAAACUAUUGUUUUUACAUUUAUGUCCUUACAAAUUAUAAAUGUUAAACAAAAAAUAAACAUCUCAAGAAAUAUAAAUAAGAUAAUAAAUAGUAAUAACAUAAAUCAUAUUUAAUUUGAUACAACUCUUUAAUAUUCUAUAUUAUUUAUGUUAAUCAAUUUUAUUAUAGUUUAUGAUGUUUUUAAUGAAAAAUAUUCAUAAAAAAUUAUGAAGAUAAAUAAUGCUAAUUUUUGAAGAAAAUAAAUAGAUAACAAUAAUAAUAGUCUACCAUUGUAUAUUAUCACAAGUCAUAUAGAGAGAGAGUAAUAAUGCUAAUUAUUAAAUUUUAUUUAAGUAAGGAUAAAAAUUAAUUAAUUAAAUAAUGAUAUUUUAGAGAAUAUCUUUAAAUGAUAUCGUUCAAACUUUUUAGAUUAAGUAAAAAGUUAAAAAAAUUAGUUUAAUAACUUAAUGAUUUAAUGGCUGAAAGUUUUUAUUAAGUUGAAAAAAACAAACAGACUUGACAACUUAACUGAUUAAAAUUAAAUCAAUUAAGUCAUCAAGUCAAAAAAACAAACAACCUCUUAAUCUCAACUCCCAAACAUAACCUCCAGGAGUAACUAGGGUAAUCAAAUUAGCUGCCCUAAGACCCUCAUUUGGAUUCAACUGACUACAAAGAUUCAAGAUAGUUGGCAAAUAAAAUAAUCAACUCAAUUUUCGCAGAAGCUAGUUUAAGCAAUUUAUAUCAGAAGUGAACUAAUUGACAUGUCUUUGGGGAACAUCCUUUCACCUUAAAUUAAAAAUGUUGCUCUUUUUUUUUUUUUUUUUUUUUCAGAAUGCUCAGAGUUCCACAGACGAUUCAGGUCAAUCUUCAAUGCACCAUCAGGAAUAAACACCUUUUCUCUAUAAUGUUUAUUAGUCACGAGUUUUUUCAUUGAUGAUCAUUUUCUUGUAUUGGAAUCAGGUGCGAACAAGCCCUUCUGUUUCUAUCUUCAUUGUUCUGCUUUGGCUCUCUUCAACUUUUGUGUUGCUCUUUUGAAAGUGCUAUUAUAAAACUUACAUUCCAUGUAAUCGAUUGAGAUUCAAUGGUUGAAUGGUCCUCAAUAGUUUCCUGGUUGCUGUAUUCUGUGAGAUUCUCAGGCACCCAAAAGACAAAUUAAGUACCAAAAUUAAGGAUAUAUAUUUGAACUCUACCUUUGCGUGCAACUUGUAUAUAUUGUGUUCUAUGAGCAGGAACCCACAUAAAUGGUUCCUCAUUAACAUGGAUUGCCGUUGCUUGUGGUUCAAGCAACCUUGUUUACUAGUUGAUUCCUUGUCUUCUUAAUCAGAAAUCAUGGGAUACACUGGUUGUAAUUCUAGUCAUGCAGUAAAAUAUAAGUAAUGGCAAAUCGCAUUGAGCAGGAGAUUCAUAGCCAUAAAGCUUUGGAUUGUUAUUCGCAGAUAUGGCUUGGCUAACCUUAUGGAUCACACUUGUAGCAAGUGUCAAAGCGUUCAUGUAUAGUGUCAAAGACUUCUUACCAUGACGAAGGCCGUUAUGUUUUCCCUUGUCAACUAUAUUUUUUCUGAGCUUUCAUCUUCUGAAAACUGUUAGUAGAAUGUCAAGUAAAUCAUUUGGUGCAUCAAACUUUAACACCGUUGAAAAAUGUUGAAGUCUCAAGAGUAUUUGAGCAAUUUCAAGCUAAAGUUAUUUUCUUGGUUCUUUUACAGAUUUUUAUCUUUUUCUCUGAACAUCUGAUUUACAAGCUUUUUUUUUUCCUUUAUUUCAGUUAUUAUAUUAAAUUGGUAACAGUUGAAAUAUUAGGUGGAAAAAUGGUUGUCAAAAAACUUUGGUGAUCUAACAUUUAGUCUAUUUACUUAUUUGGUUUUAAUUUAUUUAAUGUUAAAAUUACAUACAUAUAAUGCACAAGACAUUAGUAGGAAUCCGGUCCAAUCUUAGCACCACAACAGAACGUGUCCUUAAGUCUCAUUAGAAAAGUUAGUCUGAGAAAUUUAGAGCAGAAAUGAACUAAGUAACACAUCUUUAGAGUUUGUACAUUCACCAUUAAUAUGAUGCUCUUCAUGAUUACAGAAUGUUCAAACUUUCGAAGAAGAUUCAGGUCAACCUUCAAUUCAGAAUCCGGAAUAAGGCCAUUUCUCUAUGACAGUUUAUGAGUUUAUCAUUGAAGAAUCUUCACUUUCUGUGUUGCUCUUCUGGAAGUGUCAUUACAUUUCCUUCAUGUAAUAGUUUGAGAUUCAAUGGUCGAAAGGCCAUUAAUUAGCAUUAAUAAUUUUCUGGUUGCAGCAGUACGCUGUAUCCUGUGGCAAUCAGCAUGUGUGUGCAAUUUGUAUUUUCUUGUGAUUGAAUUUCUGGAGUUCUAUUCUUUUAGAAUUGAUAAAUUCAAAGGGGAUGCUGGUCUAGUGGUCUUGGUGCUAUUGUUAGAAAUACCAGUGGGGACAUUAUGCUUGCAGCAGUAAAGACCUAUAAAUUUUUGGGAUAACGAAUUCUCAGAGGCAGAGGCUCUUAGUUUUGGAUUUUGGGACUUAAGUAAGCUCGAAUCUGAUGCUAAGACUUUUGUGAACGGAAAUGAUCCAAGUCAGAAGGAAAAUCUUCAGAAGGAAUUCUUAGGAGUAAUCGUUAUCUUGCUUUCAAAUUUAUCUCGAGGAGCUAUAAUGAAACCACUCAUAGGCAUGAACUUUACAAUGAACAUUGUAAAGCAUCCUCCAUAUAUGGAAAUGGAAAGGAACCCAUCUGUAUAUAUGUCAUACUUCUACGUAUCAUAGAUUUUUAUCUUAAUUCAAAUCUGAAUUUUGUCAAAUUCAGACGUAUGGACGUAUAUAUAUUCAAAGUAACCCAUCUGUAUUUUUGAAGAUUUAUAUUAAAACGCAUAGAUACAUUUUAAUUAACAGUUACAUAGAUAUACAUUUUAAUUAACACUUUAAUGGAUCAAGGCAUGACCGCCUUCUGAAAAGUGAACGAGUUAAUUUCUAUGCAAAUUUUACCUUUAAGCCAUUUGUGAACCAUUAUGUUUUCCACGGAGUUAUCAAAAAAUCAUCGUUUUUCUAAUAAAAUGUUUUCUCUUUUCCUUCAAAAAAAGAAAAAAAAAGAAAAAAAGAAAAAAAGAAAAGAAACACAAAACUUAAAGCAGCAUCCUGAUUUGGCUCUUUCACUAAAAUGUUGAAUUCCCAAGACAAUGUUGAAGUUAACAGCACCUGCCAGACUCUACUUAACAAACACAAAAGCAACAAAACUAAAACCAGAACAUUUUUCUUUUGUUUCCCCACAAACUCGUCCUCAAUUCACAACACAACAACAACACAAUCAGCAACACUUGCAACAACAAAAACAAAAACACUUGAUGCAUAUCCUACAAAACAGCCAAACACCAAACAACAUUACCACUCAAAUCCACUCUCACUUACUCACCACUAACUCACUGCUACACCACUCACAACUCUUCAACACUCUUCUUCACUUCUACUCGCUCGCUGACUCACCUCAAAAAGCUUUCUUGCUCUACAAACAACUUCAACAAAUUUACACACACUCUCACUCUCCAUUGCCGCCUCUCUUUGACAGCUUCACUUACUCUUUCCUUAUCAGAACCUGCGCUACUUUAAGCCAUCCUAACUUGGGUACCCAGCUUCAUGCUGUUAUUUCCAAAGUGGGUUUUCAAUCUCAUGUUUAUGUGAACACUGCUUUGGUUAAUAUGUAUGUUUCGUUAGGGUUUUUGAAGGACAGUUCUAAAUUUCUUUAGGGAUUUUGAAGGACAGUUCUAAACUGUUCGAUGAAUUGCCGGAGAGAAGUUUGGUUUCGUGGAAUGUUAUGAUCACUGGUUUAGUGAAAUGGGGUGAGCUAGAAUUUGUGCGUUCUCUCUUUGAAGAGAUGCCUUGCAGGAAUGUUGUGUCGUGGACAGGGAUUAUUGAUGGUUACACCAGGAUGAAUCGGUCUAAUGAGGCGUUAGCUUUAUUUCGAAAAAUGGUUGCGUGCGAAUAUACAGAACCCAGUGAGAUAACUAUUUUGGCUGUUUUACCGGCUAUUUGGCAAAAUGGGGAUGUUAAGAGUUGUCAAUUGAUUCAUGGGUAUGGUGAGAAAAGAGGGUUUAACGCGUUUGAUAUACGUGUCUUAAAUUGUUUGAUUGAUACUUAUGCAAAAUGUGGCUGCAUAUUUAGUGCCUCAAAACUCUUUGAGGAUAUAUCAGUUGAGAGGAAAAAUUUGGUGUCUUGGACAUCGAUAAUAUCUGGGUUUGCAAUGCAUGGGAUGGGGAAAGAAGCAGUAGAAAAUUUUGAGAGGAUGCAGAAAGUUGGUUUGAAACCAAACAGAGUAACAUUCUUGAGUGUUUUGAAUGCUUGUAGUCAUGGAGGAUUGGUCGAGGAGGGGCUGAAGUUUUUUGAUAAGAUGGUUGAGGAGUGUGACGUUUUGCCAGAUAUAAAGCAUUAUGGGUGUUUAGUAGACAUGUUGGGAAGGGCUGGGAGGUUAGAACAAGCGGAGAAGGUUGCUUUGGGGAUACCGAGUGAGAUUACUAAUGUUGUUGUUUGGAGGACCCUUUUGGGUGCUUGUAGCUUUCACGGUAAUGUGGAGAUGGGUGAGAGGGUGACAAGGAAGAUAUUGGAAAUGGAGAGAGGAUAUGGAGGGGACUAUGUGCUUAUGUAUAACAUCUUUGCUGGGGUUGGGAGGUAUGGAGAUGCUGAGAGAUUGAGGAGAGUCAUGGAUGAGAGGAAUGCCCUCAAAGUUCCUGGCCGUAGUUUGGUGUAGCUAAUUGUGAACAUGAAUGGUAGCGAUCUGGAUGGAUGGUCCCUUAUUCCUUUACUUAUAUAAAGUUUUUAAAACAAUUUAUCACUGAGCCGAGAUUGGUUUCCUUUUCAAGGCCGACAUCGGCAAGGCACCUGAGAUGUUGCCAUUACCAAAGUUCUUUCAGCUUGUGAAAAGCACCCUCUUUUUUAACUUCAUUGAAGAAGGUAGGCAAUUCCUGUUCUGUACAUUUAGUUUUUGUUUCCUGUUUAACAUUCGGAAGAUUGAUUUUGUUGGUUUUAUUAGUAUUCACAUUCAAACAGCAAAAGAGAGUUGAUCUUUUUGUUUUCUUUACUCAAUUUUAUGAUUCUGAUAUAGUUACAAAGUUUUUUGUUCUCUAUAUUGUUCAGAUGGAUUGAUUUUCGGUAAAAUUAAUAAACUGUUCUUAUUUUUUCUUUGGCUUUUGCUCUUUUAGCUUUGUUGAAAAAGCAAAGUGAAAUGAUUCAUGAGCUAGCUCUUCAUUUUGCCCCUGAGCUAGGGUUUCAGAAAUCAAAAGCCAAUACAUAUUUAUUUGCUUUUUAUCAUUGUUUAUCUUCUUUUAUUUUAGUGUUUUGGUAUGUUUGAUUUUCUAUGUGAUAAUCAAUAGCUUACUAAUUACCACCGGGAAUUUAGGUCCCUGUAGUGGUGGCGUUUCAAAGUUCAAAGCAUUUUACGUAUUUCAAUUUCACUUGUUUUUCAUGCUUUAUCAUUCAACUAGAUAAAUUUACAGAUAGAAUUUUCAAACUGCGAAGAACAGCUAAUUCAUUCCUUUUUGGUUCAUUUCUGGCGGAUAAAGUACUUUUCCAGGUUUCAAAGAUGUAUAAUGAAAAAAAAUCUUUUACCAGCUAUGUCGACCUUAAAAUAUAGGCCAUUAAAGAUCUCGAAGCUGUCCUGACACUUAUUUUGAAAUGACAAGCUCAGAAAACACCAUGGACCAAAACCUCAAACCUAUUCCUAGAAGCUGAGAAUGUGAAGAAAUGGAGAAAUCUGCGAGAGUUUAGGCAGCUUCUGAGAAACCAAUGACUGAAAAAUAUUUCGCUGCACUCAGGACGGCCAGGACUAUUAGGUCUCAGCUGAAGAAAGAGGCCGCACCAAUGCAGCAAAUAAGCACCUCACUCUCUCAGGCUGCAGAGAAGGAACCUCAAUUUACAGGACUCCCUUUUGUGUUACUAAUGGCUUAAUUCAAUGUGACUGGAGAGAUCUCAAAUGAGGAUACAAUUGAGAAAACCAUCUCUUAUGGUGGAGAUUCCGGAUAGGCGUAACACCGACAUAGAGAUUAAGAAAAGCUUGUUGGAGCUGUAUCAAAUUUUCUUUGACAUGACUGUAAUGGUGGAGGUCAAGACUUUGAAGCACAAACAGAGAAGCAGCAGGAACUAUAUUGCUUGGGGACCAUACUUCUGGUGUUGAUCAUUCUUUUGGUUGUUAGCAGCUUUUGAAUUGUGAGCUUUGUAUCGGAAAUGAUGCCCAAUCAUCCUUCUGGUAUUAGCACUGGGUUGUGACUAUUCUCCGUUCUUUUAUGCUUUUCUCCAAUGCAUUUGAAACACAUUGUCUUGAUUAGAUAGAGUCCAAGGAUGAAAAUCUUCUGGGAACCAUAUUGAAUGAGUAAUAAAUUUAGCAUUUUUCCAAAGAGAUUUUGACACAUGGCAUUUAAGAAAUUCUAAGGUCAGAAUUUAAUUUAUUUACAAUUUUUUUUAUUUGACACUAAAAAUAUGAUGUUUUUAAAACUCAUAAAAGUUGCCAACUAAUAGAAAUUAAUUUCAUGUCAGUAUCUUCUUUCUCCUCUUUCUUUCAUGCAAUAAUCUUAAAAAAGAAUAACAAAAAAGGUUUUAGAAAAAACUAGGGUAAUUUUUAUCUGUCUUUAGUGAAUUUUUUUUUCUUUUUACAAUCAUCUUGGUAUCUUAAAUAAAUUAGAGUUAAAUAAAAUUUUAAAUUAUCUCUCUCCUCUUUUCUUAUAAAUGAACUUUGACAAUUAGAAAACUAGAUCAAAGUAUGCAAAGUUUUCAAUUAAAAAUGGUUAGAUCUGUUUCUUUGAUAUUAAAGGUACGGAGACCGAACAAAGAAUGGAAAAGGGAGAAGCAGUUUAAUUUUUUUUUAUAAAAAAAACAAGAAUAAUAAUCUAAUGUUGGCAUUAGAUAAUUUAAAAAAUGGCCAUUCUUCAAAUGUUGGCAUGUCGGUAAAUUCAUUGUUGUGGUUUUUCACUCAAUUUAAUUUCCAUAUGCCUGAAGAAGAAGUGCAAUUUUUAUGCAAGUUUGAGAAGCGAUAAACUAAGAAGCUGAAAAAGAAGUUUAAACUUAUGUUAGUGUAAAAUUUCAAUUAACCUAAAAAUGUUAGAUUUUGGUGUUUAAAUAGGAAAAUUGUAAACAAUUUAAUCUUAACCUUACGAUUUUUUAAAUGCUACGUGUUCAAAUCUAAGUUUGAAAAAAUGAUACACGUACAAAAUUAGAGAUAUGAAUUAGUUGUUUUUAAAUUUUCUAGUCUUUUAUCACUUUUGUCUCUAUUUUUGCCCUCCAUGUUUUACAUGUACAAAUCAUUCAUUAAUCCCAAGUUUAUACGUUCAAAUUCUUGUAUGGUCUAAUUGUUAUUACUUUUCAGUACUAAUUUUCCAUUUUGCAAAAACAGAUGAUAAAAGAAACGUGUUGGUAGUCGUCGCCAUUAUACAAAUGGUGUCCACUUUACAUCUCACCGUCCAUGAGACCCACCGAUAAUUUGACAACACUGAUUAUGCUUUUAACUCAUUAAUUCUUGUUCUUGUUGAAGCGUUUAGUAACUUAUAUGAUGAUUUGAUCAUAUCCCUAACAUUAACAUACCCCCAUAAUCCAUUAAUAAAAUUUAUUUAUUUCAUAAUUAUAUGAUGAUGAACGGUUUUUCAUUUUUCUGCGAAACAUAAGAACAAUUUGUAAAUAAUGUCCAGACCUUGUAAUAGCGAAGAAUCAUUUAUGGACAGAAUAGGUGAAAUAACAAAACAGCAUAAAUCAAGUCAUUAUUGAUCUUACUUUGAUGAUCGCACUUUAGUUUCUUUUUAAAGUGCCUUUUGUUUAUUUUAUCGGCAUCCGCUUUUACAAAAGUUUUGGUCCUCGUUCAUUCAUCAAAGCUUCUACUUUUAUCUUUUAUUAGGCAUCUUACAAAGCUUAAUUUAAUGGGAAUCAUGCUCAGCUCGAAGAUUGUUUUACUUACUUCAGCCAUCUUUCAAUCAACCGAAUUUAUUCUUUUCUGAUCUGGCAAUUAUUCAUGAAAAAAAUACGUGCGUACUAAUUUCGUCAUCAUCAUGGAGCCAUGGGAAAUCAAAUACUCCUAAACCCAAAUACUUAUCUGAUGCUGAUGAUGAUGAAAUGUGGCUACUCUGAUCAGCCUCCACCUCCACGUGCCCUGAUCUCUCCUCCUUCUUUGCAGCACUACGCUUCACAAACUUUUCUUUCUUUUCUUCUCCUCCUCCUCCUUCUUCUUCUCUUCCUCUCUUCUUGUUUUCCCAUUCCAUUUCGCAAUCACAAAGCCUUCUGCAAACACGCACAUCAUGUGUUAUAUAUAAUAGCCGGCUAGCUCGUUCAUUCGUACGUGCAUCAUGCAUGUGUCACCUCACCUUAUCAGGAAAUCGCAUAUUAACCUUGAAACUGGAAACAAAUUUACAACCCCCUGCUGCCGCAUCCGGCCAUCCCAUGCAUGCAUGAUGCAUUGCAUUGCAUUCAAGAAUAAUUAGACAGGAAAUGGAUUUCCAAAAUAUCAAUAAAUAAAUAAAAAGAUAGCAGUUCGGUAAUGAAUUGAAAUCAAUUGAACAUAUUUAUUAUUUUUCUUUUUACCAAAAGAACGAACGCAAGACAUGUAUGUAUGUACGUAAUUAAUACCUUUUGAGUUGUGAUGCUCGAUCUUAUUAAUCUUCUUAUGUUUCUGAGAGAAGACAGAAGGAAUACAGAAAUGAUUUAAUUAACCAAUAAAAAUGUGGGCCCACAAUAAAUUUAAAAAAAGCACUUGAACAGAGUUAUGCUUUUUUUGUUUUUUUCCUUGGACAAGGUCACAAGGGUUUUAACUUUUAACGAGGAUCUAAAACGACAGAGCACUCUCUUCAAAUCAUGAGGUUGUUUUGAUAUCUAUCUUCAUGAUUUCGAGAUUAGGUGGGGAUUUCGUUUUUUUAUUUUAUUAAUAUUUUAAUAUAACUGUAGGGCCAGUCAAUGAAAAAAAAAAUGAUAAGUCAAUGAAAACGGCAAGAAGUGGCUGCCGUUUCUAUCUUCAUUUUAUCGUUUGGGUGUUCAACUAUCAUUUUCCUUAGUAUAUAGCACUGAGUCUUUACAUUUUUCUAUAAUAUUCAAUAAUUUGUUGCAAUAUUAUUUUAUUUUUAAAUAUAUUUUAUUUAAAUUUAUUAUAAAUUAAAUUAAUUAUGUAAAUAAAAAUAAAAAUAAAAUAGUAAAAAUAACAUAUUUUAUAUUAAUAAUAAAAUAUUUUUAUUGUUUUUAUAAACUUUUUUUUCUUGAUAAAUGUUUAUUUUAUAUUCCUAAUGUCUAAUAUCACAUAAAUGACUCAUUUAUUCUUUUUUUCUUUUAAAAUUUUUAUAUUGGUGGAGUUAUUGGAUAUUAUAAAAAUAAUAAAAAAGUAAGUAGUGUAUAUUUAUUUGAGUAAGGAGAAACUAUCUUCAUUUUAUGUACAAAUAAUAUAAUAUAUAAAAUUAUUACUGGGGGCUCCAUUUUGUAAUUAAAAUUAUAUAAAUACAAUUGUUUCUCUCCUGUACAUUAUCUUUUAUAUUUUGACCUUUUUAUUUUCAGAUACUCCUUUAAAAAUAAAACUAUUAAACAUAUUUCUAAAUUUACCAGAAAUUAAUUACUUCUUUACAAUAAAACAAACACCAAAAAACACCAUUUUGAAAAACAAUAAAAAAAAAAAAAGCAUCCGAAAUUUUUGAGUGAAUCUUGACGUUGACUUGAGUCGUCUCCUAGACUAUUGGAUGAAACAUGAUGUAUGAUUGACUGAUCUGCAUCUCUUCAUCAUCUCAAGUUCUCUGAAGCCAUCAUCUCAGGUUACCUCUGUCUUGUUUUCAGCUUUUUCAUCUCAAGAGCACCUUAGUAGUCCAUCCUGUGAGUCGUAGCUGUUGUUUGAAAUUUGGUUUCUGCACAUCCUUAAUUUCUUCCUCCCAAAUCACAUCUCAUUUUUCCAUCUGAUUCUAUCCACCCUUUUCCUUGUGAUCACUGGUGUUUUGUUGUUCAUCUUUUUGUACCUUUUUUCCCUCUCUCAUUUCUCUGUACUGUAUCCCCAUACUUUUGUAGUUUCCCUCUGAUUUUCUCCACUCUUUUUUUUUUCAUAUUAGAUAAAACAGCCACACUUAUUUUCAACGUUUGAUCUCACGACCACUCUGCUUUUGUUCCCGCUUGUUGUUGUGACCUGGUGUUCUGUUCUGUAGAUUUGCUACUCAGUUUUAUUUCCCUUUGGUUUCCUUCGCAUCUGUUUCUCAAAACUUUAAAACAAAAAAGAAAAAAGGUUGAAAAUGGUUGAUGCUGUUGUUACCGUUGCUUUAGAAGUUGCCAAGUGCUUGUUCCCUCCGAUCGUGUGCCAGUUAAGUCAUGUACGUAAGUACAAAGCCAACCUUGAGAAUCUCAAGAAAGAAACUAAGAAGUUGACCGAUACAAGAGAUAGCAUGCGGAAAAAGGUUGAUGAUGCUAAAAGGAACGGGGAAGAGAUUGACCAAAGAGUUGAGAGUUGGCUGAUUAGUGUCGACAAGAUCAUUGCUGAGGCGGACACGUUAACUGGAGAAGAAGAACAUGCAAAUAAGAAAUGUUUCAAGGGGCUCUGUCCUAAUCUUAAGAAACGCUAUCAACUUAGCGAGAAAGCAGCCACAAAGGAGAAGAGCAUCGCUGAGCUCAAGGAAGAAGCUGAGAAAUUUGCUCAAAUUUCCUACCGUACUGUUGCAGAGGAGCCUUGGCUUAGGUCUGGCAAAGGUUGCGAGGCCUUUGCAUCAAGAACGUCGACUUUGAAGGAUGUGCAAAACGCAUUACUUGAUCCUGAUAUCAGCUUCAUUGGGGUGUAUGGGAUGGGGGGCGUUGGGAAGACGACCCUAGUGAAGGAAGUGGCUAGGCGAGCCAAAAAAGACAAGCUAUUUGACGAGGUAGUUUUUGCAGAAGUAUCUGAGGCUCCAGAUAUCGGAAAGGUUCAACGGGAACUUGCGGAUCAGCUAGGUGUGAAAUUUGAUGAGGAGAGUGAUGUACCUGGAAGAGCUAGGAAGCUUUAUGCACGGUUGCAGAACGAGAACAAGAUCCUCGUAAUUUUAGACAACAUUUGGGAAGAUCUUGAUCCGGAAAAAGUAGGAGUUCCUUCUGGAAAUGAUUGUAGGGGAUGUAAAGUCUUGCUGACAGCAAGAGAUCGUCAUGUGUUGGAGUGUAUUGGGUCCAAGACUAUAGGGAUUGAUGUUUUAAAUAACGAAGAAGCGUGGACUCUAUUCAAGAAGUUGGUGGGUGACUGUGCUGAAAAAGGCACAUUAAAAUCUAUAGCGACUGAUGUGGCUAAAGAAUGUGGAGGUUUGCCUAUUGCCAUCGUUACGCUGGCAAAAGCAUUAAGAAACAAGAGUAGUGUCUCUACGUGGAAAGAUGUCCUGAGGCAAUUGAAAAGGCCUUCCCAUCGGAACUUUGAAGGAGUGCUAGCGAAGACAUAUUCAGCUAUAGAAUUGAGUUACAAGUAUUUAAGAGACGAGGAGCUCAAGAAACUAUUUUUGCAGUGUAGUCUAAUGCGAUCCCCACAGGCUUCCAUGCUGGACUUGUUGAAAUAUGCAAUAGGUUUGGGUAUAUUGAAAGGCGUCAGUACAAUGGAAGAAGCACGAGAUAAAGUAAAUGCGUUGGUCGAUCAACUCAAAGAUGCUUGUUUGUUGCUUGACGGCACUAACAGCGAUUGGUUUUCUAUGCAUGACGUUGUUCGUGUUGUUGCCAUAGCAGUUGCAUCUAGAGACAGUCAUGUAUUUACAAUGAGAAACGAAGUUGAUACGAGGCAAUGGCCAGAUAAGCAUUUGCUAAAGAAGUGCUCAAGAAUAUCAUUAUACGACAAUAAUAUUAGUGAAAUUCCUCAAGGGUGGGAAUGCCCUCAGCUUGAGUUUUUCUGGAUUUCUGCCUCCGAAGAUUCUCCUCUCAAAAUCCCCGACAACAUUUUCAUCGGGAUGCCGAAGCUCAAAGUUUUAGAUUUUACUAGAAUGAGGUUACUGUCACUACCGUCGUCGAUUCAUCUCCUAACAGACCUUCGAACAUUGUGUCUGGAUGGUUGCCAAUUGGAAGACAUUAGAGUUAUUGGAGAGCUGAGGAAGCUAGAAAUUCUUAGCUUGCAGGCUUCUGUAAUUGAGCAAUUGCCUAUGGAGAUAGGCCAAUUGACUCAGCUAAAGUUGUUAGAUUUGAGCGAUUGUUACAAAUUAAAAGUGAUUGCACCAAAUGUUCUAUCAAACUUAUCUCAACUGGAAGAAUUGUACAUGGCUAAUUGUUGUAUUGAAUGGGAGGUUCCAGGACUCAGCAAUGAGAGAAGUAAUGCUAGCCUCGAUGAAUUGAAGAAUUUAUCUCGUUUAACCACUUUAGAGAUACGUAUUCUUGAUGCAGGGAUUCUACCGAGUGGCUUGUUCUCAAGAAAGCUGGAGAGGUAUGAAAUUUGCGUGGGGCAAGAUUUGUACUGGUAUGAUAUCUAUAAGACUCGGAGAACUUUGAAACUCAAGCUCAACUCUCGCAUUUGCUUGGGGGAGUGGCGAGGCAUGAAGAACGUGGAAUACUUAUGUUUAGACGAAUUGCCGGGUUUGACGAAUGUUCUUCAUGAUUUGGACGGGGAGGGUUUUGCAGAGCUGAAACAUCUGAAUGUCCAAAAUAAUUCGAAUUUUCUAUGUAUAGUUGAUCCGCUACAAGUACGUUGCGGUGCCUUCCCGAUGUUAGAGUCCGUGGUUCUUCAGAGUUUGAUUAAUUUGGAGAGAAUAUGUCAUGGUCAGCUCCGAGCAGAAUCUUUCUGCAAUUUGAAAACAAUAAAAGUGGGACGUUGUCAUAAAUUGAAAAAUUUGUUCUCAUUCUCCAUUGCCAAAUUCCUUCCCCAACUUGAAAGAAUUAAAGUGAUUCAGUGCAAAAAUGUAGAAGAGAUAUUUGUUUCUAGCAAUGACGAGGUGAUCGGUGAGAUUGCAUUGGCGCAAGUACGGUUCCUGAUUCUUAGAACUCUUCCACUGUUCACAAGCUUCUCCACAUUUGUCAGGACAACUUCUAAUGUGGAAGUAGAGCACAAUGAAAUCAUUUUGGAGAACGAGAACCACCUUUAUACUCCCUUGUCACUGUUUAAUGAAAAGGUAGGUGAACAAAACUUAUUCUCUUAUUUUAUUAAUGCUACUGCUAUCACAAGAACUCGUAUUGACAUAAGAACUCUGUGUGCAGAUCGUGCUUCCUAAAUUGGAGGUCUUGGAACUGCGGGAUAUUAAUGUUGCAAAGAUAUGGCACAAUCAACUUUCAGCAGCAAUCUCUUGUAGCGUUCAAAAUUUAACACGCUUGAUUUUGGUGGACUGCCGCAAAUUAAAAUACGUGUUUUCAUAUUCUAUAGCUAAAAGACUUGGGCAGCUUCAACACCUUGAGAUAUGCAGGUGCCCACAUUUGGAGGAAGUUGUUGGCAAGGAAAGUGGAGUGGAAGCGGAUCCUUCUUUUGUCUUUCCACGCUUAACAAUCCUGAAAUUUCGCUACCUACCAGCACUUAGAGCUUUCUAUCCUGGAGUACACACUCUGGAAUGUCCCGUGUUAACUAAGUUGGAAGUGUAUAUUUGUGACAAACUAGAAAGUUUCACUUCAGAAUUGUAUAGCCUCCACGAAAAUAAUGAGGAGGGCCAACUUAUUGAUGUGCCAGUGCCAGCGCCACGGCCCCUGUUCUUGGUUGAAAAGGUACGUGUCUCUUUUCUAUAAUAUAUGCUUUGUUUGUUUCAACAUUUAUUUUAUUUUAGUGACAACAAUCCAUAAUUAUAUUCUUCUUUGGAAUUUUUUGAGUGAACAUCAACUCCAACUUGUUUAUGUUUGAUUGGUCAUCAGGUCCUACCCAAUUUGGAGGAAUUGAGAUUAAGCAAGAACAAGGAUAUCGCAAAGAUAUGGCAGGGUCCGUUUACAGACCAUCUUUUAAACAAACUCGAAGUUCUGGCGAUUGAGAAUGAUGAAUCGGAAGUUUUAUCACCUGACUUACUCGAGAGAUUUCACAAUCUGGUCAAUCUCCAACUAGAACGUAGUUCUUACAAAGAGUUAUUCUCAAAUGAAGGGCAGGUUGAGAAACAUGUCGGAAAGCUCGCCCAGAUAAAACAUUUAAAGCUGAGGCGACUAAAUGAUCUAAAGCACCUGUGGCUGUGGGAACAAAACUCCAAAUUGAACACGGUUUUUCAAAAUCUUGAAACUCUAUCUGCACACUUUUGUCUUAAUCUGACAAAUCUAAUGCCUUCCUCUGCCUCUUUUCGGUGUCUGAAAGAACUGAGGGUAUGCGCUUGCGAGCAUCUGAUAAACUUGGUAGCAUCCUCGGCAGCAAAAAAUCUAGUGCAACUCGUACUUGUGUCGGUAAGUGAAUGCAGUAAAAUUACCGAGUUGGUGGUAGCAAGUGAGGGAGAUGCAGCAAACGACGAGAUUAUCUUCCCCAAAAUGAUGUUCUUGGAGCUUCAUCGUCUACAAAGUCUCACAACCUUCUGCUCUGCAAACUACACUUUUAAAUUCUUGUCUUUAUGGCGGUUAUCAGUGUCUGCUUGCCCCAAGAUGAAGAUUUUCUGCGGAGGAGUCUUUAGCGCACCAAGAUUAAAAAAAGUGUGUCUAAAUGGUCAAAAUUGUUGGGACGGUGACCUCAAUACAACCAUACAACUGUCGUAUUACAAAACGGUGCGUAUUCAUCAACCAAACCAUUUUUUGUUUUUUUUUUUUUCACUGGAGGAUUGUUUGUUUUUUAACCAUAUUUGUAUGGACUAUUUGAUUUGAAUUUUAUUAUUUAAUUUAAAUCUUUUUUAUUGAAAUUAAAAUUAAAUAUAUAAUUACAUAUUAUUAUAAUUAGAUAAUAUAAUAACAAACAGUACAAAAUUAUAUAUUUAUUUAUUUAUUUAUCGUAAAAAAAUUUAAAAGAAGUAGCAUUGUGUAUUUAAAUAGUUAAAAGGCACUACUAAUUUUAAUUAAAUAUUAAUUCGAUUCUCUUGUUUAUAAUAUUAUAUUUCACAUGUUAACACAUUAAGUUACAAUACAAUUUGAAAUUUACCAAUAUAAUUUGUUUAUUAUUGCAAUAAAGAUAAAAUAGUUUGAAUUAAUAUUCAGGGCUGACUUUCGAGUUUUUGGGGCCUUAGGUGAAUUUUUCUAGAAGGCCUCAUUUUUUCUGCAACUUAAAUACUCAAAGAAAUAUAAAAUAUCUCAAAGUCCGUUCUAUAUUUAGUUCUUGAAUUUCAACAAUAAUUAAGAAAAUCUUAAAAAAAAUUUAAAAUAAAAUAAAAUAAAUAAUGAAGAAGAUAGUUUUUUAACUUCCAUUAAAACCAUUACAAAACUAAACAAAUAAAUAAAUAAGAAAAAUACUAUUUUAAAAUAGGAUAUCCAUAAUUGUAUAGUACUAAAGAUGAAUUGAUGAUCAGAUAAUGUAUAUGGACUUUAUAUUUCAAGAAAUUAUUUUUUUCUUUUUUAAAUGAACUAAUGAAUGUAAUAAUUUUUUUUUUGUAGAUAAGACAUCGAGAAAUUGUUUUAUCUAUUGAUUUUUGAGAUUAUAAGGUUUUUAAUAGAAAUUAAGGAAUAGUAAAAGCCAAAGAUUCUAAUGUUAAAUAAUUAAGUUUUCUUAGAAAACUAAAAACGUAAAGAAUUUAAUUUUUUUCUUUGGAAAACUAAUAGUGGAUGAAUUAAUGGUUAGUCAAUAUUAUUAAUUAUAUCUCUUUAACACUAAGAUUAAUAAAAUAUAGAUAGGUUUUCCUACAAUAUGUAGUAAAAAAAUAUUUAUUAAUUAGAGAAUUAUUAAAGAAAUACUCAAAAGAUGAGAUUUUCUCAAAAUAUGGGGUCUUAGGCGACUGCCCCGUUCACCUAUACUUAAAGGUACCCUACUAAUAUCUAAACAUUUAGUACAAUCCUAUAAAAUAUUAUAAUGUGAGUUGGCUUCUCAAAUCUUACAUAUAUGUAUAUGUAUAUGUAUAUGUAUGUAUGUGUGUAUGUAUGUAUGUAUGUAUAUAUAUAUGUGUGUGUGUGUGUGUGUGUGUCUUUAGGGUUCAUCCUUUCACCUUAAAUUAAAAAUGUUGCUUUCUUUAUUAUUAUUAUUUUUUUUUUUUUUAAUUUCAGAAUGCUCAGAGUUCCACAAACGAUUCAGGUCAAUCUUCAAUGCACCAUCAGGAAUAAGACAAUUUCUCUAUGAUGUUUAUAAUCACGAGUUUUUCAUUGAAGAUCAUUUCCUUGGAUUGAAGUCAGGUGCGGACAAGCCCUUCUGUUUUUGUCUUCAUUGUUCUGUUUUGGCUCUCUUCAACUUUUGUGUUGCUGUUUUGAAAGUGUUAUUAUAAAACUUACAUUCCAUGUAAUCGAUUGAGAUUCAAUGGUUCAAUGGUCCUUACCAUUCAAAAGUUCAUGUAUAGUGUCAAAGGCUUCUUACCAUGACGAAGGCCGUUAUGUUUUCCCUUGUCAACUAUAUUUUUUCUGAGCUUUCAUCUUCUGAAAACUGCUAGUAGAAUGUCAAGUAAAUCAUUUGGUGCAUCAAACCUUAACACCAUUAAAAAAUUGCUGAAGUCUCAAGAGUAUUUUAGUAAUUUCAAGCUAAAGUUAUUUUCUUAGGUCCUUUAGAGAUUUUUAUCUUUUUCUUUGAACAUAUGAUUUACAAGUUUUUUUUUUCCUUUAUUUCAGUUAUUAUAUUAAAUUGGUAACAAUUGUAAUAUUAGGUGGCAAAAUAUGGUUGUCAAAAAACUUUGGUAAUCUAACAUUUAGUCCAUUUACUUGUUUUAUUUUAAUUUAUUUAAUGUUAAAAUCACAUGCAUACAAUGCACAUGACAUUACUAGGAAUCCAGUCUUUUACAGAGUAUGGUAAUAUGUGUAGAUGAGGGCAUCGGAUUAAAUGUAGUUGCUUCUCUUGGUUACGUGGAGCAAUUAGUUAUCCAGCUCAGCAGCAAAGCUAACGAACUGAAUAACAUGUAUAAUAGUUAUAACAAACUAUUAGUUACUAGAUUCUUCUUCCUUCUAGUAUAAAUAUUAAGCUGCAAUCAUUUGUUUAUAUAAUGGAAAAGAUGAACAAGUUCCUGAUUCUUCCAUCAUCUCUUUCAUCAUAACUUUCUAUCAUUUUCUCGUUUAUUUUCUCUUGUGCCAAACACACAUUACAAAAUCUUUCACAGUCCAAUUCUAGUACCACAACAGAACGUGUGCUUAUGUCUCAUUAGAAAAGUUAGUCUGAGAAAUUUAGAGCAUAAAUGAACUAAGUAGCACAUCAUUAAUCUGAUGCUCUUCAUGAUUACAGAAUGUUCAGACUUUCGAAGAAGAUUCAGGUCAGCCUUCAAUUCAGAAUCCGGAAUAAGGCCAUUUCUCUAUGACAGUUUAUGAGUUUAUCAUUGAAGAAUCUUCACUUUCUGUGUUGCUCUUCUAGAAGUGUCAUUACAUUUCCUUCAUGUAAUAGUUCGAGAUUCAAUGGUCGAAAGGCCCUCAAUUAGUAUUAAUAAUUUUCUGGUUGCAGCAGUACGUUGUAUUUCCUUGUGAUUGAAUUUCUGGAGUUCUAUUCUUUUAGAAUUGAUAAAUUCAAAGGGGAUGCUGGUGUCUAGUGGUCUUGGUGCUAUUGUUAGAAAUACCAGUGGGGACAUUAUGCUUGCAGCAGUAAAGACCUAUAAAUUUUUGGGAUAACGAAUUCUCAGAGGCAGAGGCUCUUAGACUUGAAUUUUGGGAUUUAAGUAAGCUCCAAUCUGAUGCUAAGACUUUUGUGAAAGGAAACGAUCCGAGUCAAAAGCAAAAUCUUCAGAAGGAAUUGUUAGGAGUAAUGAUUAUUUUACUGUCAAAUGUAUUUCAAGAAGCUGUAAUGAAACAACUCAUAGACAUGAACUUUACAAUGAACAUUGUAAAUUAAGCAUCCUCCAUAUACGGAAAUGGAAAGGAACCCAUCUGUAUAUAUGUCAUACUUCCACGCAUCAUAUAUUCUUAUCUUAAUUCAAAUCUGAAUAUUGUCAAAUUUAGACGUACGGAUCUGAGCACCACUUUUGUAAAUGUAUUCAAAGUAGUUUACGUAUAUAUAAUUCGAGAGUAGAAUUGGAGAUUUAUGGCAAAACGCAUAGAUACAUUUUAAUUAACAGUUGCACAAAUAUACAUUUUAAUAAACACUUUAAUGGAUCAAGGUAUGACCGCCGUACGAGAAGUGAAUGAGUUAAUUUCUUUGCAACUUUUACCUCUAAGCCAUUUGAGAACCAUUAUGUUUUCCACUGAGUUAUCAAAAAAUCAUCGUUUUGCUAAUAAAAUGUUUUCUCUUUUUCUUCAAGGAAAAAACAUCAGGCUCCCAGUCCCAAUACAAUGUUGAAGUUAACAGCACCUGCCAGACUCUACUUAACAAACACAGAAGCAACAAAAAUAAAACCAAAACAUUUUUCUUUUGUUUCCCCACAAACCCGUCUUCAAUUCACAACACAACAACAACAACAAAAUCAGCAACACUUGUUGUCUAUCCUACAAAAGAGCCCAUCAUCAAACAACGUUACCACCCAAAUCCACUCUCACUUACUUACCACUAACUCACUGCUACACCACACACUACUCUUCAACACUCUUCUUCACUUCUACUCGCUCGCUGACUCACCUCAAAAAGCUUUCUUGCUCUACAAACAACUUCAACAAAUUUACACACACUCUCACUCUCCAUUGCGCCCUCUCUUUGACAGCUUCACUUACUCUUUCCUUAUAAGGACCUGCGUUACUUCAAGCUAUCCUAACUUGGGUACCCAGCUUCGUGCUGUUAUUUCAAAAGUGGGCUUUCAAUCUCAUGUUUAUGUAAACACCGCCUUAGUUAAUAUGUAUGUCUCUUUAGGGUUUUUGAAGGACAGUUCCAAACUGUUCGAUGAAUUGCCGGAAAGAAAUUUGGUUACGUGGAAUGUUAUGAUCACUGGUUUAGUGAAAUGGGGUGAGCUAGACUAUGCCCGUUCUCUCUUUUGUCGUGGACAGGGAUUAUAGAUGGUUACACCAGGAUGAAUCGGUCUAAUGGGGCGUUAGCUUUAUUUUGAAGAAUGGUUGCGUGCGAAUAUACAGAAACUAGUGAGAUAACUAUUUUGGCUGUUUUACCGGCUAUUUGGCAAAAUGGGGCUGUUAGGAAUUGUCAAUUGAUUCAUAGGUAUGGUGAGAAAAGGGGGUUUAAUGCAUUUGAUAUACGUGUCUCAAAUUGUUUGAUCGAUACUUAUGCAAAAUGUGUGUGCAUAUUUAGUGCCUUAAAACUCUUUGAGGAUACAUCGGUUGAGAGGAAAAAUUUGGUGUCUUGGACAUCGAUAAUAUCUGGGUUUGCAAUGCACGGGAUGGGGAAAGAAGCAGUAGAAAAUUUUGAGAGGAUGCAGAAAGUUGUUUUGAAACCAAACAGAGUAACAUUCUUGAGUGUUUUGAAUGCUUGUAGUCAUGGAGGAUUGGUCGAGGAGGGGCUGAAGUUUUUUGAUAAGAUGGUUGAGGAGUGUGAAGUUCUGCCAGAUAUAAAGCAUUAUGGGUGUUUAAUAGACAUGUUGGGAAGGGCUGGGAGGUUAGAACAAGCGGAGAAGGUUGCUUCGGGGAUACCAAGUGAGAUUACUAAUGUUGUUGUUUGGAGGACCCUUUUGGGUGAUUGUAGCUUUCACGGUAAUGUGGAGAUGGGUGAGAGGGUGACAAGGAAGAUAUUGGAAAUGGAGAGAGGAUAUGGAGGGGACUAUGUGCUUAUGUAUAACAUCCUUGCUGGGGUUGGGCGGUAUGGAGAUGCCGAGAGGUUGAGGAGAGUCAUGGAUGAGAGGAAUGCCCUCAAAUUUCCUGGCCGUAGUUUGGUCUAGUUAAUGCUGAAGUUGAAUGGUAGCGAUCUGGAUAGAUGGUCCCUUAUUCCUUUCCUUUUCAAGACCUACAUCGGCAAGGCACCUGAGAUGUUGCUAUUGCCAAAGUUCUUUCAGCUUGUGAAAAGCAGCCUCUUUUUUAACUUCAUUGAAGAAGGUAGGCUAUUCCCGUUCUGUACAUUUAGUUUUUGUUUCCUAUUUAACAUUCGGCUCAAACAGCAAAAGAGAGUUGAUCCUUUUGUUUUUUUAUUCAAUUUUAUGAUUCUGACAGAGUUGCAAAGUUUUUCGUGUAGCACCCAUUCUGAUGGAGUUACAAUGUUUUUUGUCCUCUUUAUUGUUCAGAUGGAUCGAUUUUUGGUAAAAUUAAUAAACUGUUCUUAUUUUUUCUUUGGCUUUUGCUCUUUUAGCUUUGUUGAAAACGGCAAAGAGAAAUGAUUCAUAGGCUAGCUCUUCAGUUUGUCCGAGCUAGGAUUUCCGAAUUCAAAAGCCAAUACAUAUUUAUUUGCUUUUUAUCAUUGUUUAUCUUAUUUUAUUUUAGUGUUUUGGUAUGUUUGAUUUUCAAUGUGAAAGUCAAUAGCUUACUAGUUAGUUACUACCAAGAAUUUAGGUCCCCGUAGUGGAGGCGUUUCAAAGUUCAAAGCAUUUUGCAUAUUUCAAUUUGACUCCUUUUUCAUACUUUAUCAUUCAACUAGAUAAAUUUACAGAUAGAAUUUUCCAACUGCGAAGAACAGCUAAGUCAUUCCUUUUUGGUUCAUUUCUGGCGGGUAAAGGACUUUUCCAAGUUUCAAAGAUGAAUAAUGAAAAAAAAAUCUUUUACCAGCUAUGUCGACCUUAAAAUAUAGGCCAUGAAAGAUCUCGUAGCUGUCCUGACACUUAUUUCGAAAUGACAAGCUCAGAAAACACCAGGACCAAAACCUCAACCUAUUCCUAGAAGCUGAGAAUGUGAAGAAAUGGAGAAAUCUUGGAGAGCUUAGGCAGCUUCCGAGAAGGCAAUGACUGAAAAGUAUUUCGCUGCACUCAGGACGGCCAGGACUAUUAGGUCUCAGCUGAAGAAAGGUGCCGCACCAAUGCAACAAAUAAGCACCUCACUCUCUCAGGCUGCAGAGAAGGAACCCCAAUUUACAGGACCCCCUUUUCUGUUACUAAUGGCUUUGGGGGGGGGAAUUAAAGAAGCUUCCGAUGGAGUUCCAAGGACUGAGGCAGAAAAUGAUGACCAUGUAUAUCUGUUGAGAAAAGGUAAUUUAAUGUGACAGGAGAGAUCUCAAAUGAGGAUACAAUUGAGAAAACCAUCUGUUAUGGUGGAGAUUCUGGAUAGGCGUGACACGGACAUAGAGAUUAAGAAAAGAUUGUUGGAGCUGUAUCAAAUUUUCUUGGACAUGACUGUAAAGGUGGACGUCAAGACUUUGAAGCACAACUGGAGAAGCAGCAGGAAGUAGUUUGCUUGGGGAACAUACUUCUGGUGUUGACCAUUCUUUUGAUUGUUAUCAGUUUUUGAAUUGUAUCGGAAAUGAUGCCCAAUCAUACUUUGUAGUUUUCUCUGCUUUGAAAGUCCUUGUAUUAGGACUGGGUUGUGACUAUUCUUCGUCCUUGUAUCUUUUCUCCAAUUCAUUUGAAAUACAUUGUCCUGAUUAUAUAGCCUAAGGAUGAAAAUCUUCUGGGAACCAUAUUGAAUGAGUAAUAAAUUUAGCAUUCAAGUGAUAAUGAAUGAAAGAAACAAUGAAUGAAGACUAGGUUGACCGGGAAUGUAAAUGCAGAAAAAUAGCAGAUCUGCUAUUGAAAAAAAUGAUAUCACAUGAGGUCACUCCUUAGAACUUUGAAUUGAGACGAGAAGAGAGAGCUCUGAAGAAAGAUUGAUAAAGUAAGCUCCAUUGGACAGAUUGUUAAUUUUCUUCUGUACAUGAAAAGUGUCAACAUUAAUUGCUUUAUGCAUUGCAGAUGACACCAUCUAGCAUCUAAUGCCGAAUCCCCAAUAUUACGGCAAAGCCAAAAAGAAGCAAAAGUGCACCAUUUCCUCCAGGCAGGAUAGAUGACCGGUAGAAUCCAAACAUGCAGCCGGUUAUAAUCAAGAAAAGAUAGACAUGGAGAAACUACGACCAUUCAAUCAAGUUUGCAUAUAUAUAUAUAUAUGGUAAUGUUAUUAUUUAAUAUUAUUUACAUACCAUGAUAUUGAUAUAUAAUAUUAUUUGCAUAUAAAUAAUUAAAACUUCAAUGUUUAAUAUUUUAGACUCACUGUGUGUAUGUAUAAAAAAACAUUUGUUAGAUUAUUAAUAAUUUGUUUAUUUUUUAUGUUGGGUUUGUAUCUCAAUAUUUCAACAUAAUUAUUAAUUGAGUCAUAUUUGCAUUGACCUAAAUUUGAUAACACGACACUGUGACCUAUUACUUUAUUUCUACCUUUUUUUAAUUUUAAGAUACUAUUUUAAAAAUAAAACUAUAAACAUAUUUUUAAAUUUACCAAAAAUCAAUUAUUUCUUACUAUAAAACAUACAAAAUUAUAAUAAUUUGAGAAUAAUGAUUGAUUAAUAAGGAUUGAGUCAAUUAAUUUUUGUGUUGAUUUACAAUAAAUUUUUAUGUUGAUUUACAAUCAAUAUUUUUUAGUUAAUAUUUAAAAUAGAUACAAUCGAUGAUUUGAUUGAUUGUAUUGACUGAUUGAUUGUUUUUCGCUGUACAAACUUAACUUCUCAAUAUAUAUAUAUAUAUAUAUAUAUAUAUAUAUAUAUAUAUUUUUUUUUUUUUUUUUUUUUAACACUUAAAUCAAAUUUAGAUCCCUAUGUAAUUUCGGAGGGUAUUGGGAGAGGGCUGUACAACUUAAAAUGUCCAUCGUUUCUACACUUAAAAUUUCCAUCGUUUCUACACUUAAAAUUUCCAUCGUUUCUUCUUAUCAUGAGUCUGUUGACAAGUGCGGCAGCGUUUGACGAAGAACACGCAGGACUCCUCGUGCUUUCUACCUAUUUAUCAAAUGUUUAAUGAAUGAUUAAUGCUCGAAAGACAUCGAGGCCUUACCACAGUGUCGAUGCCACCACUGGCUUUAACAUUGCUCCAUCUUUCAUUUUCACGUUUACUUUUCAAAAGAGGAAAGCAGAUUAAAUUCAAGGAAACUUGGCCAAAGACUAUUAGAUCAAACGAUUUGAAUCCUCCCGACUUAAUUUUUCCAAAGAGAUUUUGACACAUGACAUUUAAGAAAUUCUAAGGUCAGAAUUUAAUUUAUUUACAAUUUUCCUUAUUUGACACAAAAAAAAAAAAAUGAUGUUUUUAAGACUCAUAGAAAUUGCUAACUAACAGAAAUUAAUUUCAUGUCAGUAUCUUCUUUCUCCUCUUUCAUUCAUGCAAUAAUCUUAAAAAAGAAUCAUAAAAAAAGGUUUUAGAAAAAAACUAGGAUAAUUUUUAUCUCUUUCUUUAGUGAUUUUUUUUUUCUUUU
rnacentral:lncRNA from 1 species